GAACUUCCUUAUAUCCCUGGAUUUGAUGAACAGGAUAUUCCUACAAAAUCCAGACCAAUCCAAAUGAAUCAGGAGAUGAUGGAAAUCUGCAAAACCGAAAUUAACCAUCUCCUAGCCAAAGGCAUUAUUCGUCACUCAAGUUCUCCUUGGAGCUGCUCUGCCUUUUAUGUUAAUAAUAGCGCAGAAAAAGAACGAGGAACUCCUAGACUUGUUAUAAACUACAAGCCCUUGAACGCUGUCCUAAAAUGGAUCAGUAUCCCAAACAAAAGGGAUCUCCUCAAACGCACUUAUAAAGCCAACCUUUACAGUAAGUUCGACAUGAAAUCGGGGUUUUGGCAAAUUCAAAUUGCUGAAACAGACAAAUAUAAGACUGCAUUCAACGUCCCUUUCGGGAACUAUGAAUGGAAUGUCUUACCCUUUGGGCUUAAAAAUGCUCCUUCCGAAUUUCAAAAUAUUAUGAAUAAUAUUUUCAAUAAUUAUUCAUACAUGUCUAUAGUCUACAUUGAUGAUAUUUUAAUCUUUUCUGAGAACAUUUAUUCACAUUUUAAGCAUCUUAAUACUUUCUUUAAGAUUGUAACGUUAAAUGGUUUAGUCAUCAGUGCUAAGAAGAUGAAACUUUUUCAAACUUCUAUCAGAUUCUUAGGGCAUGAUUUACAUCAAGGAAGUCACAAACCUAUCUGUAGGGCAAUAGAAUUCUCUUCCAAAUUCCCUGAUGUAAUCUCGGAUAAAACCCAGCUGCAAAGGUUUUUAGGAAGCCUAAAUUACGUGGCUGAUUUUAUUCCUCAUGUUAGGCAGGUCUGUGAACCUUUAUAUAAACGCCUUAAGAAAAAUCCGGUGCCUUGGACUCCUGAGCAAACAAAUGCUGUCAUAAAAACUAAAUCCUUAGUAAAAAACCUUCCCUGUUUAGGUAUUCCAAACCCUGAGGCAUUCAUGAUUGUCGAAACUGAUGCUUCGGACAUAGGAUAUGGGGGUAUUUUGAAACAAAAGGUAUAUGAUAACUCUCCUGAACAAUUAGUUCGUUUCACCUCGGGAGUAUGGAAUGCUGCACAAAAGAAUUACAGCACUGUCAAAAAGGAAAUUUUGUCUAUAGUGCUAUGUAUCACUAAAUUUCAGGAUGACCUUAUCAAUAAGGAAUUCCUUUUACGAGUUGAUUGCAAAUCUGCCAAAGAGAUUUUACAAAAGGAUAUCAAAAACCUUGUUUCUAAACAAAUAUUCGCUAGAUGGCAGGCUCUUCUAUCUAGCUUUGAUUUUCAAAUUGAAUUUAUAAAAGGAGAACAUAACUCCCUCCCCGAUUUUCUAACAAGAGAAUUUUUGCAGGGCCAUGAGACCCACAACCCUAGGGGCAAGCCCCAAACAGGAUCAAUCUAAAAUGGCAAGACCAUUUGACACCCCGGCGGCAACCUCAAACCCAUUGAGGCCAACGGUCCCACAACGACCAACACUCAAAACGGAAGUGCAAUCUCAGAAUAGGUAUUCGGCACUGACGGAACUACAGUUUCCUAAACUCUCCCCACCACUACCAUCUCAAUUGGUAGACCUCAAAACCAAUCAACCCUUAGACAGAGGAUUAUCUGCCACCUCUUCCUCCGUUCAGACCAAGCAGAGCUAUGCAAUGAAGGCCCCAGAGACCUUCGCCCAAGCAGUCAAUCCUACGGUAGCCAAACCAGCACCACCAUCUCCUUCCAAAGAAGAAUUUAAAUUCAUCACUACCAAUGUCAUGCCAAUCCUCGCCCUAGAUAAGGCCUACGAAGGAUACCCCCUCAAUAAGCUGGCAAAACCUGUGUAUACCAAUAGCAACUUCGUAGACACAAAAGAUCACCUCAAAACCAGAAGGUUUUAUGAAGCCAUAUUAGUGGAUACUGACUCUAUUGAAGUAGAACAUUCGAUGGAUGAACGCAAUCCAGAUUACAUCAGCUACUCUAAAUUUACAAUCAAGAGGGUAUUAACCCCUUUCAAUUGGUUUGUAGAUCAUAUACACACCCCCAUUGCCCUAUCCAUGCCACACAGGCCUCAGACCUACAAUUGGUAUGACUACAAGUCGGCCUGGUUUAAUUUCUUAUUUGUUCGCCCAGGACAUACAUGGUUCGUAAAAUAUUGUCCCGCCAUGGUAGAGGCCAUCGUCCCAAGAUGGUUUUACGAAUGGUGGACUUGUUAUGGAGGAACUAAGGAAGUGCUUCCUCAGCAAUUCCUCAAUCGACUUCCAGACUUCGUCGUCAAGGAAGGAUGCUCCACCCUACCAGAGCACAUUCAGAUGUGCAAAUUUUUUAUUAAAAAACGGAUAUCUUAUAUUAUCUCCUGGAAUUUCUCAAAAGCAGAACAGCACAGGAUUCAAUAUUUCUCUAAAGAGAAAAAAAUUUUGGGGAGCAAAUUAUAUAACCAACUCACUAAUUUCUUUUCGUAAUAAUGAAAUCUCCUAAGCUACAACAUCCUUAGCUACUUUGUAUACAUCAAAAUCUUUAAUGUCAUAAAUAUCAAAACCUCUGUCAAACUCUCGAGUUUUCCACCCUCGAUUAGUUAAUGAGAUCGAAUCCAUAAUACCAGCAGUUAUUUCCCAUCACAAUCUCACAAAGGCUAUUCUAGAAAUAGUGUCUGGCAUUGCUCUAGAACUGGUAGUUAAGGCUCUAUAUACUAUUUCUGAUAAGUUUGUCCCUAAUAUUUGGUGGUUGGGAACCAUGCUAAGCCUCUUUUUGAACUUGAACCAUGCCUUAUACAUAGAUUUUGGCUAUAGCUACCUGAAAUUGUUAAUCUCAUCCCUAAGCUAUAAAACCCUGGAUGACGGAAACAAUCUGUUCAAGAAUUGUAGCUCCCUCCCUAAAGUAAUAUACUAUCUUGGUAGUUCCCCAAGCAAUAGUGAUGCUUCUCCAAUAAGCGAGAAAGGGAACAACCUCAAUCUUAGUGCCUCUUGAUCUACCCCUAGUAUGGUAUAUAACGUGCAUAUUUCAAUAAAAUUUUCCAGGUGCAUAUUUGUAUCAUCUAUCGAUAAUUGCACAAAAACUCCCUUCAAAUAUAAAAGAUAAAUCAUGGCAAUAGAGAUAUUAAACUUGAUAUCAGAGGAUAAAGCAGAAGGGAUAAUGGCUCAUACAUUAGCCGACUCAUCGUAUCCUAAAUUUUUUUCAUCAUCAAUAUAUGGUUGAACAAACUGCUGUGUUGGGAUCACUUGAGGUCAGCUUUGUUUUGAUUUCUAUUGAGUGUUUCUCGGUGAUCUACUGUCAUCUAUCAACUCUACCCAGAACUCCUUCUUCACGGAGAUUAUCCCUCUUUUGAUCUAGUACCCUACUAUUUAGUUGUAGGAUCUUCUCUAGAAUUUAUGGAAGAAAGGAACUGGAUCUACUCCAUAUGCUAUGCAUACAUCGGCGUAUUCCCAACUAAGAACAAAAAAGAAAAAGAAAAAACCAAAAACUACAAUGACUUUUAUCCACAUAUCAAUACCAUGUUCCCCGACAACGGUACCUAUUUCUUGAUGACGUCCAAGCAAUACCCAUUUUUAGAUGAUGAUACGGUCACUAUCAAGUUAUGUUAACCUAACUAAGGUUGGGGUCGAAUCCCAUGGGAACACAUAGAAUUGUAGUUAUCAGAAGUUGUAGUCUAUAGGAAGUACUGGAAAGUAAAUGGUGGAUUUGUUUGUAGUAGUAUAGAGCAAGUGACAAUAUUAAUUUGGUUUAAAUUAGUUAUAGGUGAACAUUAGGAUUCAUUCCCCCUGGCUUCUCAACUCUGUAGGUUUAUCAUACUAUGUUAAACCAACCCAAUACCUUGCAUGCAGAAUCGAUAGGUUUUGUACGUUCUAUAUUCUUUUGGAUGAGUAGAAGGUUUUCACCUUUUAACUUUUGAUUCUCAAGAUGUCACUUUACUAACCCUUAUUUUGACCCAAUUAACUAUUACCUUUUGAGUCUUUAGUUAUUCGAUGAAAGCUAACGGUCAUUCACUAUAUUCAAUUGUGUGGCAAUGGAUCAAUAAUUAACUCCCAAAUUAAUGUUAUCAUUAUGUUGUCCUAGUUACUACUCCUCUUUUAGAGUAUUUAGCAAUAUCUAAGCGGGAUCCUAACAUUUGCAACCACUAAGACAACUAUUAUAAUAAAGAUAGCACAAAGCAAACCAUGGGUAUUGGUUUAAUUUAAUAAUCACACUUCCUCUACUUAGUCAAUCAUCCAGGGUUUGUACAACCCAAUCUAUUGGUUUUUAGUCACUCAUACUUGUGAAGAGAUUAAUAACAUUCAUGAUUGAAGGCUUAGAUGUCGUCACAAUGAUUACAUGAAUAAAAACCCAAUAUCAGAACUUAAUUAAUCAACGAAAGUUAGUAUAAGAAAAUUCCAAGAUCAAAGAUGGAUCUUGGAAUCAAAAUAUAUAUUUGAGUAUCAAAAGUAUGAAAUUACUACUAAAAAUUAUAUAAGGGGUAUUUAUAGUACAAGAGAAAACUCUAAAAACCAAGCCCAAAUAAAAUCAGAGAAAACAAAGUCGGUGGCCAUAUGUGGUCUGCACCUGUAGUAUGGGUCACAGGCGCAGGUUGUACCUAUAGUAUAGCUCUAGACGCAGGUACAGACCACAAGGACUAGAUGGGAACAAUUCCUGCAAGUCAGCUCUCAAGACUUUGGCUUUCUGGAACCCGCUUUAUGUACCUACAGUCCAUAGGUCCUAGUUAUCGUCCUUGAAUUAUUUAGUAGGUGCCGACAGUCAAUUUUUAGCUCUUCUUUGACUCUCAAACAUGAAUUGAUCAUGAUUAAGAAGAAAAAUAUCCCAAACAUCCAUAAUCUCUCCAAAAGUGGUCAAAAAACCCUUUUCACCAUUCUUAUGAUUUUAUCAUCAAAAAUAUAGUUUUCUGCAAAACAUACCCAAAAAUUAGUGGUAGAGAUACAUUAGUGGAUCUAAUAGAGUUGGAUUUGUUGUAUUUUGAUGUGAUAGUGGGGAUGGAUUUAUUGUAUUCGUAUAGUGCAUCUAUUGAUUGUAUAAGCCAAAGGGUCAUUUUUUAAUUCCUACGUGAAUCAGUGAUUGAGUGGGAAGAAAGUUCCCUAGUGACUAAGGGAAGGUUUAUUUCUUAUCUUAGAUCCAAAAAAUUAAUUUUCAAGGGGUUUUUAUAUCAUCUAAAUUUGUUAAGGAUUCUAAAUAUAGAGGACCUUUUUUGUAAUCUGUCCCUAUUGUUAAUGAGUUUCCUGAAGUGUUUCCCAAUGAUUUUUUGGUACUCUUCCUGAUAGGGAAAUAGACUUUAGGAUUGAUUUUUUCUCAGAUACCCAUACUACCUCUAUCCCUCCAUAUAGAAUAGCUCUGGCUGAGUUGAUAGAACUUAAGGAGCAAUUAAAAGAUCUUCUUGAUAAAGUUUAAAUUUAACCUUGUAUUUCUCUAUGGGGGUCUCCUGGUCUUUUUGUGCAUAAUAAGGAUAGUUUCCUUCUAAUAUGUAUAGACUAUCAGCAAUUGAAUAAGGUAACAGUGAAGAAUAAGUAUCAUCUUCCUUAAUUUGUUGACCUAUUUGACUGUCUUUAAGGUGCUAAGUAAUUUUCUAAGAUUGAUCUUUGGUCGAGUUAUCAUCAAUUGAAGAUUAGGGAGUUGGACAUAAGGCUACUUUUCAAACCUAGUAUGGCUACUAGGCAUUCUAAGUUAUAUCCUUCGGUUUGACUAAUUCCCUGGUGGAAUUUAUGAAUCUUAUGAAUAGAGUAUUCCACUAGGUUUUAGAUUUAUUUGUCAUUGUUUUUAUUAAUCAAAUCUUAGUAUAUUUUAUGAGUAAACAGUAUCAUUCCAAUUACCUCCAUAUGGUGUUACAAGUCUUAAGGAUCAACGGCUUUUAUGCUGUGUUUUCAAAGUGUGAACUAUGGUUAAAUUUCAUUACUUUUUUAGGUCAUGUUGUUUCUAGUGAGGGGAUCAUUUUAGAUCCAUAGAAAGUUGAGUUAGUUAAUAAGUUGCCUAUACUCACGACUCUAACUAAUAUUCAGAGCUUUUUGGGUUUAGCUGGAUAUUAUACGAGGUUUGUGGAGAUUUUUCCUUGGAUAGCUGCUCCAUUAACUAGGUUGAUUUAGAAGAAGGUGAAGUUCCUAUAGUUCGAUGUUGGUGAUGGUAACUUUGAAAAGUUGAAGGAUAAGUUAACUUUUGCUCUAAUUUUGAUCCUACUCAAGGGUACUAGUAGUUUUUUUUUUUGUUGUGAUACGUCCUAUAUAGGAUUCGGUUGUGUGUUAAUGCAACAUGGUAAGGUUGUGGCGUAUGCUUCUAUGUAACUUAAGGUGCAUUAGAAAAAUUAUCUAACUCAUGAUUUAGAGUUGCUGGCUAUGGUUUUUGCUUUAAAAUUUUGGCACCAUUAAUUGAAUGCAGUUCAUGUUGACAUAAAUUCAAACCAAGAGAGCUUGUGGUAUGUGAUCACCCAGAAAGAGUUAAAUCUCAUGCAAAGGAUAUAGCUUGAGUUACUUAAGGAUUAUGACAUGAGUCUUUGUUAUCACCUAGGUAAAGCUAAUAUGGUUGUUGAUUCUCGUAGUAGUUUAUCCAUGUGGAUCUUAUCUCAUAUUGGUGAGGCGAAGUGAGGUUUGGCGAAGGAUAUUCACCAUUUGGAUAAUAUUGGAGUUCGUCUUUUAGACUCUGAGGAUGGAGGUGUGAUUGUUUAAGAGAUGGUGAAGUCAUAUCUUGGUGCUGAGGUAAAGGAAAAGCAGGUUUUGGAUCCUAUCUUGAUGCAAAUUAAGGAUGAUGUGGGUCAGUAGAAACUCAUGGCUUUUGAGAUUGGUGGAGAUAGUAUCCUGAUUACCAAGGUAGAUUAAGUGUUCUUGACAUUAAUGGGUUACAGGAAAGAAUCAUAGCUAAGGAUCUUGAGUUGAGGUACAUAGUUCAUCGUGGUUCGACAAAGAUAUUCCCUGACUUAAAAUAGAUUUAUUGGUGGGACAACAUGAAGAUAGAUAUGGCCAAUUUGGUGGCUAAGUAUAUGGUUUAUCAACAAAUGAAAGUGAAAAACUUGAGGCCUGGUGGUUUAUCUCAAACGAUUGAGUUGCAUAUGUGGAAAUGGAAAGUUAUUAACAAAGACUUUAUUAUUGUCCUUCCACUAUCUUGUAGUCAGUUUGGUUUGAUUUGGAUCAUCUUGGAUAGGUGAAACACCCGAAGUCUUUGACCCUUGUAAAAUUUCCUUUGUUUUGGACUUACUGGACUUGGUACGACUCAAGAGUACCAAUUGUACCCUUGAAUACAACUGGUGGGAUGGCUUGAGGGUUCAAUUGUAUGAUAGACUUUUUGCUUGGCUUUAUUACUGUCCAAGCUAUGACUCAUCAAGGUACGAGUCCUAAGGAAUAUGUGAGUGGUGCUAGGAAAGUCGUAUGGUGUUUUUUUGGGUUAUUUUGUGGGAUCUUGCCAAGGUAUGGUUGGUGUGUAUGUUUGAGUGUACCACACGUACCCUUAGGUAUGAUUUAGGAAGGUGUGAGUCAUAUAGAAACCAGUAGAUAUUAUCUUGGAAAGGUCUUAGGUACGAGUUGGGGUACCACUCAUACCCUAGGAUACUAAUGGUAUAAGUGAGUCAUACCCCUAGACGUGGUUUGUUUAAAUUUUAUGUCAAGGGUAGUCCAUACAUUUCCUGCUUUAAAUCCCUUAUGUUCUUAUGUUAUAUAACCCUUGGUGGCCUCUCAAAACACUUAUUAAAGGAUGGAUACACUCCAUGUACUCUCUUAAACUUACUCUUGAAGAUUGGAGGCUAGGGUUUCUUCAUGUGCUCUUCAAAGGGCUCAAGAGUCAUGUUUCUAUUCAGAAUCUUCUUAUAUAAGGCAUAUACUCCUUCCCUCAUUGUUAGUUCCAGCUAAAGGCAUGUGGAUUGUGUUUGAAACAUUGAUUUAUGAAUCAUGAAUGGUGGUUUUCAAAAUAUAUAUUGAGGGUCUUGAUAGAUAUGGUUUGGUAUUGGUUUAAUCUAUAUUUUUACAUGUUUUUGGUAAUGGUGUGAAUAUUUUUGUACUUGUUAGUUAUGUUUUAACAAAUGGGUUUUGAGUAACCCUAAUUAUGGUGGUUUAUGGAUUGGUUUUGGUUUAGGUAAAGGUAUGCCCUUAAUAUGUUUGAUAAAAUGCCUAAAAGAAUGUUUUUACUGUAUUGUUGAACUUUCAUUGGAACUUUUGCAUGAUUUGAUUUGGUAAUGGAACCUUAAAUGGAUUUUGAUGGUUUUUCAUGGUUUAAAUAAUAUAAAUGCUUUAAAUGCUUGGCAUGGUUAUAAAUGGUUUGGAAUGGUUUCAAAUGGCAUAAAUGGUGUGCAUAUUGGGAAAGAUUAAAUGGUAAAGCCUUGGUGGCUAUGAAAUUGGUUGUGCUUGUGGGGUACAUGGGAAUCACCCAAGUGGUUUAAUAUGGUUAGUAAAAGGGUACAUGGAAUCCCUUAAACCUAUCUAUGGUUGGCUAUGGAUAGUACUUGCAAGUAUGGUCGUUAUGACGAUACCACCACUAAAUGGCCUUGGCUAAUAAAUGGUAAAUGGAUAGAGUGGUUGCUUGGUAAUGUUUUUAAUAGGGCAAUAAUGAUAGAAUAUGUAAGCGAACCCUUAUGUUCGUGGAGGUCCUAGGGGGGACCAAAACUGGAAACUCAUUUUGCAAAUAUGAGGUUGGUCUUUGUGAUCGUGUGCAUAAUGUUACACUAUAUUUUGUGGGAUGUACUAGUCAUCUCUGGCUUUCUUUUUUGGUUAUUCUGAUACACACACUAGGGCCCUUACAACAGGAGAACUGAACCCAUUAGCCUAUGGGUGGUUUAGGAUGGCAAAGCUACACAGCCCAUGUAAAGGUUUUAAAGGUAUGCUAAACUCGGUUCCCUUUCCCAACAUAGUUAUAUAUAUAUAUAUAUGUAUGGUUGUAUGGUUGUAUACAUUAUGGAUGGUUUUACUUUGUUUUAUAAAUAGCAUUAUGUUAUACUUAUCAUGAGUGCAUGCUAGUGCUCACCCACUAACCAGUCUUCGGGAGGCUAUAUACCCAUGUUAUACAGGGACCGACCAUUCUACUUCUCCUGCAUAAUGAUCAAAUUUGGGGACAGACAAUGUCGGAUUAAAGUGGUGAGCUUCCAUAGUUCGGAAGGCAUCUAUUUCAUGUCAUGGGUUACCUUACAUUUUUCUUGUCCUUCAUAGACUUUAGAUUUUUGCCAUGGUUGGGGGUAUGUCCUGACUAAGUACUCUUUGGUUGGUCUAGAGUCUGUGUAUGGAGAACUAUGGACUUGGGUAUGGUAUGGUAUGGUUAUAUUUCUUCUAUUUAUAUAUACAUACAUCAAAUUAUUAUUAUUCAUUUUGGUUUAUUGGUUUUGGCAUUGGUUUGGUUGAUUAUUGGGUUGUUGGACUUGGUUGGGUUGAUAUCGGAUAUAGAUUUACCCCAAAGUCACCACAUGUUUGGAUACACUAUCUUGUUAUAGGUUUGGACUAUGGUCGACUCAAGGCAUGCAUUUGGUUGAUGGGUUGGGUAACAGGAGAGGUUCCUGGUCCUGGUUAGGCUUGGGAUUGCCUAUUAUGAUAAGGCCCUAGUUCAAGUUAUGUCAAAUUUGUAUCAGAGAUUUAUGUUUCAAUAUCAUGGGUAUCCACAAAGCCGUUUCGAGUAGAGUCUUAGUUAUGGGUGUAUCGAGAACCACACUUAUAAUGAGGAGGCUACGAGGCAUUUAGGAAUGUGUCACUUUCAUGGCUACUCAACUUUCGAGCUAUAGAGUCUAAGGUCAUGAAAAUUUCUCUUAAUCUUCCUUGGUUCAAUCUUUGGAUCAUGCCUUCUCGAUGAUAUAAAGUUUGUGGAAUCUCGCCUGUCCCACUCGAGGACAACAUGAAUGUAUCAAGCCAAACUCAUGGAGCACAAACUAGGCCAAGGGUUGCAGCUUCUAUUUUUCCCCAUGAAGUGCCACCGAUCUCCGUUGACCCUAUCUCAGAAGGUGAUACUCAUACUCAGUUACCUCAAGGAGAGGUUAAUAAUGUUGAGUUUUAUCGUCCUAAUAAUCUAUUGACCUAAAUAGUGAUAUAUCUAUCAUGCCCAUUCUAUCCUAUUGGUACGAAGAGUAAUAAGGUAAGGUUGGUAAAUGGGCAAGGUAAAGUGUUCUUGAUCUUCUAAACAAAAGAGGAGGCCAAUGGUAUGGCAGUAAAUGGUCCAAAAUGGAAAAGUUAGGUAAGGCCUAACUCCCAUUCUAUAUCUUAUGUUCUCUACCCAGAUUUAAUUAGGAGUCAGGUGUUUUCAGAUUGGUAAAUUCUUCUAACGCACAAUGUGCCCUAUCUCAGGUCAAUGGGGCCUAUUCUACAUCAUCCCAUUUUCUUUAUAAUUUUAUAGUUGGUCGCACUGUAGUUGUUGAGAGGGAGGAAGGAAUCAAUUUUUUAGUUGUGGUCAGUUGGGUCUUAUGUGAUAGGGAUAUCCCAUCAGUGAUGCCACUUGGGCAAAUAGAGUAUUGGCUACUACCUAUGGCUCCAACAAUGGUUGAGAUUGUCUCAAUGUUCUUACUAUUCCUCGAGAGUUUGAGGCAUCAUUUGAUGGCGACACUGGUACAUUGAUAACUCGUUUCCUUGUGGUGUGUAUGGUUUACUUGGUUUAGGGUUCCACUCUUUUGUGACAUUAUUUGUGGUUGUGUAUUUUGGUCCCAAGGUUAUUUUAGACUCUUUUAUUUUAUUUCUACCUGGUAGGUAAAUUUGUGAUUGCCAAAAGAGUCUUUAUGGGUGUGUUGUAUUUGUUGGUAAUAAAGGAGUCUUGGUGGAUUUGUUUGACUCGGAUGUGGUGGAUUUUUAUGCCAUUCGGGGGAUGGAUUGGUUACACUCAUGAUUUUCAUUAUUAGAUUAUCAGACUUGUUAGGCUCCCUGGUGAGUCGGUUUUAUAAUAGGAUGAUGGUUUCAUUCCCUAGCUAAUAAGAGAAAGGUUUUAUUAUAUAUUAAAACUCAGACGUUGAUCUCCAAUGGGUUUCUUUAUUAUAUGGUCUAGGUUAAGGAUUCUAACACGAAAUGUCUUUCCUUAUAUUCGUUUUUCGUGGUGCAUGAAUUUCCUGGGGUCCGUUCGGUUGAGCCUCAUUUUGUCUUUCUAAUGGGGAGGUUGUUUGGGAUUGGUCUUAUUUUGAACAUCUGUCCAAAUUUCUAUUUCUUCUUUUUAGAAUGGUUUCAGUGGAGUUAAUGGAGCUUAACGAAACAAUUUAUGGAUCUCUUAGAUGAAGGUUCUCUUCAUCUUAGUGUUUCUCUAUAGGGUGUUUUGUUCUCGAAUGCUUAAGGGAAAUGUUAUCCCCAAAAAUAGAUAGGUUGUUGGUUGAUGGAUAAGGAAUUUGGAGUGCCCUUCUUGUUGAAAGCACCGUAUAUGUAUAUCCCAUUUUAUAUGGGGUAUUUUGUUAGUAUUGCAAGGUGGUUGAUUGAUAUUAAAUAUGAACUAUAGACGUUGAUUUUAAUAAAAAGAGAGUAUAAUAGCUCGAGAAUAGCAAUGGGGAAAUGGAAUGGCGGAGUAAAUUGGCAGGUUGGAUGAGGUUGAUGACUUAAGAAAUGCAAUAGCAGUAAUGUUGUGACUUGUAGAUCGAACAUUUAGGUUGAACGAGUGGAUUGGGGGAUAAGUCGUUAGAUUGGAUAGAUCAUGGAGCUUGCACGUAUUUUGUCCCUAUACUUGUACUUUAUUGUUGGCAUGAAAUUUAUUAUUAAAUUCAUGAUUUUAAAUGUGGGUUUUGGAACAAUUGAGGGAUUUGACAUGAUUACUCAUUUAAUUAUUUUUCCAUGGAUUACUAAUAAGAGGUAAUUUUACCACUCAUUCACACUAAAUAUUCAUGCACAUUACCUUGUUUUGAAUGAAUAAAUGAGACAUAAUUGUGAUUAAUACCGCGAAUAUCCACACUUUGCAAGUAUAGAGUUGAUGAGAUAGAAAGAUGUGGAUUGGAGCUUAAAAUUAUCAAAAGAAACCAAGAGAAGUACAGAAAAAGACUUGGUGCAGAAUGGCCUCAGUUAACGCAGUCGCAGUCAAAUGACCACGAUCGCGCAGUCAAGUACGGUUAAUCAACUGCAGUUGCAUGAACUGACAGUGGUUGCGAUAGCUGCUGUCGCAUCCAAUCUGGUGUGAUCGCAGCUUUGUGAAAGAUUGCAACCCAAGGGCAAAAUAGGAAAUGCACAUGGCUGAUCCUAAUUUUUACAGUAAGACUCAAGCCCUAGAAUUAUUGAUCGUAUUCCAUCUUCCAAAAAAUAGUUAGUUUUUGUUCUUCAGUUGAUAGCCUCUAUUCUUGGAGAGGAAAAUUUUGUAUGAUUUUUGGGUGAAGAAUACAUUGGAGAUCUUUAAAGUGGAGGAAUAGCUCACUUCCAUUGGAGAUUUGUGGGAGUUCAAAGUUUGAAGUAGCAUUCACUUAAGCAUUGAUAAAUCAUUUCAAUGGAGAUAUUAGGUAUAUCUUUGCUUAUUUAUCUUAUGUGUAGAUAGAUCUCCUUUAAGGGUUAUGUGUGAAUAGGGAUUUAAGUGUGUGUGGUUUGAUAUUGUUAGACUCUAUUUAGUAGUUCAUGUUGAUAGUUUUUAUCAAUGCUUUAUGCUAACUUUGUUGGGAUUUAUUGUUUAAAGCCCCAAAUACCCACAUGGGUUUGAUAGGUUAAAACUCCAAGCUUUAGAAAUCUCAUACCCAUCUUCGAAAGAAGGGUUAUAGGGUGAACUUUAGGAAUCCACAUCAUCCUUGAAAGAGGUAUGUGGAAACCAAAGCAAUGGUAUACAAUUAUGUGUGUAGUUUGCUAAUCUAUCACUAUCUUAGACAUAAUGGUGGUUUUGAUACUAACUACACCUUGGGUAUCAUCCUAGAAAUAGGGAUUCCUAGAUUAAGGUUUGGUUACCAAUUGUUGCACAAACUCAUUAGGUAUUCGAAAGAAUGAAUGGGUGAAAGUUUGGUGUUUUGUCAAAAGACUAGCAACAAAACCUAUAAUUGUACCUACCCACACCUUAUCUACUAAUAUUGAAGCUAAUCAUUAGCAUCCACAUGUCACUUCCCUUAGUAGUACAUAACCCUUGAUCUGUGCUUAAUUGUUUGAAAACUCUAAUUAUUUGUAAUCCAAAAUUUAUACUUGAAAAAAACAAAAAGAAACAUUAGUAUAGGCUCAUAUCUCCCUCAUUUUUAUUUUUUUGUACUAUUGGUUUGAAUGUAACUUGUGUCUAUUACUUGGAAUUAACCUGAUUGCCACUCACAUUGUUCCUCGUGGAUUCAACCCCAAUCUAAAGUUGGGUAAAUAUAUUGACAACAAUAGCCUUUCACUUAAAUUGACAUGUAAGUUGAGCGUUAUAAAAAAUGUUUGGAAUUUUAGCUUACUUGCUUGAAUUCAAGUUUGUGAAUACUUGUUUGUAAUUUUCUUUUGUUUCUUGUGUUGGGUAGAUUUUUAUUUUCUUUUACUUGCAUACAUGGCAUCUUCCGACAAAUAUGAUUUUUGUAGUUGGAAAUCAUAUCUUAAUGACCUAUGUCCAUAUUGUGAAGGACCCCACAUCAGGAAAGAUUUUAACUAUACUCUCCGGAGAGAGAUGGAAUCACCAUCUCGAUCAUAUUGGGAGUAUAUUUGUUCUGUAUGUGGUGGUCGAGAUGGACAUUAGAGUGAUUGCCCAAAAGCCCCGCCUCUUUUUUUACUAACGAAGUUGCUAGUUUCUCUUGUGAGUUUGAUAGGCCCUAUGAUGAGGAGAAUGAAGAGAAACUUACCGGGCCCACUAGUCUUAAAGUAAUACUUCAAACUAUUUUGGAUUGGGUAACUACAACGGGGGAGAAUGUGCAAGGCAUGCAUCAAUCCCAUGAGGCAUUUGGAAGGGAAAAUUUCAAGAUUGAGGAAAUGGACAAAGAAGAAAAUUUUGAAAAUAUCACUACUCUUACCCAUUUCCUGAGAGAAGGGUGAUUAAGAAGAGAAACAAAGCUAUGAUGAUGAGGUUGGUAGAGAAGACUCCUCGGUGACUUCCCAAUCUACUGAAUCAAAUGAGAAAGAAGAAGACAAAAUAAAAGGAAUGGUGCUAGAUUAAUAAGAAUAAUCAAUGAAAAUCUCUUAUGAUAACUCUAGUUCAUUUCGGGGUAAAGAUGCUUUGGAGGAAGGAAUUCUAAAAUUAGGGGUUGAACCUCAUUCAAACCACUUCUCAACAUUGUUCUUAGAAGAUGUGAUGAGAAUCCAUCUACCUAUGCAAAUAGUGGAUUGUGAGAAGGUGGAAUAUAAUCCCUAUAACUAGGAACUUGAUAUUUCAAAGGAGCAUAUAGAACCCAAUACAACAAUGACCAAGGAACACAACUUUCGAUGGAAAAGAGUGGCCUAUUGAUUUGCUCACUUUUACCCAAGGAGCCCAACAAAAAAUUCGAUGUGAAGUUGGGUAAAAGAUUUAAGUCUUCAAUAUGGAGAGAUCAAAACUUGCUUUCCAUUUCCUCACCUCUUCCAAGCCUUAGCUUAGAAGAUCUGGAUAUUCUGUCCCUCUACUGCCCAUUGCAUAUUGAACAUGUUGCGAUGGAGAUUCAGCUCUGCUAAGUGGAUAAACAAAAGGAAAUGGAAGGGGCACUGUGCUAAGACAUAAAACUAAAUGCUCGAUAGGAGUCAACCCAUCAUGCCACGGAAAGUUGCACAUAUCCUUUUUAUUUAUGCAUGUAAAGUAGAUGUAUUUUUUUCAGUUAUGCAUGCAUAAUCCAUGUAAUGUUGGUGCUAAGAGGAAUUUGGACUAAAGUUGAAAGAGGAACGUGUAAAAUUGGUAGUUUGGAGUAAACAAAAAGUACAGGACACCCAGUUUUUUGGUCUCAAUUAUUGCGAUCACGUCCAUGCCACCACAAUCGCAGAACUAGGACCGCGAUCACAGUCAAGUAUGUUUAAAAUACCAUUUGAAUGCCCUUUCUUUAUUGGAUAUCUCUCUCAAUUUCCCUCAAAAUUCUCUCAAAUUUGUGGUUUUGCAUAGCAUAUCAAAGUGUCAUUUCAUCCCUUGCAUCAGCUAAUUUGUUAAGUUGUCUCAACUCCAUUAAUUUGGAUACAAUGACAUGCUUAGAACUUGUAGUUUAGGAAAGUCCUGAAAUGAUGUUUUCAUUACUAAAUGCAUGUUAGUUUGUGAUUAUUGUUGUGUUUAGCUGUAGUAGUUUGAGUACACACUAAUGGGGAAGUCUUGAGUACCCAGAAUUAGGCCUAAAACUACUUGAAUUGAAGUGUGCAUCAUGUGUUUGAUUUAACGUCCCAAUGAGUCCAACUUGAAAUGUUUUAAGUCUGGGGCCAUAAUCAUUCAUUCUAGGCUUAAAUUCUUUGUGUAUAAUAUUGGUAUGCCUAGUUGGAUCAAAGAAUUGGGUUUAAAAUUAUGCUUAGAAGAGUGUGCAGAAUCUGUUGACUAAGGUCUUAGGUACCACAAUUGUUGUCCUAUUGACCACGAGCGCAGCACCACAAGCGUAGUUAAUGCUCUGCGAUAGCCAAACCUGGGGGCAGUGUCUGUAGGAACCAAAAAUUUAUGUACAUCCAAUUCUACCCCCAAAACCUUCUGUAACGCUACCACAUGCAUUUAUUUGUUUGAUCUAGCAUAUUUUUGGUAUGAUAGUACUAAUGAUGGCCUAAGUGGCAUUGUUUACAGGUUCUAAGCCGCACAGAUGGAAAAAUUUGACAACACAAAAUUCAUGGCCCUACAAUGCCAGAACCUCUACAAUGCAGACUUGCACAAGACUAAGUUACUCCGUAAAAUAGGUAUUAUCUUAGAUAUGGUAGAAGGGAAGGUCCAAGGAUUCCAUGCUAGACUUGUCAAAAAUUGGGUGGAGGUGCUUUUCCCUGGACCCCUGCUAUGCAAAUGGGCAGUGGGUACGGGAGUUCUAUGCUAACCUAAGCGUAACUUGUUUCACAAAACCGAUGAUGACUAUUUGUGAAAAGCAAGUAAACUUUGGGAUAGAGCGAAUCAACGAGGUGUAUGGACUCCUAAAUGCUGACAUGGAGCAAUUCCAUGCAAAACCAUGUGAGCUAGGGACCUGGAUGGCAAAUAUUUUAUGUCUUGGCAAAGAGGUUCCCUGGGCCACUACCAAGAGAUACAUUCAUAUGAAUUACUUCAUAGCUGAGGCCAGGCUUUGGCUUAAUAUCAUCUGUAGUCGAGUAUUGCUAUGCACUCAUAUAACAAUUAUUACAAACUUGUGAGCUCGAAUUGUGACCUGUUUUCUCUCUGGCAUCGCCUUGAAUAUGGGUGAGAUAGUGCACUCAGAGUGGAGGUACAUCAUAAAUUAUGGAGGUACAUAUCUUCUCCUCCCUUCCCUUAUAACAGAGCUAUGCAAGAGGGUACAUGUGGAGAAAUAUACUGCAGAUACAUGGGUACUCCCAAGCCCCCAUUUUUUUCUACUCAAGUUUAGGGGUGAGGGUACCCUAGUUCAGAGUAAAAAAAGGAAGUUGGACUCAAGUAAGUUGACCCAAGAGGGCACAGAUUCUUGUAGACCUUUAUCAGUCAGCCACUUCGAUGACAUAUCUGAUAAGAUAUAUGAGGGUAGGGAGUUAGUAAACAGGUUGCCUCAGGGGUCAGGAGAGUCAUCCACACUUGCCACUUGCAUGUAGCUCAAACGAACUAUGAGAAAUAUAGAGAUGAGCAGAAGAAGUAGAAAGCCACUAUCGUCAGUUUGGAGAGAACUUAUUCAUCCUUAGUUGUAUCACAUAGGGAGCUUAGGUCUUUCCAUGAGAAGAUGGUAAGGAGUGAGAAGAAGAGAGAUAAAUUCUCCAAGAAGCAGUUGAAGGGGGUGAAGUUUAUAUUCAAGGUGAUCAAGCCCAACCAUCGACUACCUUCACCUCUGAUGGAUAGUGAGGGUGAGACCCCUACUGAUUGGUCUAUCGAUGAUGCUCAUGAUGAUGAUGUAGAGUUAGCAGGAGAGAUAAUCUUUUGAGGCAAAUUCAGGGAGACCCCUCUUACUCUUGCUUUAUUACUCAUGAAGUGAGGUCACUACAUUAAAUUUUAGUUGGGGGUGCCCCUAGAUUUUUAUCAGUUUGGUGAUGUGUUUUUGGAUAUUUCUUUUUUAUGCUUUUUUGGGAUAACAUUUGGAUAUUAUUUUUUUUAUUUUUUGGGAUGCUACAUUUUUGGGCACUCUGAUGGUGCCCACCUUUUAUAAUAUAUCUUAUGGUUUUAGAUUUAGUUUUUUGGUUAAUUUAAUUUUAUUUUGAUUUUGGUGAUGUAUGACUAGCUUUGCACUAUGAUAGAUUAAGUGACGACAUUCUUAAGGGUAAAGCAUCGUGGUUGGGUUUUGAGACAUAGAUGCAGGGAAAGUCUGAUUACCCUAGCAUAAAGGUCAUGAAUGCAAGGGAAUUCUGAGUACCUUUGGCACUGUAAAUUAUAAAUUUGGGAUCACAUUAUACACCAUUAGCGAAGUCUGAGAAGCCGUAUGGUUGGUUUUCCCAUUUUGAGUCAAAAUGUGAGGCUAAGGCUUUGGUUAUUGCCAUAGUUUAUCAAAUUUUGUGUGAUGCUAAUGUAAAAUGAACAACACCCUCCAUCCAAAAAAUUUCAAAAAUUAAGGGCAUGGACGUGAGUAAUUUUGUAACAAAAUUUUUUCUCUUUUUGGUGGCUCCAUAAAUUUGUCUUGUAAAAAAUGAUAGAUACUCUAAUUUUGUCUCCCGAGAGAGGGACAUCGUAAUACUCGUGCUUUUUAUUAGCUUAAAAAUCAUCUCAAGGAUGUUAUAACUUUCUUUGAAAUAAGAAUUCAUUCUUAUACACGUGGAAAAUUAAAUAAGCUUUCCAUCCGACACCCGGGCGAAGAGUUAGAGCCUUUUUAGUGAGGUAGUGUUUGACUUGAGCCUUCAGCGCAUCGCGGAGAUAGCUCAAAUAGAAAAUGUCAAAUUCCAGUAUUGCUCCACGAUAUUGGUGCGUCGAUCCAAACUUCCAGGUCCUAGACAAGGUGGCAACGCGUUAACUCCACGUCGCGCCAUUAUGCAGUUUCCCAUAUAUCAAUUUCUAGUGACACGGUGCGAUAACGCCACAACGCGCCAAGGGCCCAAUUCGAGAAAUUUUACUAAAAAUUUAAUUACGUGUCCAGGUUUAAAAGGGUCAAUUUUCCCCCCUAUAUAAGCUUCCAAAACACGGGAUUUAGCCCUUAUUCAUCCAAAAUAUUUAUGUUUUUCUCAAAUACUCUCAAAAACCCAAGCUAGAGUUUUCAUAGAAGGUCCAAUUUUAAGAAGGUUUCACCAUCAAUCUUCACGAAAUCUUGAACUAAGGUAUGCAUAGUGUUCAUUCAUGGACUCCUUUCAUCCAUGAAAUCCAAGAAUCCUUUUUCUAAACUUAAGUUAUGGAUUUUCUAUAUGUUUUCAUGUUUUGGAUGCUCAUGUUCAUGUUUGAUAGAUGUGAAAUUCGAUUAUACUAUAUGAUUGUUGAUAGUUUCUAUGUGGGUUUAAUUACUAUAGCCAUAGAAUCAUGCAACCCUAAGAUUUAAACCUUUGAAUGAUGAAAUUAGAAUUGAAUAAUGAUGUUUACAUGUACCAUGCCUGUCAGAUGUUUGAUUAAAUGCCUGGAUGAUGAAAAUUUGCCUAACUAGCAUGAUAUCAUGAAAAUCCCCAUAUAUGUACAAGAUUAUGCAUAUUACACAUUUGAUGAAAUGCUUCAAUAAAUGUAUUGUGGUGAUUAUCAUGUAUUCAAGAAUAUCAAGUUAUGUCAGUUUCCUUCCAUCGAGUCCUGGGGGUACUUGUACCUGAAAUAUUAGCUAUGUGCCUUGAUCUAUGUCAUGUUUUUCAUGAUACUCUCAGUGAAGCUAUGAACUCUUAGACAUCAAGUAGUCGUAUGACUCAGGAAAAAUCUCCAUGAUCUCAUGACUCAGUCAGUUAUCAGAUAUUAGUAGUAUUUUGUCAAACACAAAACUUUAGUAAAGUCCAUGCUCAGUUAAGUUUAAUAAAUCAUGUUUAGUGUCCAUUCAGAUGGGAGUAGGAGUUAGCACCGAGUGAACCCAAGGAUGGGAACUCAUCUGUUAUAUGAUGGUGUGAUUCCUAGAAGCAAUCCUUGCAUUCAAGAACUAUGUAUCCAGCAUAGGUUGAGACAUCAUAGUCUGCUAUAUGAGGGUAGAUGAGGUGGCUUAACCUAUUAUGUAAGGGUUCCCACUAUUCUCACUAGAGUUGUAUGUUAAAUGAGGGUUACUCACAUGGUGUCUUUACUAGUGGUACGAUAUUGACACCCUUCUAAUCAGGGCAUAGAUUGGACCCCAGCUCAGCUAUUAUAGCACAUUUGGGGCAUGUCAGUUGAUUAGUACUUCCCAUAAUUUCAUGUUACUAAUUCAGGACUGUCAGAUACGGUCAAUCAGUCUCAUUAAUAAAACUCAAAUAGUUCUUCAAAUUUCAGGACUGUCAGAUAGAGUCAAUUUAGAUAUAGUACGGAACUCAAAUAGUUCCAUCAGAUUCAGGACUAUCAGAUACAGUCACCCUUGUUAUCAGCAUUAUUCAGAUAUAGACCUUCAUGUUAUAAAUAAUAUCAUUUACUAGUAUGUCACGUUAUCAGUAUACAAACUCAGAAAUCAUGAAAUCAUGUUGUCAGUUAUAGUUACAUAUUUAUGCAUGUAUUCUCAUAUUCAUGUUAGACAGUUAGUUAGCAUUAUUCAUGCAUUUGAACCAUUGCAUAUAGCCUACUUCACAUGUAUAUUCAGUAUAUAUGUACUGACGCAUUCGUCCUAUGGUGAUUUCUUUAUAUGUUACACCAUUGGUUCAGAUACCCGAGUUCUAGAUCAGCAGUAGAUUCCAGAUUUAGGUGUUAAAGUAACAGUGAGUUCGUAUCCUUUGAGAACAUAAUGAUUUUCUAGUAUCUCAUUGAUUAUCUUAUUAGUUAGAGUUAUUUAGGGACAUGUCCCAUCAACUCCUUAUUCAGAUUCUUCAGACAAUGGAGGCUUUUAGACUAGAUGCAGACUAGAUAUAAACUAUUAUAUUUUAGACUUCAGUUUAGUUAUGGGUAUUCUAUUACCCUACACAGAUGUUACGUUAUUCAGUUUUGUUCAUUAUCAAACCUUAUGGCCUUUUAGUGUAUGUUCCGCAUUAUUAUGUUAUCUUAUACAGUAUGCAGGUACAAAUACCAGUCAUGUGUUAGCUUGUGGUCCUUUGGGGUCAUGAGCACCAUGUAGCAUUCCAGUUCAGCAAAUUGGGUCGUUACAAAUUUGGUAUCAAAGACUAAGGUUCAAUACAGUCCUAGGAAGUCUAAAAGAAGUAGAGUCUUGGCAUGGGUGUAUUGUGCACCACAUUUAUGUGCAAGAGGCUAUGAUAUGUUUUGGAAUAGUUUCCCUUCUUUCAGUAUUCAUGUCGUGCCAGUGAGCAUAAUCAAAAGUCGGUCUCUUAGUCUAAUCCACUCCUUCUCUUUAUUUUAAAACAUGCCUCCUAAUAGAAGAAAUCAGUCAGCCCCUCAGCCCGAAGAACCUUUGGGCGAUCAUGUUUCUCAUGCGGAGUUUAGGACCACAUUUACCACUCUUGCUCAAUCUGUCGCUGCUCAUAAUGAACGGCCAACAGUUGUUUCAGCCAACCUAGUGGCCAACUCAGCUGCAGCGAGGAUUUGGGAAUUCACCCGAAUGAAUCCUCCAACCUUCCUCAAUUCUAAAGUAGAUGAAGACCCUCAGGAAUUCUUAGAUCAAGUUCAGAAAGUGACAGAUGCCAUGGGGGUGAUUAUUGUUGAGAGUUCUGAGCUAGCUAUAUACCAGUUGCAGGAUGUGGCUUAUGCUUGGUUCAAACAGUGAAAGUCUGAAAGAUGAAAUGAUGCAGGUCCUAUAGACUGGGAGGAGUUUUUCACUAUAUUCUUAGAUAGAUUCUUUCCCCAAGAGAUUAGAGAAGCUAAGGUUCUAGAGUUCAUCAACCUCAUGCAGGUCAAUAUAACGGUGAAAGAGUAUUCUCUAAAGUUUACUCAAUUAGCCAGAUAUGCCCCUCAUAUGGUUGUAGACAGUAGAUCAAAGAUGAAUAAGUUCACUUCAGGAGUGAACGAUGGAGUGGUUAAUGAGUGCAGAUCCUCUAUGCUGAACAGUGACAUGACCUUAGCUAGACUUAUGACCCAUGCUCAGCAGAUAGAAGAGCAAAAUAUUAAGCAGAGGAAAAAAUGGAAUAAGAGAGUGAAGAUAGGUAGUUUCAACUUUGCUCAGCCUAAAUUAGAAGGAGAAAACCGUUCUCAAUUUUAUCCUAAGUCAUCAGUUCCAACUCCCUCAACAGCCUAGUGCUCCAGUUUCUAAGUUCAAAGAGGGCAACAAAGAUAGAGCGCCAGGCUCUAAGACCCAGGGGAGUGUUAGUAGUGCUCACACCUAUUCUCUUUUCCAGACUUGUGGUAAGCACCAUCAGGGUAUGUGUAGAGUAGGAAGUGGCAUUUAUUUUAUUUGAGGCAAGACAGGCCUUAGAUUUAGAGACUGUCCGCAGCCAGGUCCUCAGGGUUAACAGAAUUACUUUUCAGCUUAGUCUGGUCACCCAAAUUAGUAGGGUGCCACUUUCAGUGCUACUAGCGGGCAACACCCAAAUCGUCUCUAUGAUAUUCAGACUCUACAUGAUUAGAAAAGUUCUCCUGAUGUAUUUACUGGUGCGUUACAAAUCUUUCAUGUGCAUGCUUAUGCUUUGCUAGAUCCAGGAUCUUUCUUGUCUUUCGUUACUCCUUAUAUAGCAGUUGACUUUGGAGUCAGUCCCAAAAUUCUAGUAGAGCCCAUUUUAGUAUCUACCUCAGUGGGUAAAACCAUCAUAGCUCAGCGGGUAUACAGGAACUACCCAGUUAUGAUAUUUUAGAAAAUUACAUCACCAGAUUUAGUCAACUUUGAGAUGACUAAUUUUGAUGUUAUUCUCAACAUGGAGUGGCUUCAUUUCUGCUAUGCCACAGUCUACUGCAGAAAUAGAAUAGUUCAUUUUCAGUUCCCAAAUAAACCCAUCCUAGAAUGAAAGGGUAGCGUAUUCGCUAUCAGGGGUCAACUUGUUUCAUACCUUUGGGAAAGGAAAAUAAUAUCUAAGAGGUGAGUUUAUCAUCUAGUUCAUGUCCAAUUUCGAGGCUCCCAAUCUUGAAUCAAUCCUAGUAGUGAAUGAAUAUUCAGAUGUCUUUCCCAAAGAUCUUUCAGGAAUUUCUCCCAAAAUAGAAAUAGACAUUGGUAUUGAUAUUCUUUCUGACACUCAACCUAUCUCUAUUCUGCCAUACAGAAUGGCUCCGGCAAAACUCAAGAAACUAAAUAAACAGUUGAAGAAUCUCUUAAAUAAGGGAUUCAUCAGACCCAACAUUUUACUGUAGGGCACACCAGUCUUAUUCAUGCGCAAGAAAGAUGGUUCAAUCAGAAUGUGCAUAGAUUAUUGUCAACUCAAUAAGGUUAUAGUCAAGAACAAGUAUCUUUUUCCCAGAAUCGAUGACUUGUUUGACCAACUUCAGGGUGCCAGUUAUUUCUCUAAGAUAGACCUCAGAUCCGACUAUUAUUAGCUCAGAUUUAGAGAAUGUUACAUCCUAAAAAUAGCUUUCCAUACACGAUAUGGUCACUUUGAAUUUUUAGUUAUGUCGUUUGUUCUUAUCAAUGCCUCAACAACUUUUAUGAACUUGAUGAACCGCGUGUUCAAGCAGUACUUGGACAUUGUAAUACCUCGAGACUCUAACCAAUAGUGCAACUAUGACUCAAGCUCAUGAGAAGUAAAUUAUAGUGCUUUUGUUAUUUCUGAUCAAGGGUGAAGUGUAUUAAGGCCUUAAAGAUGUCCUAGCGAUUAGGUGAAUCAAAACAUUCCUUGCCGAUUGAAUUCUUGGGAAGGAUAUUGCUAUAUUCAAAUUCAAAUGAGCAUAUCUCUCGUUAUACUAUGAAUUAUUGAGCUAAUGAUAUAUAAAAAUAUAUUUCAUUGAAUUAGCUUUCUAACGAUACUAAUUUCACCUAAAUCUGAUAUUGAAGCCAAGAGUUAUGCCCAUUUUACUCCUGCAUGUCAGGCUAGAAAACUGAGUGACGACAUUUUGUAAUAAGUUGUCACAAGUGUGAUGAUUUAUCACCAAUGUCAUCAGCCUUAGGCAUAUUUCCACCGCCAGUAACGAUAUUUUGUGAUAAGUUGUCACAAGUGUGACGACUUAUCACCAAUAUCAUCAACCUUAAGCAGAAAAUCAUAAAAUCUACCCUUUUAUGACGACAUUUCGUAAUGACUUUUCACAAGUUUGAUGACUUGUCACAAAUGUCGUCAGCUAUUUUUUUCUAAAAAUUACACAAAUACACAACUUAUGUUUCAAAUAUUAUAAAAAAUCCCAACUUCCUAAACAUAUUACAAAAAUCCUAACAUAUACACAUAAUGUUAUGUAUAUGCCGGCUAUGUUAUGUAUAUUAAUAGGGAGAGAGAGUAAAGUAAUUAAAAAAGUGGGAGAUAAUAUAAUUACUUCUAAAAGGGUUGGUAUUUAUGUUAUUUAUACUUUCUUUUCAGCAAUUAAAGGACGCUUUUGCAAGGGUAUUUUGGUCUUUUCCCAUCUUUUAGAGGCCCCUAUAUAUAUGAGAAUUCGUAUCUAGACCCUAAUUUCUUCAUUCUCUCUUCCAAUUCUCUUAAAAAAUUUAUCUAGGGUUUUUAUUUAAGGACAUUAAUCUUCCAAAAAUAAUCCAUAAAUCCUCCAGAUUUCUUCAAGAAUAAAGUUCCUCAUAGUGUGGACUUUGAGAAUCAUUUAUUACAAGUGCGAAUAGAGUCUCAAGCACUAGAAUUCAUCCAAUUUCAAAUAUUAAGGUAUGUGGGGUUUUGUACAAGAGUAAUUCUUUCGUUCUUGUGCCCAAAGCUUUGAUUUCUAUCAUGGAUUUAUAUAAUUUUGCAAGUGGGUUUAUACCCAAAUUACUUCAUCAUGAGAUUAUGAGAAUAUAAAUUAUUCAAGCUUUGUAAUACAUGAUUAUUUUGCUAUUCCCAAGUUAUGACUUGAUAUUUAGUGUUGUGAAUUUCAUAUUUCUACCAUGAGUUAAUAUUUCAAGUACUUUCAAAUAUAUGUCAUGCUUUAAGCUUCCUUAUGACAAACUGGAUUAUUGAGUAUAUUAAUUUAUGAGAUUGAGUUGUUACAAUAUGUCUUGAUAUUUCCUCAAAGUAAUUGAUGUUUUCAUGAUUUAAUAAAUUGAUACAUUUUGAUAUUGAGAAAGAUCAAUUUGAUUUGAGUUGAGUUAGGAAUCUACAAAUUGAAUAUGAUUCGAUAAAUGAGAAAGAGAUUUGAUUUGGUCUUCAUAAUAGACCCUUGUGAUGUUUUUGGUGAAUUUUCUAACACAUUUUGAGCUUGUGUUUGGGAGUAGUAUUUAUCACCGAGUAGGAAAUAUGGUAUUUCCCCAAAGCUAUGUGCCACCAUAGGAUUGAUAUUGAUAAUUGUGGGCCAGAGGUCAAGUAUGAGAUUUUGAUCACUAAAUUUAGGUUGUACUCCCUGAAAAGAGUACGCUGCUCCCGCCAGUAUGGGGUUCUCUCCUUAGGAGGGAAAAAUGUUGGAUUCCAUGUAGGUCACAUGGUUUAUGUCGGUUAUAAGAACCUCCCAUGUCCAUAAGAGUUGAGUUUCUUGAAUUACCGAGUCACUCUGAGUCUUGAGUUGAAGAGUUGAGUUAUUUAUGAUGAUUUAUGAGGUUUUUAUCAUAUUAUUUAUUUACAGUGAGAUCAUGAAAAGUAUAUUUCAAUCUAACUCAAGCCAAGUGAGCCAUCAUUGUACAUAUGUAUAUUUUUAUGAAAUUGAUGAUGAUAUUUUCAUUGUUGCAUGCACCCCCACAUACUCAGUACAUUCCAAAGUGCUGAACCACAUAUUUUUCUAUGUGCUACAUUUUCUCAUAAUAUAGGUUCAGGUACUCAGCCGCAGAUACGUUAGUGAUAUUCGAGUGCCUCAACUACGUUCCCUCAGUGGUGAGUCCUCAUGGUUUGAGGACCGUGUCUAUAUUUUUUGUGAUAUCAUUCUAUUGUUAUGGCUUUCAAUACUGUUUGAGUUAGUUGGGGGUUUGUCUCAAUAGCUCCUUGAUUUUGAUGUAUAGAGGCUUUGUCAGACUAGAGGGUUGGUAUAUAUAGACAUUCAAUAUAUUUUUUUUAUAUAGUCUAGUAUUCUUUAGUAUUUCUCUUGAACCUAAUGUGUAUAUCUCUUUGUUGUGCAUGACUAUUGUUGAAUUGAAUUCCUUAAGGUAGUGUCUGGAUUCGAGUGUUAGCUUGGGGCAACGUGUAUCCCUAAGCACUGUAUGGUGUCUCGAGAUAAAAUUUUAGGGUGUUACAAAUCCCGGUAUCAGAGCCUAAGGUUUAAGGAGUCCUCGUGAGUCUCACCAGCCACGUUACAUAGAGUCUUAAUCAUUGGUGUGUAGCGCGCCACAUCUAUGAGCAAGAGGCUAUAAACCAUUUUAGGAAAAGUCAUUUCUCUCUUUCUAAAGUUUAUUAUUCCUACAACUGUCUCUUUAUCUAUGAUUAAAUCAUGCUCUUUUAUAAUAGAAAAUGCCUCCUCGUUGAGUUCGAAGAAAUAACGAGAAACCUCAACCCAUUGAUCCCUUGAACGAGCAUGUGUCUCAUGCAGAAUUUCAAGCAUUUUGUCAUGUGCUAGCCUAGGAAGGUACCACCAAUGCUCAAUCUAACACCCAGGCUACUGUUCCUCCUCUACAAAAGAAUAAUUCUACUACAGCUCGAGUUUGUGACUUUAUGCAGAUAAAUCCUCCUGAGUUCUAUGGUUUGAAGGUAGGUGAAGACCUACAAAUAUACUUGGAUGAAGUGAGAAAGAUCACCCAGAUUAUGCAUGUGACUGGGGAAGAGAGUGUGAUUUAUCUACCUAUCGAAUGAAAGAUAUUGCAUAUGAUUGGGUGGGGAUAUGGAGAAUGAGUAGAGCGGAGGAUGCCGCUCCCAUGACUUGGCAGUUAUUCUAAGAUACGUUCUUGGAUAAAUUCUUUCCUCUUGAGAUGAGAGAAGCAAAGAUACAGGAAUUUAUGAAUUUGAUACAAGGCUCCAUGACUGUUAAGGAGUAUUGUCUUAGAUUAAAUCAGUUAUCCAAAUAUGCUCCUAGUAUGAUAGUUGACUCCAGGACCAUCAUGAGCAAGUUCGUGACCGGUGUGUUGAUUUACAUUGUGAAAGAGGGUAGAUCUUCUAUGCUUAAUAGGGAGAUGGACCUUUUUCAAUUAAUGACACAUGCCCAAUAGAUUGAAGCUAAUAAGGUGAAAGAAAGGGAGAGAGUAAAAGGGAAUAAAAGAGCUAGAUCAGAGCAGUAAGGAUUCAGUCAAUCCAGAUUCCAUGGAGGGAACAUCCCUCAAUUUUAGGGUCUUCCAUUUAUGCCCACACCUUCCUCAGUUAGUAAUCCAGCACCUAGAAGUAGGCAGGAGCAGGGGAACAACCUAUCCCGUCCAGGUUUUAGGAAAGUGUAAGUAACAGACCUCGUCCUUCUCAUGAGACUCUAACCAAUAGUACAACCAUGACUUAAGCUUAUGAGAAGUAAAUUAUAGUGCUUUGGUUGUUUUUUGAUCACGGGUGAUGUGUAUUAAGGACUCAAAUAUGUCCUAGCGAUUAGGUGAAUCAAAACAUUCCUUACUGAUAGAAUUCGUGGGAAGGAUAUUGCCAUAUACAACUUCAAAUGAGGAUAUAUAUGGUUAUACUAUGAAUUAUUGAUCUCAUGAUGUACCAAAAUAUAGAUAAUUGAAUUAGGUUUCCAACAAUACAAAUUUCACCCAAAUCCGGUGUUAGAGCCAAGAGUUAUGCCCUUUUUACCCCAGCAUGUCAGGCUGGAAAACUGAGUGACGACAUUUUUUGAUAAGCUGUCACAAGUGUGACGACUUAUAACCAACGUCAUCGGCCUUAGGCAGAUUUCCACCCCCAGUGAUGAUACUUUUUGAUAAGUUGUCACAAGUGUGAUGACUUAUCACCAAUGUCGUCAACCUUAAGCAAAAAAUCAUAAAAUCCACCCUUUUGUGACGAAAUUUCAUGACAACGUGUCACAAGUCUGGUGACUUGACAUAAAUUUCGUCAACUAUUUUUUUUAGCAGUUAAAAGACAUUUUUGCAAAUGUAUUUUCAUCUUUUCCCAUCUUUUGGAGGCCCCUAUAUAUAUGAGAAUUCCCAUCUAAACCUUAAUUUCUUCAUUCUCUCUUUCAAUUCUCUUAAUAAAUAUAUCUAGGGUUUUUAUUUAAGGACAUUAAUCUUCAAAAAUCAUCCAUAAAUCUUCAAGAUUUAUUCAAGAAUCAAGUUCCUCAUAGUGUGGGCUUCGAGAAUCAUUUAUUACAAGUGCGGAUAGCGUCUCCAGCACUAGAAUCAUCCCAUUUCAAAGAUUAAGGUAUGUGGGAUUUUGAACAAUAGCAAUUCGUUAGUUCUUAUGCCCAAAGCUUUGAUUUCUAUCAUGGAUUUAUAUGAUUGUGCAAAUGGAUUUAUACCCAAAUUAAUUCAUCAUGAGAUUAUGAGAAUAUAAAUUGUUCAAGCUUUGUUAUACAUGAUUAUUUUGCUAUUCCCAAGUUAUGACUUGAUAUUUAAUAUUGUGAAUUUUAUAUUUCUACCAUGAGUUGAUAUUUCAAGUACUUUAAAAAUGUGUGUCAAGCUUUAAGCUUCCUUAUGACAAACUGGAUUAUUGAGUAUAUUGAUUCAUGGUUUUGCAAUAAGUCUUGAUAUUUCCUCAAAGUUAUUGAUGUUGUCAUGAUUUAAUGAAUUGAUACAUUUUGAUAUUGAGAAAGAUUGGUUUGAUUUGAGUCGAGUUAGGAAUCUACAAAUUGAUUAUGAUUUGAUAAAUGAGAAAGAGAUUUGAUUUGUUCUUCAUGAUAGACCCUUGUGAUGUUUUUGGUAGAUUUCCUAAAGCGUUCUAAGCUUGUGUCUGGGAGUAGUAUUUAGAACCGAGCGGGAAAUAUGGUAUUUCCCCAAAACUACGUGCCACCAUAGGAUUGAUAUUGAUAAUUGUGGGCCAGAGAGUAUGAGAUUGUAAUCACUAAAUUUAGAUUGUACUCCCUAGCAAGAGUACGACGCUCCCGCCAAUGUGGGGUUCUCUCCUUAGGAGGGCAAAAUGUUGGACUCUAUGUAACUCACAUGGUUUAUGUCAGUUAUAAGAACCUCCCUUUUCCAUAAGAGUUGAGUUUUUUGAAUUACCGAGUCACUUUGAGUCUUGAGUUGAAGAGUUGAGUUAUUUAUGAUAAUUUAUGAAGUUUUUAUCAUAUGAUUUAUUUACUAUGAGAUCAUGAAAAGUAGGUUUCAAUCUAACUCAAGCUUUAUGAGCCAUUAUUGUACAUAUGCAUAUUUUUAUAAAAUUGAUGAUGAUAUUGGCAUUAUUGCAUGCACCCCCACAUACUCAGUACAUUCCAAAGUGCUGACCCACAUAUUUUUCUAUAGGCUACAUUUUCUCAUAAUAUAGGUUCUGAUACUUAGCUGCAGCCGUGUUAGUGAUAUUCGAGUGCCUCUACUGUAUUCCCUCAGUGGUGAGUCUUAGGAUUCGAGAACUGUGUUUAUAAUUCUGGUGAUAUCAUUCUAUUGUUAUGGCUUUCAGUACUGUUUGAGUCAGUUGGGGGUUUGUCCCAAUGGCUCCUUGAUUUUGAUGUAUAGAGCUUUGUCAGAAUAGAGGGUUGGUAUGUAAAGAUAUUUAAUAUAUUUUUGUAAUACAGUCUAGUAUUCUCUAGUAUUUCUCUUGAACCCGAUAUGGUAUAUCUCUUUGUUGUGCAUGACUAUUGCUGAAUUGAAUUCCUUGAGAUAUUAUCUGGCUCCAAGGGUUAGCUUGGGGCUACGUGUAGCCCUAAGCACUGUGUGACAUCUCAGGAUGAAAUUUUAGGGCGUUACAGACAUGUUCGUCAUAGUCUUCAUAGAAGAUAUUCUGAUUUAUUCCCGCACUAAGAUAGAUCAUUCAAACCAUCUCAGAAUAGCACUUUAUACUGUCAGUGAUCAUAAGUUAUUCAUCAAAUUUAGUAAGUGCAAAGUUUUGCUAAGAUUGGUAUCAUUCCUUGGUCAUAUUAUUUUCGGUGAUGGCAUUAGAGUAGAUCCUCAAAAGAUCGAAGUAGUAAAAAACUGGCCUUGCCCUAUUUCUCUAUCAGAAUUAGUUGUUUCUUGGGUUUGGCUGUCUAUUACAGACAGUUUGUUGAGGGAUUUUCUUCUAUUGCGUCUCUUAUGUCCAUAUUGACUCAGAAAAAGGUCAAGUUUUAGUAGUCAGAUUCAUAUGAGAUGAGUUUUUAGGAAUUGAAUACUCGACUCACCUCAGCUCUAGUUCUAGCUCUUCCAAAUAGUUUAGACGAUUUUGUAGUUUAUUGUGAUGCAUCUAGAGUAGGUAUAGGUUGUGUCCUCCUACAUCAUGGUAAGGUCAUAGCCUACGCAUCCAGACAGGUUAAAACCCAUGAGAGGAAUUAUCCUACUCAUGAUCUUAAAUUAGCAGCUGUAGUAUUUUUCUUGAUGAUUUGGAGGCAUUAUUUAUAUGGUGUCCAUGUAGACGUCUUCACAGAUCAUAAGAGCCUUCAGUAUGUCUUUUCUAAAAAAAAUCUCAAUCUUCGUCAGGGAAGAUAAUUAGAGCUCUUAAAAGAUUAUGACAUGAGUGUCCUCUAUCAUCCACACUAGGACAACAUAGUGGCUAAUACGCCCAAAUUAUAAUUCUCGUUAGAGAGUCCAAGCGGUCGCUGUCAAAUAUAGAACCCAAGUGGGUUGGGUGUCGAAUCCCACAGGGAAUACUAUGAUCACUAAGUAUUGUGAUAUUAUUAGACUGUUGAUCGAAGGUUCCAAGGAAAGGGGGGCUUGGUUUAAGUGCACAAUAAUAUUAUCAGUGUAACGAUGAGAUGAUAUGUGUAAUUAUAUUUGAUCACAGAGAACGACAAGUUAGGGUUAUGUCCACCUUGUAGCUUCUACUUCUCUAUUAACUAUGAGUAAUACGAAUUUUAUACAUGCAUGCACUUAUAGAGAGACGUAUUCUAAUUCUAAAUCCAAGUGUUUUUCAACCAUCAAGGAUUUAUUCACCUUAGUUCUCUCGAAUCCAAAGUGUACAACCAAUUGUACGAACUCUCCAAGAAGUUAAUCCUACUAGGGCAUUAACGUGUAAAAUAGAGGUUGGAAACCCUAUUUUCUUGUCACACUCUCUUUUCCAAACAGUAACUUUUCUAUUGAAAAAGUUAUUGCUAUAAUGGCGCAUUCCCUAUGUUUGCAACCACGAGAAUUCAAUCAAAAUGAAGAGGGUAAUGAUAUAAAUGGCGUGACACAUCAUAAAUUCACAAAACCCAUAGAAAUAGAGAGUAUACUACAAGGUUUCCAUAACCCUAACAAAUAAACUUAGCUACUCAUGAAUAAAACAGAAAUCAAAAUAAAAAUAUUCAUCAUACCAAAACUUAGAACGGUCUUAGUGAUAAAGAUGAAUAGCGAAAAUAAGAGAGAAAAGCAUUUCUCUCUUUCCGUCGCUCAAGCUAAGCUGCUAUUCCUUGUUUUUCAAAAUAAUACAGAAUCUGAAGUAUCCCUGAAAAUUCAGCCAUAAGGCUUUUAAUAACAUCCUUCUCUAAUAAAUUGCUACUGCAUCCUUAACUAUUUAAAAAUGUUGAGUUUGAAAGGGAAAAAGUUCCCCUACAUCACAUUUAGUCCAAAAGCUGCUUUCCUUUUUAUGUGAAGUUUUCAUUUGUUGUCCACAGGUCCCCAAAGUGCUGUAAUCUUCCUCAUUAGUACCUGAAAAGCAUGCUAAUCACAUAGGUCAGCUCACUUAACUGAAAAUAGACUAAAAGUGCAAGACUUAUGUAUUUUAUUCUAAAAACUUAGCUAAAACAUGGGUAAGUUAUGGUGCUUAGACGUAUAAAUACGCCCAACAUCACCACCCCACACUUAAAGCUUUGUUUGUCCUCGAACAAAAGAGUACAUCCAUGCAAAUCCCUAACUAAAAUUCACAAAAGCAACACAAAAUUUUCAACAAGACAUACACAACAAUUAUUCACAAAGAGUAGAUUUCUUGAUCAUUACUAGAAAUAAAUCACCCUCCAACAUAGACUCAUUAAGUUGGUUAAUUUGUAUACACAAGUUAAGCCAAAAGAAAUCAUAUAAAACAACCCAACAAUCAUCAACCAUGUGCGCUCACACAAAAUGUUACCCAUAAUCACUCAUAGUUUUGCAUUUUUCAGAAAUAUGGGUAUAAGAACUUGCUUGCUCUCACUCUCACAAAGAAUUCUUAGAUUACAACUGAUGACCAUAUGCUUGCCCUUAGUCUAAUGCUCCACUAAUAUCAGAAUGCUAAGGUUAGGAUCAAAUAGGUCUUUACGGGUUGUAAAGUAGGCUAAAGGGUUGUGUAGGACUAUUUUGGCCAGAAAUAGUGACUAUGUUCCCUAAGCGCUUUAAUACACUACAUUAUGCCAUUUACACUAACUUCUAACAACCACUCUACCCUUCUUCACCCAUUUUGUUACUCAAUUAAAAACACUAUGAUGGGAAUAUACAACUCUUUUUUUUCAAGCAUCCCCAUGAUAGCCACCCUCAGUUUAGACUAUUUGCAUCCCUCAGGGUGCCACUCCCGAUCACAAUAUUUUCAUGUACCAAUAACUAAACUUUGGGGCAUCACUUUCACUAUUUUCCUCUUAUUUUGCCACACUCUUUACUCAACUUGAUUCUACAAUUUAAAGCGCUUAGGAGCUUUUGGAUCAAAUUAUGGUAUUUUAAAAAAAAAAUGGAUUAGACUACAUAUGGGGUUGCCAAAGAAAACAGAUAAAGGCUCAAUGGGUGUUCAGUAGGACAAUGUACAAAGGUAGGUAAAAAGAAGAUAAACAAAAUCAGGGCUGCCAAAGAGAUGCCUAAAUAAUCUCCUAAACUCACAAUCUUUAUUUCGCUUCACAAACACACUAGGCAAGUUCUAGCAUCCGUCGCAACAAAGAAUAUACAAUAACCUUACACACAUAUGGCACAUGGUCAACUUAAUUAGGAUCAUUAUAGAUUCUUGACCCAACAGAUAAAUGAAUUAAACCACAAGCAAUUAUCACAGAAUGAGUCACAACUUAGAGCCUAAAUGUUUCAAUAGUAGUGAUUCAGCACAAACUCCUGUUAUAAUGCCAUGCCGUCUAUAAGAACAAUUUCAUGCAAAAAUCUGACUAAUUAUAACUAACUAACUACGACUAAAUCAAAACAACUAUAGAAUAAAUGCAGACAAGCAGUACGCAAUACAGAAGACAAGGCAAUCCGUAGACAUAUACCCGCACCCCACACUAAUACGGAACAUACUUCCCUCAGUGUAAAUAAAUAAGCAAAAACCUGGUUAGUUAGACUCCUCCUCAAUAUCCGGGGUCAUACCCCGUGCGUCAGAAUCAUCAUCAAAGUCUUCAUCAUCAGAGUUGUCCUCCACAUCAGAGUCAAGCAGUCGAUGAUCAUCAUUUGUCGGCACAUCAUCAUCUAGAGGUUCCUUAAAAUUUACCCCCACUCUACACAUAGCCCGAGCAUGCUCUUUAAGUGGGUAGUCAUAGCCCAACUGCCGAAGCUCUGCAUCAGUCAGCACACGACCCCCACUCAUCAUAGUAAACCUAGUCAUGCUAUACAAAUGGCAAAAAAAACUCUCAUCUCGAGCAUGUCUCUCAGCAGUGGUAAGGUUGAUGCCUUGACUAGUUUCUGGAUCUUUGAUUUUUGUGAGAUCUACCUUCUUUCGGUUUUAUGGCAACUUAUGGUCUGUUGGCUCCUCCUCAAUGUGCUCUUUCCAUAAAAUUGCAGUCAACAAGUUUCCGAAACUGAAAUGGGACCUUUUGUGCACCUUUGCUUUUCGUAUCGACGUUCGUAUAACUGCACCAAUGUUGAUGGGAACAUUCGUCAUCAGAGCAUAUACCAAGCAGACUCAAUCACGCAUGACCUUAGUGUAUUAUGUCCCAGGAAUCAAGUCAUAAUUGACUAUUCUAAACCAUAUGCGAGCUUUUCUGUUCAAACAAGCAUAUGGGUAAGUAUUGUGACGACCAUUAUCUUUAUAAUGAGUCCACCGGGUCAUGGACCUUGAUCCACACAACGUAUGUCUUAUGGCUCUGUAGGGAGGUCUGUGGUAGAGCUCCUUGAGUGUUGAUUGAUCCACAUUUGGAGUACCCAGGAAAAAGUUGAAGAAAUCAGCGUUCAAUUGGAAGACUUGCCCCCUAAUCUUUCCUUCAUUUCCCGUAGUCCUUGGGGACCAGUUGGCAUAAAACUCUCGAGUCAAAUCAAGAUUACAUUCGCCCAGGUCUCAGAAGAUAAAGUCAAGAUUUAGUGCCAUAAUCUUUGCCAAAAUGCGAGGGAAGUUCCUUGCUAAACUUUCCUUCUGCAUCAACUCCACAUGUACAUAUUUCUUCACUUUAUUGUUUCUAUACCAUUCCUUCCCUUCCUCCUCCAGAACCCAUUUGAUCCCAAAAGUUCGUCGAGGCACUUGAUGAGAGGAGGAAUCAGCCUGGUCCUUUCUUGACCUUUUUUGACCUUUUUAUAAGGUGGAUGCUUUCUCCUUUCCCUGUCGUCCUUUCAGAGCCAUGUUACCUGAGAUCCUAAUAGGGUCAUGUUAGUCUCAUUUUGUUAAAUUCACUAUAAUCGAAAAAGAAAAUAGUGAUGGCACCACCCCACACUUAAUUUGUUUGCACAAACUAAUUGAGUGAGUGUGUCCAAUUACUCAGAUUUUAUCGACAUACAUUUAGAUGGUAUGUGCCAACAACAUUAUUAUUGCAGUCACACUUUCAACCCUUCACUUUACAUAACAAUUUCUCAGUUUGAUAUAGAGAAGCAGCACAUAAUGUUCCUGUAAUCUUGACUAUCAUUUCCAACUUUAUUUCAUUAGGGCAAUGCAAUCUUUGAACAAGACUACCACAUAGGAAUCUUAUCAUGGAAACAAUUACACAAUCUUAUGCUUUUGGCUAACCAUGAGCAUUGCAUCGAUGAAAGAGUCACUCACAUAGUUAAGCUUACAACUCCCAAAAUUAUGCAUUAAACUUCAAUAUUUCAACUCCAUAAUAAUAAAAAAUUAUGACAGUGAAUACCAAUCAAUACAUGCCAGAGUAAAAUCAAGAUUACCUANNNNNNNNNNNNNNNNNNNNNNNNNNNNNNNNNNNNNNNNNNNNNNNNCAUAACAAACUAACCAUACUCUUAUCACCAAGCACUACUACAAAAUCUAGUUAACCAUUAUAAGCGUAACACUAAAACAAUUACGGAACAUGAAAGAGCAACUUACUUGGUGAUAACUUCGUAAUGAAUCGGGAAGGUGAGCCUGCAGUAUUAGAUGAGAAAAGAGAAGAGAUUGGAGAGGUAAAGGAGAUAUUGGGCGGCGCUUAGGUUGAAGAAAAUUUAGUGGGGUUUAAGGGUAGAGGAUAUAUUUAAAGGAUGAGCCAUGGGUCGGGUUGGUCGAUUCACAAACGGGUUAGUAGGAAAAAUGUGUAAGUAGGCGGCGCCUAACCUAUGGCCUAUGUUGGCAUAGGCGGUGCCUAACCUAUUGCCUAUGUUGGCAUAGGCGGCGCCUAACCUAUUUCCUAUGUUGGCAUAGGCGGCGUCUAACCUAUCACCUAUUUCAGACAGUGAGCAUAGGCAAUGGCAUAGGCGGUGCCUAACCUAUUGCCUAUGUUGGCAUAGGCGGCGCCUAACCUAUCGCCUAUGUGAGACAGUGAGCAUAGACAAUGGCAUAGUCGGCGCCUAACCUAUUGCCUAUGUUGGCAUAGGCGGCGCCUAACCUAUCGCCUAUGUUGGUAUAGGCAAUUGGAAAAGCGGCGCACUCUUGGUUGAAUCUACAUAAUUCGAGGCGCGACUCUAAUGCAGAUCAUACUUGAACCUUACACAUUUGACCACUCCCACUUACCUGUAUUGUUCCAUCAUUCCUAGACUUACCACCAUUGACAUGACUCACUUCCAAAUCAAACUUUGGACUAAUCUCCUCCUUUGUACUUCAUGCACCUACACUUAAUCAAAAACAACAAAAAUGAUUAGAAGGAUGGGUUACGUCCCACCAAGCGCCUUAGUUUUGGUCGUGGCUCGACUCCUCUUUUUGUAUUUUUAUUUAUCAAAAAAAAAAUCCUAGUAAAAUGAUGGGUUGCCUCCCAUAUAGCGCUUGAUUUAUUGUCGCGGCAUGACAUAGUUAUCUCGAUUACUCAGACUUCACCAAGAUAUAUGGUGGCUAUACAUUUUAUCGAGUCGGUUGGACCGAUAUAUAGCUUCACUCUUUGGCCAUUCACCUUAAAGACCCUACCAUUACUGUUUUCUAACUCGACUACUCCAGAUGAGUAAACUUGGGUGAUUCUGAAUGGACCAGACCAUCUAAACUUCAACUUACCUGGAAACAGCUUCAGUCUGGAGUUGAAAAGGAGUACCAAAUCGCCUUUCUAAAAGCUUCGUUGGAUAAUCCUCCGAUCAUGGUACUUUUUCAUCCUUUCCUUGUAAAGAUCUGCUCUUUCAUAUGCAUUUAGAUGGAAUUCAUCCAUCUCGUUUGGUUGUCCAAUCUCAUAUCUAUAGCAUCAUCCCAGUUCAGGUUAAGCUACUUUAGUGCCCACAUUGAUUUAGUUCUAGCUCAAUUGUCAAGUGACAAGACUUUCCAUAAACUAGUUGGUAUGGUGACAUGCCAAUUAGUGUCUUAAAUACGGUCCUAUAUGCCCAUAAGGCGUCGUCCAGCUUCCUAGACCAAUCUUUCCUGCUGGCAUUCAUAGUCUUAGCAAGGAUCAGCUUGAUUUCCCAAUUUGAAACCUCCACCUGCCCACUAGUUUGUGGGUGGUACGGUGAAUCUACCUUAUGUUGCUUAACCCCAUACUUUGCCAAUAUGGCUCUGAACAGCUUGUUGCAGAAAUAUGAUCCUCCAUCGCUUAUGAUGGCACGAGGUACCCCAAAACGAGAGAAGAUAUUUCUCUUUAAGAACGCCACAACACUCUUACCUUCAUUAUCAGCUAGAGCGACUGCUUUGACCCCUUUGGAUACAUAAUCCACAGCAACUAAGAUAUAUUUCAUCCCAAAUGAGUGCAUAAAUGGGCCCAUGAAGUCAAUACCCCAGACAUCGAAUAACUCUACUUCAAGCAUUUUGGACAUGGGCAUCUCAUGGUGCUUUGAAAUAGAACCUUUCCGCUGACACUGAUCACAUCUUUUUACAAAAUCGUAGGCAUCCUUGAAUAAUGAAGGCCAAUAGUAGCCACUUUGCAGUACUUUCUUGGCCGUCCGAUCACCUGCAUGGUGACCUCCAACUUGGGAAGCAUGGCUUACUUCUAGUAUGCUAGGCACCUCUACAUCUGGGAUGUACCACCUAAUAAUACCAUCAGUACAUCAUUGAAAAAGAUAAGGCUCAUCCCAGAAAUAAUGUUUCACAUCAUGCAUGAACUUUUUCUUUUGAUGAAAGGAGAGAUGCUCAGGAAUCACUUCGCUUACCACGUAGUUAGCAAAAUCUGCCACGGUAAGUUUUCCACCAUAGUUGCUAGAAUCUCUUCAUCAGGGAAUGCAUCAUCAAUAUCAAGGUCGGUUUGCACUGUGUGCUCAGUCUCAAGUCUAGAUAGAUGAUCAGCUACUUGGUUUUCACAACCUCUUCUAUCUUUUACCUCGAAAUCAAAUUCUUGAAGCAGUAACACCCACCUAAUUAGCCUUGUCUUGUCAUUCUUCUUUAACAUUAGAUAUCUUAGAGCCGCAUGAUUUGUAUGAACCACUACCUUGGUUCCCAACAAGUAAGCACAGAACUUUUCGAAAGCAUAAACAACCGCUAGAAGCUCUUGUUCAGUAACGGUAUAGUUCUUCUGUGCUCCAUUCAAGGCCUUGACUGCGUAGUAGAUUGUAUGAAAUAGCUUUUCUCUUUUCUGACCAAGUACAGCAUCCAAGGCUACACCACUUGCAUCACACAUAACUUCAAAAGGUAGAGACCAAUCGGGUGCUACAAUAAUUGGGGCUUCAACUAACUUUCCUUUGAGGCAUUCAAAUGCCUUCAAGAAAUCUUCACCAAACUAAAACUUUGCCUCCUUCUCCAAAAGUUUGCAUAAUGGUUUUGCAAUAUUGGAGAAGUCUUUAAUAAACCUCCGAUAAAAACCAGCAUGACCGAGAAAACUACAAACCCCCUUCACAGAAAUGGGAGGUGGUAGUCUCUCGAUAACUUCAAUCUUAUCUCGAUCAACUUCAAUUCCAUUUUCAGAGACCUUAUGCCCGAGAACAAUGCCUUUCUUAACCAUAAAAUAGCACUUCUCCUAAUUUAGCACCAGAUUGAAUUCCAUACAUCGCUGCAAAGCCAUACUCAGAUUUGCCAAGCAUGACUCAAAUGACUCACCUACAACUGAAAAGUCAUCCAUAAACACCUCCAAGGUUUCUUCAACCAUAUCAGAUAAAAUGGACAUCAUACACUGCUGAAAAGUGGUAGGUGCAUUACAUAGCCCAAAUGCCAAUCGUUUGAAUGCAAAAGUACCAUAUGGGCAUGUGAAAGUGGUCUUCUCCUGAUCUUUAGGAGAAAUGCAAAUAUGAUUAUAUCCAGAAUAACCAUCCAAGAAACAGAACCAUCCCUUUCCUAAUAAUCAAUCAAGUAUUUAAUCCAUGAAUGACAUUGGGAAGUGGUCCUUUAACAUCCACGAGUUUAGCUUUCGGUAAUCCAUACACACCCUCCACCCUGUGAUAGGCUUGAGUGGAAUUACCUCAUUCUACUCGUUCGCUACUACUGUUAUACCCCCUUUCUUGGGCACACAUUGUACAGGACUCACCCAUUUACUGUCUGAGAUUGGAUACACCACCCCUGCAUCUAACCACUUUAUGAUUUCUUUCUUUACCACCUCUUGCAUAGGUGGAUUCAGAAGAUACUGAUGCUCAAUAGUGGGUACACAAUCUUCCUCUAGCUGAAUUUUGUGCAUACAUAUGCCAGGAGGGAUCCCAAUUAUAUCAGUAAUAGUCCAACCAAUAGCUCUCUGGUACCUCUUCAGAACAGAGAUGAGAGCCUCUACCUGUUGUUCACCUAUACCAGCAGCAAUAAUAACCGGCAGUGUAUUUCCACUACCCAAGAACACAUACCUUAGAUGACUGGGUAGCUCUUUUAAUUCUAGCACCGGUGGCUCUUCAAUGGAUGGCUUCGCCGGUGGGGAAGGUCGAUUCUUAAGGUCAAGUUCCAGCUUUUUGGGGGCAUAAGAAUACGACCGUAUUCCUGUCAAAGCACAGAUAGUUUAUUCGUACUCUUUAAUAUCCUCACAAUCAAAGUUCAAAAGUACAGCAGCCAAUGGCUCAACAGUAAGCUGCUUCUUUAAAGAUAAUUCCUUCUCAUCCUCAUUAUAAAAUCAUCUAUAGAGAACACAUUCAUAUCUUUGGGCUGCUUCAUUGAUUUGCAUAUAUCAAAAUACACCACUUCAUCAUUCAUCAGAAAUAAAAGCUCAUUUUCUCAUAAAUCAAUAAGCACAAUUCCUAUUGUGAGGAAAGGUCGACCCAAGAUUAUGGGAACCUCAAAAUCCACCUCACAAUCCAAAAUAACAAAGUCUGCAGGAAAAAUAAAGGUAGAAACCUUCACUAAUACAUCAUACAAGAUACCAACAGGUCAUUUUACCGACCUAUCUGCCAUUACAAGUCGCAUGUUGGUUGGUGUAGGACCGCCCAACCCCAACUAUCUAUAGAUGGCUAGUGGCAUUAAAUUAAUGCUAGCCCCUAGAUCACAUAAGUCCUUAGCAAAGUCUAAAGAUCCAAUCGUUCAAGGAAUGGUGAAAGCACCCGGAUCUGCCUUCUUUUGUACCUAAGACCUCAUGGCAAUGGCACUACAAUGAUGAAAAUUAUCAGCCAGUUCAUAGCUCGCUGCCCUUUUCUUUCUCAAAAGGUCCUUCACAUAUUUGGCGUACCCUGGCAUUUGCUCCAGUGCCUCCACCGAAGGUAUAUUUAUAGUCAGCUCCUUCAGCAUGGUCAUGAAUUUACUGAACCUGGUGUCAUCAGCCAUCUUUUUCAGUCUCUAAGGAAAAGGUGGUGUGGAUUUGGAAGAUUUUUCUCCACCACUUCCUUUUUAUUGUGCUUCCCAUUAUAAAUCUUUUUCAGACUGCUGACAUCUAGGUGUAGUAUCGUGGACGAUCUCAUCCUGAUUUUCAACUUCUACAAAAUCAUCACAAUCUACUUCAAUAACAUUCUCUUCUAUAUUAUCAACCACGGCCUUGCCUUUGGAUGGAUUUUCCAGCACCUUACCACUCCUGGUUGUAAUAGCCAAACAUGAUCCAUCUUUUGUUAGAUUUUGGACAGUGUCACUCAGUAAAGUGCCAGCUUUUCUUUGAUUGAAUGCCGCUAAUAGUUGACUCAUUUGUUGUUCCAGCUAUUUUAUUAUAGUGAAAUGCGAGUCAACCAAUUGAUUUAUUGAGGAAAAAUCAUUUUUUACCUCAGUUACUUCCGUGUUGGUUGCCUCCACUCCUUUCAACAGCUUAGCCAUCAUGUCCUCCAUGGACAUCUUCCCAAAGCUAGGUACAGCAGCUUCACAAUUUCUAAGAGGGACAUACAAACCGCUCCUGUCAUUCUUAUUAUUCCCAUUCCAUUGGCCUCGGUCCUUGUAUCCAAAUUUUUCAUGAUAGUUCUGACCUUGAUUUCCUUGGACAUUGCCUCGGAAACCCUCCUGAUUAUUCAAGUAAUUUCCUUCCUCCUCAGAAUCGAAGUCAUCUCUUCCCUGUGAUACAACAGCCUUGACCUUUUCUAUCUUCCCUGAUAAUAAAUGUUUAGUAAGAAGGUCCAUAUGCGUUUUCAUGUUAGCCAUAUCCUGGUCAUGUUCCUCUUUUCUUCGCCUCUGUUCUGCCAUUAUGCUAAUAGAUACAGUAGAUCUUUCUACCUCAGAAUCCCUGGUAUGCCAAGCUCUACUUUUCUUUGUUAUACGAUCCAGCAUAUCACAUGCCUCAAUAAAAGUAACAUCCAUGAAUGACCCACCUGCAGCUUUAUCAACCACUGGCUUAGUCACCGAUUUCAAAGCCUUAUAUAAUAUUUCCAUCAAGUGGACAUUUGUUAUCUGAUGAUUUGGGCACCGCAUAAGCUUCUUCUUGAACCUCUCCCAUGUAUCAUGGAGAGCUUCAAUUGGAAGCUGUCUGAAAUUGCUUAUCUCAUCUCUUAAUUAUGCUCUCUUGGAUGGCGGAAAUAAUCUUUCUAGGAAAGCUUCUUUCAGUUGCCUCCAAUUGGUAAUAGAGUCAGGAGUUAGCCCAUUUAACCAUAGAGUUGCCUCUCCAGAUAGACACAAUAGAAAUAAGCGCAGCCGGAUUGCAUUCUGUCCAACCCCUGGAUUGUCAAACGAUUUACAUGUUGAGAUAAAAUUAAUCAGAUGCAUAGGAGGAUCAUGGUACUAGUGAUAUUGAACUUGGCUCCUGGUGCCAAGGGCGGAGGAAAAAUAGCCCCUGUGGCACUAGCCCCAUCCAAGUCAUCAUCAUUAUCAUCAAAAGCAACUUGCACAGCUCGGCGUUCGGGUCUCAUUCUAGCUUGACGAUCUCUGUUGACAUUCCUGUUCACUGAUGCAACCACAUCAUCUGCACGCCUUAGAUUUAAUAACUCAUCAUCACCCAGGUCCUCAUCAUCAAGAUUCGGUACCCGACGUAGGUUAUUAGCAUUCUGUUGAUUUACUUGAGCAACUGCCAAUGCAGCUAAUCUAGACUGCUCCUGUUGAGUAGCCAUCCUUUUAAGGUCUAGUUGCGCAUCCAUUCUGUCGAUGAGAUGUGGUUCAGGAUUUAUAGGUAAUAAUGGCUGACUAGAUCUUCGUGUAUUUGGCAUGCACUCCACUAAACCUGAACAAAACAAAAACAACUAACAAAAAGUAAAAUUUGAGAAUCUUUGACCAAAGGGUCUAUUAACUAUCACAAACUUAGUUGACAACCAUAUUCCCCGGCAACGGCGCCAAAAUUUGAUAUGCCCAAAUUAAAAUUCUCGUUAGAGAGUGCAAGCGGUUGCUGUCAAAUAUAGAACCCAACUGGGUUGGGUGUUGAAUCCCACAGGGAAUACUAUGAUCACUAAGUAUUGCGAUUAUUAUUAGAUUGUUGAUCGAAGGUUCCAAGGAAAGGGGGGUUUGGUUUAAGUGCACAAUAAUAUUAUCAGUGUAACGAUGAGAUGAUAUGUGUAAUUAUAUUUGAUCAUAGAGAAUGACAAGUUAGGGUUAUGUCCACCUUGUAGCUUCUACUUCUCUAUUAACUAUGAGUAACAAGAAGUUAAUCCUACUAGGGCAUUAACGUGUAAAAUAGAGGUUGGAAACCCUAUUUUCUAAUCACACUCUCUUUUCCAAAUAGUAACUUUUCUAUCAAACAAGUUAUUGCUAUAAUGGCACAUUCCCUAUGUUUGCAACCACGAGAAUUCAAUAAAAAUGAAGAGAGUAAUGAUAUAAGUGGUGUGACACAUCAUAAAUUCACAAAACCAAUAGCAAUAGAGAGUAUACUACAAGGUUUCCAUAACCCUAACAAAGAAGCUUAGCUACUCAAGAAUAAAAUGGAAAUCAAAAUAAAAAUAUUCAUCAUACCAAAUCUUAGAACGAUCUUGGUGAUAAAGAUGAAUAGCAAAAAUAAGAGAGAAAAGCGUUUCUCUCUCUCCGUCACUCAAGCUAAGCUGCUAUUCCUUGUUUUACAAAAUAAUACAAAAUCUGAAUUAUCCCUAAAAAUUCAGCCAUAAGGCUUUUAAUAAUAUCCUUUUCUAAUAAAUUGGUACUACAUUCUUAACUACUUAAAAAUGUUGAGUUUGCCUGGGAAAAAGCUCCCCUACAUCACAUUCAGUCCAAAACCUGCUUUUCUUUUUAUGUGAAGUUUUCCUUUGCUGUCCACAGGUCCCCAAAGUGCUGUAAUCUUCCUCAUUAGUACCUGAAAAGCAUGCUAAUCACAUAGGUCAGCUCACGUAACUGAAAAUAGACUAAAAGUGCAAGACUUAUGUAUUUUAUUCUCAAAACUUAACUAAAACAUGGGUAAGUUAUGGUGCUUAGACGUAUAAAUACACCCAACAUCAGUGGCCGAUGCUCUCAGUAGACUAUCCAUGGGUAGUAUUUCUUAUGUUGAUGAUAGUAAGAAGAAGUUAGUCCAGGAAGUCCACCAGCCUGCCAGACUAGGCGUUCGCUUAGUCAACUCUACAGAGGGCGGUGUAUGUGUUCAGAGUAGUUCAGAAUCAUCUCUAGUUUUAGAGGUGAAAGAAAACAAAGAUAAGGAUCCUAGCCAUGUCAAGCUAAAAAAGCCAAUUCAGGAUCAUAAAAUAGAGGUUUUCUCCCAAGGGGGAGAUAGGGUUCUUCAUUGUCAGGGUCAUCUCUAUGACAUAGAUUACUUAAGGCAGUGAAUUCUUGAAGAAGCGUAUGGUACAUGUUACUCUAUUCAUCUAGUGGACACUAAGAUGUACCGCGAUUUAUUGGUAAUCUAUUGGUGGAGUGGGAUGAAAAGAUAUGUUAUAGAGUUUAUGGCUAAGUGCUCUACAUGUCAACAAGUUAAAAUAGAGCAUCAUAAUCCUAGUGGUCCUAUAUAGGAGCUCAAUAUUCCUACUUGGAAGUGGGAAGUUGUAAACAUGGACUUCGUGAUGGGUUUGCCUCGAACUCAUCGUCAGCAUAAUUUUGUCUGGGUCAUUGUAGAUAGAAUGACCAACUCAGCUUUUUUCCUUCCAGUUCAUACCUCUUAUAGGAUUAUGCCAUGCUCUACAUUAUGGAGCUGGUCAGAUUGCAUAGUGUUUCAUUGACUAUUAUCUCAAACAGAGGUACCCAGUUCACCUCUUAUUUUUGAAAAUCAUUCCUAAAGGGUCAUGGUACCCAAGUUUAUCUCAGUACAGCCUUUCAUCCUUAGACAGAUGGUCAAGCAGAAAGGAUCAUUCAGACUAUGAAAGAUAUGCUAAGGGCAUGGGUAAUUAAUUUCAAGGGUAGUUGGGAUGACUACUUUCCUUUGAUUGAAUUUGCAUACAACAAUAGCUAUCAUUCCAGUGUUCAAAUGGCUCCAUUCAAAGAUCUCUAUGGUAGGAGAUGUAGAUCUCUAAUCGGUUGGUUCGAAGUUAGUGAGGCCUCAGUCAUAGGUCCUGACAUAGUAUUGGACGCCUUAGAGAAAGUUUAGUUAAUUAGGGUAAGACUUUUGGCUACUCAGAGCCUACAGAAGUCUUAUGCAGAUGUUCGUAGAAAGGAUCUCGAGUUUGAGAUUGGUGACUAUGUCUACCUCAAGAUCUCUCCUAUGAAGGGAGUGAAGAGAUUUGGCAAGAAGGGAAAGCUCAAUGCCCAAUAUGUCGAUCCCUUCAAGAUUUUUAGUCGAUUCGGCAAGGUAGCUUAUGAGCUCAAAUUUCCUUCAGAUAUAGCCUUAGUUCAUCCAGUCUUUCAUGUCUCUUUGCUAAAGAAGUGCAUAGGUAACCCAUCAUUUGUAGUCCCUAUUCAGAGCAUCGAUGUUCAGAACAGCCUCUCCUAUGAAGAGAUUCCAGUCGAAAUCCUAGACUAUCAAACUUGUAGAUUGAGGAACAAAGAAGUCCAUCUAGUUAAAGUUCUUUGGAAAAAUUAGUCCGUCGAGAGAGAUACAUGGGAAGAACAAGUAGAUAUGCGCAACAAGUAUCCUCACCUCUUCCCCGCAAACUCAGAUCAAGCUCAAGGUAAUAGUUCUUCUUAACCUUACUCAGUUUCAUGAUUAGUGUACAUCACUAACUUAGUAUUCAGUCUCAUGCUCAUGUUCCAAUGAUAAUCUUGGUAUCAAGUACCACCACAUAUUCAGUCAUGCAUUAAUGUAUAAGAUUAUUUAUAUAGUUAUGCAUCAGACAUGCAUUCUCAUUCUAAGAAAACUUAGUUUUUUAGAACUUUCAUUUAUUCAUUUAUGAAUCAGUUACACAUGCACAAGAUUUACAUGUUCAGCUUGUCAGUCACAUUAGUCAUGAGAUCAUAUUCUAGUUAUUCAUGUUUAUCUCAUUGUUUCCCCUCUCAGUCAGUCUUAUUCGCGGAUGAAUGUCCUCAAGGGGGAGAUAUUGUAAUACCCGUUCUUUUUCUUAGCUUGAAAAUCAUCUCAAGGAUGUUAGAACUUGCAUUGAAAUCAGAACUAAUUAUUAUAAACUUUUUAAUUCCAUAAUUUUCUCUUCCUAUUAUGUGGGAAAUUGAAUAAGCUUUCCAUUGAUAUAUAAUUUGCCCAAAUCCGACACCCGGGCAAAGAGUUAGAGCCUUUUUAGUGAGACAGUGCUUGACCUGAGCCUUCAGUAGGUCACGAAGAUAGCUCAAAUGAAAAUUGUUAAAUUCCAGUGUUGCUUCAUGAUACUGGUGCGUCACGCCAAACUUAUAGGUCAUAGACAUGGUGGCGACGCGAUAGCUCCGCAUCAUGCCACCAUGUAGUUUCCCAUUUCUCAAUUUCCAGUUAUAGACACGAUAACGCCGCAUCACGCUAGGGCCCAAUUCGGGAAAUUUUACUGAAAAUUUAAUUAUGUGUCCAAGGGUAAAAGGGUCAAUUCCCCCCUCCCCCCCUUAUAUAAGCUUCCAAAACACGGGAUUUAGCCCUUAUUCAUCCAAAAUAUUGAUGUUUUUCUCAAACAUUCUCAAGAACUCAAGCUAGGGUUUUCAUAGAAGGUCUAAUUUCAAGAAGGUUUCACCAUCAAUCUUCAUGAAAUCACGAACUAAGGUAUGCAUAGUGUUCAUUCAUGGAUUCCUUUCAUCCAUAAAGUCCAAGAAUCCCUUUUCUAAACUCAAGUUAUGGAUUAUCUAUAUGUUUUCAUGUUUUGGCUGCUCAUGUUCAUGUUUGAUAAAUGUGAAAUUGGACUCUACUACAUGAUUGUUGAUAGUUUCUAUGUGGGUUUAAUUACUAUAGCCAUAGAUUCAUGCAACCCUAAGAUUUAAACCCUUGAAUCAUGAAAUUAGAAUUGAAUAAUGAUGUUUACAAGUACCAUGCCUAUCAUAUGUUUGAUUAAAUGCCUGGAUGAAGGAAAUUUGCCUAACUAGCAUGAUAUCAUGAAAAUCCCUAUAAAUGUGCUAGCUUAUGCCUAUUAGACGUUUGAUGAAAUACUUCAAUAAAUAUAUUGUGGUUAUUAUUAUGUAUUCAAGAAUAUCAAGACUUGUUAGUUUCCUUCCAUCGAGUCCUGGGGUACUUGUACCCAAACUAUUACUUGUCUGCCUAUAUCCAUGUCACGUUUUUCAUGAUACUCUCAGUCAAGCUAUGAACUCUUAGACUUCAGAUAGUCUUAUGACACAGGAAAAAUCUCCAUGAUCUUAUGACUCAGUCAGUUGUCAAAUAUAAUAGUAUUUUGUCAGCCACGAAAAUUCAGUAACUUAGUCCAUGCUCACUUUAGUUCAAUAAAUCAUGUGCAGUUUCCAUUCAUAUGGGAGUAGGAAUUAGCACCGAGUGAACCCAAGGAUGGGGACUCACCUGUUAUACGAGGGUGUGAUUCCUAGAAGCAAUCUUUGUGUUCCAAACUAUUUAGCCAGCAUAGUUUAAGACAUCAUAGCCCACUAUAUGAGGGUAGAUAAGGGAUCUUAACCUGUUAUUUGAGGGUUCCCACCAUUCUCACUAGAGUUAUCUGUUAUAUAAGGGUUACUCACAUGUUGUCCUUACCAGUGGCGCAGUAUUAACACCUUUCAAUCAGGGCAUAGAUUGGACCCUAGCUCAGGUAUUAUAGCAUAUUUGGGUCAUGUCGAUUGAUUACUACUUCCCACAGUUUUAUGUUACAGAAUUAGGACUGUCAGAUAUACUCAAUCAGUUUUAGUAAUACAACUCAUAUAGUUCUUCAGAUUUUAGGACUGUCAGAUAUAGUAUGGAACUUAGAUAGUUCCAUCAGAUUCAAGACUAUCAGAUACAUUCACCCAUGCUAUUAGCAUUAUUCAGAUAUAGUCCUUCAUGUUAUCAGUCAUAUCAAUUAGUAAUAUAUCACAUUAUCAGUAUACAGACUCAAAUAUUAUGAAAUCACUAUGUUAGUUACAGUUAUGUAUUUAUGCAUGUAUUCUCACAUUUAUGAUAGAUAGUCAGUUAGCAUUAUUUAUGCAUGUGAACCAUUGCAUAUAUCAUACCUCACAUGUAUACUCGGUACAUAUGUACUGAUGCAUUCGCGCUAUGGUGCUUUCUUUUUAUGUUACACCAUAGGUUUAAAGCCAUGAGUUCCAGUAGUAGAUUCCAGAUUCAGCAUUCCGAGUAGUAGUGAUUCUGCAUUCUUCUAGGACAUAAUGAUUUUCUAGUAUCUCAUUGAUUAGCUUAUUAGUGGGAGUUAGUUGGGGAUAUAUCCCAUCAAUUUCUUAUUCAUAUUCUUCAGACAGUAGAGGCUUUUAGACUAGAUGUAGACUAGAUACUAACUAUCAUAUUUUAGACUUCAAUUUUGUUGUGGGGAUUCUAUUACCCUACACAGAUGUUAUGUUAUUUAGUUAUGUUCAUGAUCGAACCUUAUGGCCUUUCAGUGCAUGUUUCUGCAUUAUUAUGUUAUCUUAUGCAAUAUACAGGUAUAGAUAUUAGUACUGGGUUAGCUGUUGGUCCUUUAAGGUCAUGAGCACCGUGUAGCAUUCCGAUUAAGCAAACUGGAUCAUUACAGACAUUUGAGCUCCCGUGACAAAUUUUGCAUGCCGUAUGCAGUGAGCUUUUUGCAUUCAUCUCUUGUAUACUUGUGUUAUCUAGAACUUACCCUAUUAAUCUUUCAAUGCUUAUUUUUAUUGUAGUUGGUUGGCAAAAUGAUCUUAAGCCAUCUUUAUGACUUUAGAACCCACUCUAGCCUAAAAAGCCUACCCUUGCAUAAAGUUAAUCCCUAGUUACCCACUUUGAGCCUUUGUACCUUUCUUUGGAAAACUCAUUGUAAAUUGUUAAUCAUUUUUUAUCCCUCUUUUGAACCAUACCCUCCUAGAAAUUAAAAAUGCAACUUAAGGCUAAAAGCCUAAGAUACGGGUGGUAAAGAUUGACGGAAGUAAGUUUGGGACCAUGAAAUUGUAAGUGAAAUGCCUAAUGUGCCUUAGCAUUGAAAACAAAUAAAUAGAAAAAGAAAUGAUCCGAUAAAGGAAUGAAUUGCAUGAAAUUUUCAAGAAAAAAAAUAAAAGAAAAAUGGUAAAUAAUGGAAGCAAAAAAAAUAGGCAUGAGAAAAGAGAAAAAAAAGAAGAGUCUCCUAUAGUAAAUAAGGCAAACUAUAUAGUGUGAUGAAGAUGUUCAAGAAAAGGUGUAACCAUGUUAUCCUAAAUGAUAUCAACCCAAACAUAUAUUACAAGCUUAGAAAGUUCUUUGAUAUCUCCGACCAUUUACUUUCUUCAUAGUGGCAAUUGAAAAUAGGGGCAACCCUAUGGUAUGAUACUUAUUGCAUAGAGAUUUCUUUUGUGAGGGAGAGAGUAUUUUUGCACUUAAAAUACCUUAUUACAUAUUUGGUAGCUUGGUGUGUGGAAUUCUCUUUCUUAUGAGGUUUGCAUGUGAAACAAGUUGAUGUUGGUGAUUUCGUCACCUCCUGAGCAAUGAGGCAAGUGGAGUAUAGCUUAGUUGUGGUUAAAAGUGAGUCACUUCUAGAGUAUUUAUUUUGGUUGCUUGGUUUCUCUUUGAAGUCUUGUGUAUCCUUAGAAAUGGCAUUUCAUGAUGAGGGGUGUAGUGGAAAUUAGCUUAGUGCAUGUGCAAUAAGCUACUUGUGGUUGUGACUAAGGUUGAAUUCCUUACAAUCUUUAAGGCAUAAAUUUUGGGUAUAGAUGAUUAUCACUCAUAGUAAGAGGUAGAAUUGCUUGAGGACAAGCAAAAGCUCUAAGUUGAGGGUUUUCAUGAGUGGUAAUUUACCACUCAUUCACAGUAAAUAUUCGUGCAAAUUACCUUGUUUUGAAUGAAUAAAUGAGACAUAAUUGUGAUUAAAUGCACUAAUAUCAACACUUUGCAGGUAUAGAGUUGAUGAGAUAUAAAGAUGUGGAUUGGAGCUUGAAAAGAUCAAAGGAAGCAAGAGAAGUACAACUGAAGACAUGGAGAAGAAUGUCCUCAGUUACCACGGUCGUGGUCUAAUAACCACAAUCGUGGCAGUCAAGUAUGGUUAAUCAACUGUAGUCACGUGAACUGACUAAUUUCGUGGUAGUCACGGUCACGCCCAAGCUGGUGCGGUCGCCGCUUAGCGAAAGAUUACAGCCCAAGGUCAAAACUGGAAAUACACGUGGCUGAUCCUAAUUUUUACAAAAAGACUCAAACCCUAGAAUUAUUGAUCAUAUUCUCUCUUUCCCAAAAUAGUUAAUUUUUGUUCUUGAGUUGAUAGCCUCUAUUCUUGGAGAGGAAAAUACUGUAUGAAUUUUUGGAGAAAAAUACAUUGGAGACCUUCUAAGUGGAGGAAUAGCUCACUUCUGAUAGAGAUUUGUUGGAGUUCAAAGAUUGAUGUAACAUUCACUUAAGCUUCAAUAAAUUAUUUCAAUGAAGAUAUUAGGUAUAUCUUUUCUUAUUUAUCUUUUUUGUAGCUAUAUCUCCCUCUUGAGUUUAUGUGUAAAUAGGGAUUUAAGUGUGUGUGGUUUGUUAUUGUUAACGUCUAAUUAGUAGUUCAUGUUGAAGGGUUUUAUCAUUACUGUGCUAACUUGGUUGGGAUGUGUAGGUGAAAGCCCCAAAUACCCACAUGAGUUUGAUGGGUGAAAACUCCAAGCUCUAGAAAGCUUAUGGCCAUCUACAAAAGAAGGGUUACGCGGUGAACUUUAGUAAUCCAAAUCAUCCGUGAAAGAGGGAUGUGGAAACCAAAGCAAUGGUAGACAAUUAUGUGUAGUUUGCUAAUCCAUCGCUAUCUUUGACAUAAGGGUGGUUGUGAAGCUAACUACACCUUGGGUAUCAUCCUAGAAAUAGGGAUGCAUAGAUUGGGGUUUUGUUACCAAUUGUUGCACACACCCAUUAGGUAUUCAAAAAAAUUAAUAGGUGAAAGUUUGGUGUUUUGUUGAAAGACUAGCAUCAAAACCUAUAACCAAACUUACCCACACUUGAUGUACUAAUAUUAAAGUUAAUCAUUAGCAUCCACAUAUCACUUUUCUUAGUAAUACAUAAUCCCAAGAUCCAUGCUUAAUUGUUUGAAAACUCUAAUUAUUUGUAGCCCCAAAUUUAUACUAGAGAAACCCAAAAAGAAACAUUAGUGUGGACUCUUAUCUCCCCUAUUUUUAUGUUUUUGUACUAUUAGUUUGAAUUUAACUUGUAUCUAUUAUUUUAAAUUUAUCUAUUAUUUUAAAUUGACCUGAUUGCCACUCACAUUGUUCCUCAUGGAUUCAACCCCAACUCCAAUGUUGGGUAAAUAUAUUGACAACCACCGCCUUGCACUUAAAUUGACGUGUAAGUUGAGUGUUAUAAAUUAUGAGGCAUUAUUCAUGCUUAUUUAUGUUUUUCAACAUUGUGGGAUGCAUGGGAUUGUUAAAUAGAUUUUGGGGUACUAUGGAUUCCCCAAUUACUUGGUUAUGGUCUUGGAAAUUAUACGUCCUCAAACUAUUGCAAAAUUUCCAUUGAAUAUAGUUUUUCGAUAUAGUUUGACUAUUCUUAAACCUUUGCAUUGCCUAAGUGAUUAAAGGAACAUAUAUUUGUUUUGGUUAGAUCCAAGUGAUUUUUAAAAGGCCUUAGUUGCCAUGUUUAGAUUGUGAAUGGUUUUGUUUUAAUAGAAACCUUAGAGUCAAUUUAGUCUCAUGAUUUUUAUAUGUCUAUGAUGGGCCCUACGUAGCCUUGGGAUAAAGGUUAGUGGUUAAUCUAGAAUUCUCUUCUAGCGGUAGACUUCAAGGAAAGGUUGUGUUUCAUAUUCUAGUGAUACUUUUAUCUCUCAGUUAAAAGAGUACUCUACUAGUGUUGCAUGUAUUCAUUUAACACUUGUGCGUAAGUUUCAUAUCAUGUAUUCUCCUUGUUCCCUUUAUAUGAGCCUUGACCUUGUGUUAAGUUACUCAUGGUAUAUGUGGUUAUGUUUGUUUCGGUGUCCAGUCUUAAGGACUCCUCUUAUGGUAUGGUUUGAUCAGGUUAUUUCUUCAUUAUGGUCUAGGUGGUAGUUGUGAAUUACAUCGUGCCUAUAGUGUUGUGUCUUGUCUUUGGGAUCUUUCAUUGGGAGUCAUGGAUAACUCUUAUAAUUUUGUUUCUUAACUAACUCUUUUUAUGUUAGGAUGGUAGUGGUUUGGGAAUUAUGGUGGUAUGUUGAAAUGGGUAAUAUAGAAGCCCCUAAUUAGGGGAGAGUCUAGGGUGGCUACUAACAGUUUUGGAAAGUUACGUACGAUUGUUGUCAUGGGAAAUGAAUAGAAAAGGAAUGGAUGGUGAAAACCUUGUGAAGGUUGUAAAGGGUGAUAGAUCUUUUGAUGGAUAGAUCAUACCGCGGGUGUAAAGGUCGUAGGCUAAAAUGUUGUGCUUGGUAGAUAUACCAAUAGUUUUGUUGGGUACUUAAGAUAUGUUAUAGGGCAUGGUUUUAUGAAUUGUUUUCACAUCAUAGUAGUGUAUGGUUUUAGAUGUUUAAUUAUAAGCCAGGGGCUUUAGUUAUAGUCCUUGGACAUGCUUUGCCCAUGCCUUUUAAUCAUGGUUUUCUUGUCAUAAUGGUGAUGGAAGCAGAGUAGUGUUUAGGAAUAGAUGUAAGGAGUAGAGCCCGGUAGUGUAGUUUAACUAAAUUAUUUUUGCAUAGGCUUGAACAUAGAGGUGGUGUAUAGCUAGGCUCAAGCUCUCGUAGUGGUGUGUCUUUGUAAAUUCUAAGUUGAAUUGGACUUUCCCAUGCAUGAUUCUAUUCAGUCGGUAUUCUUUGAGUUUGUGUUGGGGUAAGGUAGGGAUGGUCCUUGGUUUGUUAGUUCCUUAGGAUGGUAUUGGAAUCUUGAAUUCCUUGUUCUUUAAGGGGGUCCCAAUGAGGAUUAUGGAAUAGUAAAUUUGUCGGUUGCAAAAAAAGGUGUGGUGUUGGUAAAGGUUCCAUGGUGGAACUAAAAGUUUGAGAAAGUCAUUUGGAAUGAGGAAGAGGCCAUGUAGUUAAAAUGUCCAUGUUAGUUCUUUGUUCUGCAAGUUCGUGCGUAAAGUGUGUCCUAUUUAACAUGUCCUUGUAUUUUCUAACUUAGUUAAAGGUGAAGAAUGGUUCCUCUUUAAUCUUUCUUUUCUAAGUUCGUUAGAGGUCGGAAUGGGGUGUUGGGGUGUAAAUUGUAUUUGGUUUAUGAAGUGAUCUUCUUACCUUGGUUAUGUGUCCCUGCUUCCUAUUUUAGUUGGGGAAAAGUUUUUUGGGUGUUAAUGUGGUAUCUCGUGCUUUUCCCUUACCCUUAACCAUCAUUUAGGGAUGAAUGAUCCUAGUGGGGGAACUGAAAAACCCUAAGUCUUGGACCCUUGAAAAAUUUCCUUGGUUUUAGACUUACUGGACUUGUUAUGACUCAAGGGUACUAAGCAUACCCUUGAAUACGACUUGUGGGAUGGCUUGAGGAUUCAAUCGUAUGAUAGGAAGUGUGCUUGGCUUGGUUACUGCCCAAGAUACGACUCAUCAAGGUACGAUUAUAUAGGAACAUACGAGUAAUGCUAGGUAAAUUGUAUGGUGCAUAUUUGGGUUAUCUUGUGGAAUCUUCCCAAGGAACGAUAGGUGAGUACGAUUGAGUAUACUACUCAUACCCUUAGGUACGAGUUAGGUAGGUGUACGUAUGAGUUGGGGUACCACUUGUACCCUAGGAUACGGAUGGUAUAGGUGAGUCAUACCCCUGGAUGUGGUUUGGUUUUAAUUUAAGUCAAGGGUAGUCCGGCCAUUUCCUACUUCAAAUCCCUUAUGUUCUCGCAUUAUAUAACCUUUGGUACCCUCUCAAAAAACAUAUAAAAGGGUGGAAACCCUCCAAAUACUCCCUUAAACAUACUCUUGAAGAUUGGAGUCUAGGGUUUCUUCAUGUGUUCUUCAAAGGGCUCAAGAGUCAUGUUUCUCUUCAAAAUCUUCUUGUAUAAUGCAUGUACUCCUUCCCUCCUUGUUAGGUCCAACUAAAGGCAUGUGUAUUGUGUUUUAAACAUUGAUUUAUGAAUCAUGAAUGGUGGUUUUAAUAAUAUAUGUUGAGGGUCUUGAUGGGUAUGGUUUAGUAUUGGUUUAAUCUAUAUUUUUACAUGUUUUAGGUAAUGGUAUGCAUAUGUUUGUACUUGUUGGUUAUGGUUUAACAAAUGGGUCUUGAGUAGCCCUAAUUAUGUUAGUUUAUGCAUUGGUUUUGGUUUUGGUAAAGGUAUGCCCUCAAUAUGUUUGACAAAAUACCUAAAAGAAGUUAUUCACUCUAUUGUUGCACUUUCAUUCAAACUCUUGCAUGGUUUAGUUUGGUAAUGGAACCCUGAAUGGAUUAGGAUGGUUUUGCACGGUUUAAAUGAUAUAAGUGCUUUAAAUGUUUUUCAUGGUCAUAAAUGGUUUGGAAUAGUUUUAAAUGGCAUAAAUGAUGUGUAUAGUUUUGCAUGAUUAAAUGUUGAAGCGUUGGUAGCUAUGAAAUUUGUUAUGCUUAUGGGGUACAUUGUAAUCCCCCAUGCGGUUUAAUAUGGUUAAUAGAAGGGUACAUAGAAUCCCUUCAACCUAUAUAUGGUUGCUAUGGAUAGUACUUGCAAGUAAGGUUGGUAUGACGAUACCACCACUAAAUAGCCUAGGUUAAUAAAUGGUAAAUGGAUUGAUUGGUUUCUUGGUAAUGGUUUUAAAUUGGAAAUAAUGGCGUCAUGUGUACAAAAGUCGUAGAAGGUAGAGGUCCCAAGGGGACCAAAACUAGAAAGUCAUAUUUUCUGAUAUGAGGUUGGUCUUGGUGACCAUGUACAUGAUGUCACAUUAUAUUUUGGGGGAUGUACUAGUAAUCCUAGGUUUUCUUCCCUAGUCAUGCGGAUACACAUACUAGGGCCCUUUCAGCAGGGGGAGCUGAACCCAUAAAGCCCGUGGAUGGUUUAGGACAACAAAUCUACACAAUACUGGUAAAGGUUUUAAAGUCAUUCUAAACCUGGUUCCUUUUCCCGGCAUGGUUAUAUAUAUAUAUGUGUGUGUGGUGUCACGACCCGAGGCUACCCCCUAGUCGCGACAAUGGUGCUUACAGACAUAAGUGACCAUAAGCUAACCCAUGAGCUGGUACCUGCUAUGAGUACUGAGUAAACUGACAAUAAAUAACCUAUGCGGAAACAACUGAUAAUACCUUAAGUGUUUAAAUACUGAAACACUAUUAAAUCAUACAUUUGAAAUGCAUGAAGACAUACUAAAAAGACUGAUAAAACAAAUGAUAAGUAGACUAACUGUCUGAAUGUCGAAAAAGCCUCUAACUGACUGACUGUGGAGUUGAUGGGACAAACCCCUAACUAACUCUAACUAAAUGGAAAUACUAAACUACUAAGAUAAACAAAAAUGAAAUUAUCAUGUCCUCAAUCAAUGAGGACUCACCACGACAGCUACUGCUGAUAAGCUGAACUGUCUAAGCGCGGUCAGGAAAACUAUGCGUCCAAACAUAUGAUAUAAGACAUCAUAGUGCGAAGAAGGUAUGCGUUCAGUAUUGCAAAUGUACUGGUAUAUGAGAUGAGAUUAGACAGAAAUACAUGUGUUAAUUGUGACUAAAGUAAUGACUAACUGAAUAGCAUAACAUAACUGAGUAUGAAUGUAUGAAAACUAAAAUACUAAGAAUACAAGACCAAGAAUAUAAUGUUUCUGAAAUAAUCUAUAAAAUGAAUUACUAAAAUCUGAUAAUCGAAUAAGUGGAAGUCCAUAUGCUAUGGUCAAUAAAACCUGGACUGAAUUCUUUACUGAAUACUAAACUGAGACUGUGGGAGGUAUCAUGUAACUGAAAUACCCCAAUCUGAGCUAAUCGGUGUCCAACCAGUGAUCCCAGUUAGAAGGGUGCCAGUGCCAUGCCAUAGGUACUAACACAUGGCUGUGUGGAUCCACUCAACUAGCAUCCCAAAGGACUAGGGAGUCAGUUCUAAACUGAAGAGUGACCCAUAAGAGAAUGUCAUUACUAAAUUGGCAGGUGAAUGACAAUGACAAUGCUCAUAGUUUAUCUAAAAUCAUUCUAAAGAUACUGAAUUUAUGUAAACAACUAGGUAUCGGGUGUUCAUAACCCACCAACACUGAAUGUAAAUAAUAAUAUGAACAUAUAGAAGAUUUUAAAAGCAUAACGGGUAAUCAUCAUUCUAAACCCAUCACUUAGGCAUUUAAUCAAACAUAUAGAGAUCAAGACUUCAACAUGGAUAUGCUUUUAAACUUGAGGAGAUAACAUGAGUUCAUGAAAAAAAUUGUAAUUUAAAGAUUUAUUUUGACUCGCAUGAUAAUGACAUGGUAACUACAACAUUCAAAACAUACUGUUAUCCCUUCCACUUGAAAACAUUCAUAAUCUUAACUUGAAGCUAAAAUAACAAAAAAUUCAUGAAGAUAGUUCAACAUAAUCAUGUAAAAACUCAUAAUUUAGAAUAAAAAAGGAUUCUUGGACUCCAUGGGUGAAAAGGGCCCAUGGAUGAACAUCACACAUACCUUAAACCCUUAAUCUUAAAAGAAGAAUACCAAUAUUGAAGCUUUCUUGAAGUUUCUUGGAUUUUUGAAGCUUGAAUUCUUUGUCUCCUUGGAGAGGAAGGAAUGAAUGGUAUUUGAUGAUAUUGAGGAAAGAGUAGGGUUUGCUUUGAGAGGAAAUUGGGGAAGAUGGGCAAAUAAUGCCCUAGCUGAUGUGUUAAUUUGUGUUUUUACAAAUUGAUUUGAUGGGAAUAGACAUAACUUCCCCUCAACAUAAAUGCCCCUCAGGAGAUUAAAUUCACAACUGGAACACAGUUCAAUGGGUCACCACAAUGCGAUAAGGAGUCCAUCGCUAUAUGGACCAUGAAACGAUGCCAUCGCGGUGAACUGUUGGUCUCAAUAACAAAACACGACCCAAUCCUCAUCCAAAAAAUCUGAAACCUCCCCGAGACUUAUGCCUUACACCCCUAGACUUGAACGAACUCAAAAACCUAUGUAUCGGGGUCGAAAAGACCAAUUUAAAAAUCUUCAAAGUUAAGAGGACAAAAAUAAGACUAAGACCCCAACACUUUAUGAAAUUUUCAGGCUAUAAGCCUCUUAAGCAUGCACCUAGGAGCUAAACUAAGAUAAGUAUAAUACGGGGUAUUACAAUAUCUCCCCUUUGUUAACAUUCAUCCUCGAAUGAGACUGAUUAAUCUGAGAAUAAUGGGGUAAAUGAAAUCACAUACUUAACAUGCAUAACUAAAAACAUGAUUACAUGACUGAGCCUGAAACAUGACACAUGACUAAACUGAAUUUGUGGAUGCAUGAAAAGUCAUAAGAAUGAUUAUAUAGCUAGGACUUAGGAUGUAAAAGAGUCAAUCUAAGAAGAACUACUACCUUACGCUAAGUCUGUGUUUGCGGAGAAAAGAUGAGGAUACUUGGUACGCAUAUAUGAAUCUGACGAUCAAGGAUCUCGACUAGGAUUUAUUUAUAAUAAAGGCUAUCCUAAACAUCUAUGCUUUCUAAAGAAACAACAACAGUUGGGUCACCAAUACACUUCUUUAAUAAGGAAACAUGGAACACUAGAUACACUGAUGCCAAAUCAGCAGGCAACUCAAUCUUAUAAGAUACCUUUCCAAAAUGACUCAAAAUUUAGUAAGGGCUAACAUAUUGGGGACUAAGUUUCCCCUUCUUGCCAAAUUUAUUCACUGCCUUUAUGUGGGAGAUUUUCAAAUACACAAAAUCUCCAACUUCAAACUCAAGAUCCCUUCUCCUCAUAUCUGCAUAGGAUAUUUGACAACUUUGGGUUGUCUUAAGCCUCUUUCUAAUCAACUGAACCUUCUCCAUUCCAUCAAAUACCAAAUCUAGUCCUAUUAAAUUAGUCUCACCUGCCUCAAACCAACCAAUCAUAGAUCUAAAUCUCCUCCUAUAGAGAGCCGCAAAUCGAUCCAUCUGAAUAAUUUAGUGAUAACUAUUAUUAUAGGCAAACUCGAUCAAAGGUAAAUGGUCAUCCCAACUACCCUUGAAAAGUUGUACUGAGAUGAACUUAGGUACCAAGACCAUUAUGAAAAGCUCUCCAAAAGUGAGAAGUAAACUAAGUACCUCAAUCUGAAAUGAUAGACAUCGAAACUCCGUGAGACCUAACCAGAUCUUUAAUAUAGAUCUUCACAUAUUGCUUAGUUGAGUAUGAAGUAUGAAAUGGCAAUAAAUGAGCUGAUUUGGUUAUUCUGUCUACAAUGACCCAUAUCGAAUCAUGCUGACGAUGCGUAUGAGGCAAACCUAUAACAAAAUCCAUGUUCACCUCUUCCCACAUCCAAGUGGUAAUACUGAACUCCUACAAUGUUUCACUAGGCCUCAGGUGCUAAAAUAUAACAUUCUUAUAAAUAGAACACUUUGUUAUAAACUCUGCAAUAUCUCUCUUCAUACCACUCCACCAGUAGAUUUCCCAAAAUCAUGAUACAUCUUAGUGGCUCCAGGAUGUAUAGAAUAAUGCGCACCAUGCACUUCUACUAAAAUUUGAUGUCUCAAACCAUCAACACACAACACACAGAGCCUACCUUGACAUUGCAACACACCAUCUCCCAAUUGGGAGAAAACCUCCACUUUCUGACCUCUAACUGACUCUUUCAGCUUAACUAAACUGCAAUCCCUAUUUUUCUUCUCCUUCACUUCAAUAACCAAUGAAGUUUCCAAACUAUUCUGAACCCAAACACUACCUUUAACUAAAUGAACCAACCAAACACCUGGUCUAGUAAGCUGAUGAACUUCCUGAACUAACCUUUUUUAAUCAUUUCUAGCAUGAGAAACACUACCUAAAGACAAUAUAUAAAGGGCUCCUACAACUACAUUGUCCUAGCUCAGAUAAUACAACAGACUCAUAUCAUAAUCUUUUAAAAUUUCUAACCACUUUCUCUGACAAAGAAUUAAAUCUUGCUGCAAAAAUACAUACUACAAACUUUUAUGAUCUGUGAACACAUCAACAUAAACUCCGUAAAGAUAAUUCCUCCAAAUAUUCAAGGUAAAAACAACAACUGCCAACUCAAGAUUAUAGAUAGGGUAAUAAUUUUCAUGAGGCUUAAACUAUCUAGAGGCAUUGGCUAUGACCAUACCACUCUACACCAAUACACAACCAAGACCAACUCUGGAAGCAUCACAGUAAACAACAGAUGCAUUAAUACCAUAUGGAAAAUUCAAGAUUGGGACUAAGGUAAGUCGAGUUUUCAAUUCCUAGGGGGGUGACAUCUCAUAAUUCUAUGCUAGCAACAUAUUUUAGAACUUAGGGACUACUUCUAAGGACCUAGACCUAGCUGGUGGGUAAGCCCUUAUCCCUAGGUUAACUCGGUCCUAAAUCCUACUCCAAAAUAAACUAACACUAAUUACUAGACAGAACUAAGCUUAACUGAACAAAAAACUGAUCAUAAAUAACUUGAAUGAAUGACAAUUCUCAUAGUUUAUCUAAAAUAAUUUUGAGGGUAAUGAAUUUAUGUAAAAAACUAGGUAUCGAGUGUUUCUAACCCACUAGCACUAAAUGGAAAUAACAAUAAGGACAUAUAAAAGCUUUGAAAACCAUAAUGGGAAAUCAUCAUGCAAAACCUAUCACUUAUGUAUUUCAUCAAACACAUAGAGAUCAAGACUUUAACAUGGGGAUGCUUUUAAACAUGAGGAGAUAGCAUGAGUGCAUGAUAAAAAUCAUAAUUUGAGUAUUUAUUCUGACUUGCAUGAUAAUGACAAAGGAACUACAACAUUCAAAACAUGCUAUAAUCCAUUCCACUUGAAAACAUUCUUAAUCGUAACUUAAAGUUGAAAUAAUAAAACAUUCAUGAAGAUAGUUCAACAUAAUUAUGUAAAAACUUAUAAUUUAGAAUCAAAAAGGAUUCUUUGACUCCAUAGGUAAAAAGGGUCCCUGUACGAACAUCACACAUACCUUAAACCCUUAAGUUUAAAAGAAGAAUACCAAUCUUGAAUCUUUCUUGAAGGUUCUUGGAUUUUGAAAGCUUAAAUUCCUGGUUUCCUUGGGUAGGAAGGAAUGGAAUUUGAUAAUUUUGGGGANNNNNNNNNNNNNNNNNAGAGUUUGAUUUGAGAGAAAAUUAGGGAAGAUAGGAACAUAAUGCCCUAACUGAUGUGUUAAUUUAUGUUUUUAUGAAUUGAUUUGAUGGGAAAAGACAUAACUACCCCUCAAGAGAUUAAAAUUAUAAUUGGAAUGUGGUUUAAUGGGUCACCAUGAUGAGGAGUCCAUCUCUAUAUAGACCACCACACAAUGUUAUUGCGGUGAGCUAUUAGAAUUGAAAUCCAAACAUGACACAAUCCUUAUCCAAAAAAUCUAAAACUUCCCCGAGAUAUGACCCUUACAUCCCUAAAUAUGAAUUAACUAAAAAUCCUAAAUCUCAUUGUCGAGAAGGCUAAUUUAAAAAUCCUACAAGUUAAGAGGCCAAAAAUAAGACUAAGUCCUCAAUAAAUAGUGAAAUUUUCAAGCUUUAAGCCUCUUAUGCAUGCAACUAGGAGCUAAACUAAGCUAAGUAUAAUAGGAAUAUUACAUAUGGUUGUAUACAUUAUGGAUGGUUUUACUUGGUUUUAUAAAUGGCAUCAUGUCAUCCUUAUCCAUAGUGCAUGCUAGUGUUCAUCCACUAACUCAUCUUCGGGCAGUGGUAUACCCACGUGUGUAGGAAUUGACCAUUCUAGUUCUCCUACUUAGUGAUCAUAUUUAGGGACAAUUAAUGUUGGAUUGAAAUGGUGAACUUCCAUAGUAUGGAAGGCAUUACAUAUUUUCUUAUCCUUUAUAGACUUUGGUUUUAUGUUAUGGUUGGGGGCAUGUCCUGACUAGGUACUCUUUGGUUGUUCUAGAGGCUUUGUAUGGAUAAUUGUGGACUUGGGUAUGGUAUAGACUAGUUAUGUUUCAUCUAUAUAUAUAUACUUACAUCAGAUUAUUAUAAUUUGUUUUCAUUUAUUGGUUUUGGUAUUGGUUUGGUUGGUCAUUAGGUGGUUGGACUUGGUUUGGUUUCUCUCGAAUAUAUACUUAUCCUAGAGUCACCAUAUAUUUGGAUAUGCUAUCUUAUUAUAUAUUUGAACAUCCAACUCAAGACAUGCAUUUCAUGGUUGUGUUGGGUAAUGGGGGUGGUUCUCGGUCAUGGUCGAGCUUAUAAUUCCCAUUACGACAAGGCCCUAGUUCGGGUCAUAUGAAUAGGAUGACUAAAUUUGCACAUUUCUUUCCACUAAGGACAAAUUAUUUGAUAGAGUAUUAUGCUACGAUUUUUAUUUAGGAGAUUGUCACGUUGCAUGCUAUGCCUAUUUCUAUUAUAUCUAAUCGAGGUAAGCCAUUGUCUUCUCACUUCUGCUAUUUUUUACACAGAGGUUUGGGGAAUAAGGUAAACCUUAGCCUCGGUUUCAACCUUCAGAUGGAUAUACAAGCGCAGAGGACUAUUAAGACUUUGGAAUAUAUUCUUAGGGCCUGUGUGAUUGACUUUGGUGGUAGUUGGGUUGAUCAUUUACCUCUCAUAGAGUUUGUAUAUAAUAACAGCUAUCAUUUUAGCAUUCAUAUGGCUUCAUUUGAGUUUUUGUAUUAUAGGAGAUGUUGUUCCCCUUAUUGGAUGGCUAAAAUUGGUGAGACUAGAUUGUUUGGCCCUGACUUAGUUUAUCAAGCCAUAGAAAAGGUAAGGGUAAAUAGGGAUAGGCUUAAGACCACUCAAAGUCACCAAAAGUCCUAUGCAGAUGUAAGGCAUUAUGAGUUGUACUUUAAUGUAGGCAAUUGAGUGUUCUUAAAGGUGUCCUCCGUAAAAGAGGUGAUUAGUUUUGGGAAAAAGAGGAAGCUCAAUCCCCAUUAUGUUGGCUCGUACUUGAUUUAGAUAAAUUGUGAAAUGUGGAUUAUGAGUUGGAUUUUCUAUCUAGGAUGGGUUUCAUUCACCUAAUCUUUCAUGUUUUGAUGUUGAAGAAGUGUGUGGGUGAGCCUUCCUUAGUUGUUUAUUUGGAGAGUGUGGGAAUUUUGGAUUCCUUGUCUUUUGAGAAAUUCCCGGUUAAGAUUAUGGAUAAGCAAGUCCUUUGUCUGAGAACUAAGGGGAUAUGGCUUUAGUAUAGGUAAUAUGGAGGAAUCAUAAGGAUGAAGAAAUUACGUGGGAAACGGAAGAGGACAUGAAUUCCAAGAAUCCAUUCCUGUAUACCGCUUUGGAUAAUCGUGCUUAAGGUGUAUUCCUUAAUAUCUUUAUUUUGUGUUUGUUAAAGGUAAUUAUGGUUGCAUUUAUAUGUUAAAUCAUGCUAAUGGAAGCCUUGACUCAUCAUUUAUGGGUGAAUAAUCCUGGGGGAUAGUGUAACACCCCUGAUUUUUAGGCCUAAAUUUUUUUUUGAGUUUUGGACUAUUACCCUAAGAACCCUAACAGUAGCUUUACCUGAGUGUUAGACUAAAGUUUUUGUUGUUAUUAUUAUUUGGGGUCAUGAGUCGUAAAGACUAUAUAUGAGUCGUAUAGUCUCCUCCAUAGCCAAACUAGUGUAAUUAGCUAAGUUUCUGUCUUGACAAUGAUUGGCACCAAACAUAUAGUAGUGACACCUCACCAGUCAUAGUGUGUGACCGUAGGGUAAAUAGUUACAGCUCCUUGAGAUAUUGAUCAAACUACUAGUUGUACAGAAGACUUGUAGAUAGAUGUCACGAGACGUAAGGUAACCCGUGAUGACUGGGAAAUUUUUUCUACACUUUUAAGUGGAGGCAUUCUUUUAAUUUACCUCUUUCCACCACUUAGACCCCAUAUCCAUAAAACAUGUUGGGGACCCUAUUUUCAACACUUAACUAUCCAAUACACUCUCUCAAGCACUCUUAAAUCCCAAUGUUAAGAACACCUAGGUUUUUCAAGGAAUCGGCAACUAGAGCACUGAAGGGUUGAUUUCUCUCCAUAAUUCUUGAUAUCUCAGGAAUGCUACUCUUCCCUAAAGAUUAUUUCAUUAAAAGCAUGUGUUUAAAUUUAACAUGACCCGUACCAAGUCCUAGUCGUGUUGGAUGCCUCAAGACCACCCAGGACCUAAGACCACCCCCAAUACCCAACCAUAACAACCCUAUAAAAUUCAAGAGGGGGUGAAUUGAAAUUUUCUGUGAGUCGACUACUGACUCCUCACAGUUUACUCGUUUGUAGAUUAGUGCACUUAACACAAUAGAUUAGAUUUAAAACAAAUAAGAAAAUUAAUAACAAAAUGUAAAGUAAUAACAUAGAGAUUUAUCCCAGUUUGGAACACCAAUGUGGUUCCUACUUCUAGUCCUCAUGGUUUUCAAAGUUUCCUUAGAUCGUUCAAUAUCAGGCUCGAUUACAAUGAUAUGAAACAAGUUAUGAAGACUUAUUUUGUUCUUCAGAUCUUGUGACACAGCUUCAGUUGAUGUUACAAAGUUGACUCAGUCCGAUUCUUUAUAUGAUAAUUGUAAACUAAAAGUUACAAAGCCUUGUGAGUCUAAGAUUAAGACACUUUGAAUUUUCUCCUUAAAGUUGUGUGAUCCGUGUCCAUCUUUAGUCUUCUUCUUUUAUAGUCUUCUGGUUCCAUUCUUUAUGAGGAAACCUAAGAUAUUUAUUCUUAAUCAAGUGUUUGAAUUGAUUCCUCGACUGAGGGAUAACACCAUAAUAUAUGUCCAUAACAGAUAUUUCUAUACGUGGUGCAGUUUCCAUAAUCAUACAUGUCCAUAUCCGAUAGGUCCAUGUACUAAUUGUGACAUUUCUUCCUUUAUGUUUUGAUUUGGUCUGUCAUGAUUUUGGAAUUGUGAUCCUUCUUCCAUUUCAAGAUAUCUGAUUGAUUUUCUUAACAUAAUUUUUUGAUGUUGUGAUCCUCAAUAUUUUCGGGUGAGAUACCCUUCGAUCUUCUAAUAUCCUCUAUCUUCUUAUACUUAGUCGUAAUUAAUCUGAUUAGUUAUGACUUUUGGGCUUAGAUUCUUCUUCCAUUUGUUCCCAUUAUGACUGAUUUACUUGGAUGUUCUAGAUUGUGAAUUGAUGUCCUUCCAUUCUAGGAGAUGGCUUCCUUUAUGACUUCCAAAGAUUAGCAGUCGUAAUAUCCUGCAAAUAUACACUUGUUAGUUUGUCAUUAUUAAAACAUAGACUUAGGAGGCUAACAAUCUCCCCCUUUUUGGUAAUGACAAACAAGAGUAAACAUCAGUUGAUGGUUGACUUCCCUGUGUGUCAGGUUGCUCCUGCUGACUUAUAGGCACCUUUGAUGUUUCUUCUUUCUUCCCCUUUGACCUAAUCAACAAGAAACAACAUAUAGGAAACAUGCACACAAAUAAAUCCACACAUAGAGAUAUACAUAGAUAAAGUAAUGAUGACUCAUCUUUUAGAAAAGGUGGACAAAGCAAAUUCAAAUAAAUUUUUAUUUACCACAAGUCGCGGCAACUUACUGUCCAAAAAGAUCUUAAAAUCAUUAAUGCUAAUAAUGCCAUCCUUUUUUAAGGGAACAAAAUCCUUCUUCUAGCAGCGGAUUUGUAAAAAUAUCUUCUAGUUGAUUUUCAGAAUCAACAAAUUUUAGAGUAAAGUUACCAUUUUCCACAUGAUCUUAAAUAAAAUGAUGCUUAAUAUCAAUAUGUUUAUCCCUAGAAUAAUGAAGAGUAUACUUAGACAUGCUAAUAGCACUGGUGCUAUCACAUAUAAUAGGAAUAAAUUCAAAAGAUAAAUCAAUGUCAAGAAGCUGAUGUAUUAUCCAUAAGAUUUGAGUACCCCAACUUCCAACAGCCAUGUAUUUAUCUUCAGUGGUUGAAAGAGAAAUGGAAGUUUGAUUCUUACUAUGCCAUAAGAUAAAGGCAUCACCAAGAAUUUUACAUGCUCUACUAGUGCUCUUUCUAUUUUUUAAUCUCCUUCAAAAUCAAUAUCUGGAUAACCAAUCAAAUUAGAAUGUGAGGAGCAGGGAUACAAUAAUCCAAAGUCUUGAGUCCCUAUUAGAUAUUGGAUGACUCAUUUCAUGGCAUUCAGAUGAGACUCCUUAGGAGUUGACUGGAACCUGGCACAUUUACCCAUACUGAAUAUAAUGUCUAGUUGACUUGUAUUUAGGAAGAGUAGAGACCCGAUCAUCCCCAUGUACAUCUUUUCAUCAAUGUCUUUUCUAGAAAAGUAUGAAUCAAUGCUUGUGGAUGGUCUAAAUGGUGUUCCAUAGGCCUUUCUUUUUUCCAUACUAAUUUUUUUUAUGAGUUCUUUCAUGUACUUGGCUUGACUGAUGAAGGUGCCUAUGGGAGUUUGUUUGAUUCGUAAUCCCAAAAAGAAUGUGAGCUCACCCAUAAAACUCAUUUUGAAUUCACCUUUCCUUAAAUUAGCAAAAUUCUUGGAUAUAGAGAUGCUAGAACUACCAAAAAUUAUAUCAUUAAUGUAAAUUUUAAAAAUGAGAAGAUUUGAAUCAAGCUUUUGUAUAAAUAGAAUUGUAUAAAUUUUACCCCUUUGAAAAAUUUUAUUUAGUAAAAAAAUACUUAAUCUCUCAUACAAAACUUUUGGAGCUUGUUUGACGCCGUAAAGUGCUUUUGAUAAUUUAAAAACAUGACUUGGAUAUGAUGGAUUUUCAAAGCUAGGGGCUAUUUUAUGAAAACUUCCUCAUGGAUAAAGCCAUUUAAGAUUGAACUUUAUACUUCCAUUUGAUAUAACUUAAAGCAUUUGAACAUGGCAAAAGUUAAUAAAAUUUCUAUUGACUCUAACCAUUCCACGGGGGUAAACAUCUUUUCAUAAUCAAUACCUUCCUACUGGGAGUAUCCUUGAGCUAGAAGUCUAGAUUUAUUUCUGAAAACUUUACCUUCUUCAUCUAAUUUAUUUCUAUAGACCCAUCUAGUUACAAUUACUGGGCAAUUUAUAGGUCUUUCAACUAGAGUCCAAACUUGAUUUCGUUCAAACUGAUCAAGCUUUUCCUUCAUAGCUUCAACCCAUGAAUCAUCUUUGAUAGCUUCAUCGGUUUUCUUAGGUUUAAUUUGAGAAACAAGGGAAAAAACUUCUUGUCUCCUUAAUGAUACUCUUGUUUGAACUCUUAUCUUUUGAAUUUUUGAUAAUGAGUUCAUUUGGAUAACUAGCAUUAUGCUUCCACUCCUUUGGAACACUUCGCUUUAUUAUUUUUGUUUUAGGAGUCGACUCAUGGGAGGGUGUAGUCAACUUAUCCUAUGAUGGCUUAGGAAUUGUGUUGUUACAUUCCUCAGAUCAUAGGUUAUACACCUGUUUUUCAUCAGUACUCAAACACAUAGGGAAGUUAUUAGAUUCAUCAAAUAAAAUAUGAAAGGAUUCCUCAACACACAAGGUUCUUUUAUUAAAAGACCUAUAGGUAUGAUUGGUGAGAGAGCACCCAAGAAAAAUACCUUUAUCACUUCAUGGAUCAAAAUUUCCCAAGUAAUUCUUACCGUUGUUAUGAAUAAAAUAUUUGCAACCAAAAGAAUGGAAAUAACUGAUGUUGGGCUUCUUUUCUCACCAUAGUUCUUAGGGCAUUUUCUUUAGGAUAGGUCAUAUCAUACACCUAUUGAUGAUAUUAGAAGUGGUGCUUACUGCUUCUGCCCAGAAAUGAUCAGGAAGAUUAUGUUCUAACAAUAUUGUCCUAGCAGUUUCCUGGAGAGACCAAUUCUUUCACUCUACUACACCAUUUUACUGAGGGGAACGAGGUGAAGAGAAGUUCUAAAAGUAGUUGUUCUGAGCAUAAUACUCUCAAAUGCCUUGUUUUCAAAUUCUCUUCUAUGACCACUAUGAAUGUAAUAAUAAGGUGUCCGGCUUCUCUCAGUACCUUUCUAUAAAAAUCUCAAAUAUUAUGAAAGCUUCAUGUUUAUGAGCAAGGAACAUUACCCAAGUAAAACAUGUAUAACCAUCAACUAUGAAAAGAAACAUAUCUCUUUCCACUAAUGCUUGUAGUUUUGGUUGGCCCAUAUAGAUCCAUAUGGAUUGCUUGAAGAGGUAUGUUAUAGGAGACAGUAUCUUUUACUUUGAAUGAUUUCUAGAUCUGCUUACGCAAUUGACAGGCAUUAUAGAUGUGAUCCAUUUCAAAUUUAAGUUUUGGUAGACCUUUUACCUAUUUGAGUCUAGAUAAAUUCUCAAUGAUAUGAAAACUAGCAUGCCUGAGCUUUCUGUGCACAGUGAAGUAAGUUAAUGUAAUAAAAUUGGUACUAUUCAUGAUCACCGAUUAGAAAGAUGUCUCUUUUGUCGUGUUUGGUUGAGAAAUUCAUGGCUUUAAAGAGUACUUCAAAUUCGGCAUCACAGAGUUAACUGAUAUUGAGUAGAUUAUGUUUGAGGUCAUCUUCUAGAUAUACUUCCUUAAAUUUGCAUGAUGAGCUGAGUUUUACUGGGGCCAACUCUAAUGACGUUUCCUCUAGCAUUGUCACUAAACCUUUCUGAUACCCCAUCAAUCUUCUUUAGACCAAAAAACUUCCAGUCAUGUGUGUGGAACAUCUGCUAUGAUUGACCCACAUUCAUUUCUUAUAGCUCUUGCGAACCUAUUCUUGCAACAUAAAAAGAUUAAUUUUGUUUAGGUACCCAAGUGGUCUUGGGUCCUUGCAGGUUAGAUUUGCUUCCUUUGGGCUUCCAAACCCAUACACUUUUAGUCUGAUGCAUGUAGCUGUAUGAUUUAUUCCCGCACUUUCCACAUAUAAAAUAGAUAGGUCAUUGAGUAGAGAAUAAGAUUUUAGCUAAUUUAAACGAUUCUGAUGAGGAACUUGAUUUGUUUUAAAGGGAGUUGGAUCUUACAAAACUAUGACUAAGAGUUUUCUUAAUACUGUUUAGCUUUAUUUUUACAUCAUGAAGCUCUUCAUAAAGCAAGUCAAUUUUAAUUUGACAUGCUUUGAUUUCUAUUUGAUGACUUCAUUGUUCCUCCUCAAGUUUUUGUUUUAAUCGAGCUUCACAACUUUUCUUAUCUUAAGCAAGUUUUAUGUAUAACCUCUUGAAGCCUAUCAAUUAUCAAGUCUAAGUGAGAUUCAAGAAUAUUACAAUUGUGACAAUCAUGUAUUCUUACCUUGCUAGAUUCACCUAUUGCCAUAAAGCACAUAUUCGUGACUUCUACUUCUUCUUUGGUUUUAUAUUUAUCACUCUAGGAUCAAAAGUUAUUAUUUAUCUAUAAGAUAUUCUUGUUAACUCAAGACAGUUUUGUUUAAAGUGACUAGACCUUCCAUAGUAAUAAUAGCAAUCAUUAUUUCUGGUAGAAUCAUCAUUCUUGGCUCGUUGGUAUCUUUGUUGUCUCAGUCUCACAAUUUUCCUUACUCCAUAAUUUUUGAGAGACAUUCCUUCACUAUUAGCAUCUUCUAAAAUGUCCACCUCUUUAUUUGAAGCAGAAUUAAAGGCUACUAAUUUCUUCUUUUCUUCCUUGUGGUACCGGUUAAUAUAAUUUUUCUCAUAUGUAAUAAGGUUACCUUGUAGUUCGUCAUAUGUCACUUUGUGAAGAUCUCUAUCUUCUAGAAUGGUAGUCUUGGUUUCCCAAAUCUUUGGAAAACUUUGGACCAGCUUUUGAACUUCCAGGCUAUGUGCAUAGAUCAUUCCUAAUGAUUUCAACUUGUAAACGAUCUUACAAAAUCUGGCAAACAUUGUUUCAAUAUAUUCAUUCUCUUUAAUUUUGAAUUUCUCAUAUUUAUUGACCAGGUAGCAAUUUUUAACUUCCUGACUUUGGUUGUUCCUUUAUAGAUUACCUCUAAUUUGUCCCAUAUUUCUUUAGCAGUCUCACAGGUUGAUAUCUUCUCGUAUUCCUCUCCACUAACUGCAAAAAGAAGUAAACUUAUAGCACUUGCAUUAGUUUGAAUUACCUCUUGUUGUUCUUUGGUGACCUCAAAGAUUUCAAGAACUUCUAUGUUGGAACUUGUAGAUUCUUUGUCUUUAUCCUUUGACUUCUCUUUAAGUCUUGUAAUCGGCUUUGGUCCCUUCUUGAUAACAACCCAUGCUUAAAAGUUAUUUGAUUGGACAAAGAUUAUGGUGCUCUUAUGGAGAAGUGGCCAUCCUGAAAAAAAGAAUCGGGUAUUUGAUAACUUGCCAUUUUAUCUUUGCUCACUUAUGAUUAAGCAAUGCUAUUGGUGAGACCUGCUCUAAUACCAAUAAAAAUUCAAGAUUCUGUGAGUCAACUUCUGACUCCUCACUGUCGACUCACCAACAUAUUAGUGCACUUCACAAAAUAGAUUAGAUUUAAAAUAAUUAAGCAAAUUAAUAACAGAAUAUAAAAUAAUAACACAGAGAUUUAUCCUAGUUUAGAACACCAAUUCCUAGUCCCCUUGGGUUUCAAAGUUUUGCUAGAUCGUUCAAUGUCGGGCUAGACUACAAUGAUAUGAAAUAAGUUCUGAAGACUUAUUUUGUUCUUCAGAUCCUAUGACAUGGCUUUAGUUGAUCUUACAAAGUUGACUCGAUCCUACUUUUUAUAUAACAAUUGUAAACUAAAAUUUAAAAAGUCUAGUGAGACUAAUAUUGAUACAAUUUGAAUUUUCUCUUUGAAGUUAUGUGAUUUGUGUCCAUCUUCAGUCUUCUUCAUUUAUAGUCUUCUGCUACCAUUCUUUAUGAGGAAAUACAAGAGAUUUUUUCUUAAUCAAGGAUUUAAAUUUAUUACUCAAUUUUUGGAUGGCACCAUAAUGUAUGCCCAUAUCAGAUAUGUCCAUAUAUGGUGCCGUUUCUAUAAUUAUGCAUGCCUAUAUCAGAUAUGUCCAUGCACCAAUUAUGGACUUUCUUUCUUUAUGUUCUUAUUUGGUCUGUCGUGACUCUAGGAUUGUGAUCCUUCUUCCAUUUCCAAGCUAUUUGAAUUGAUUUUAUUGCCAUAAUGUUUGGAUGUCAUGAUCCUCCAUGUCUUCGAGUGAGAUAACCUUAGAUCUUCCAAUAUCCUCUAUCUUCUUUUACUUGGUUAUGAUUGAUCUGAUUUUUCAUGACUUUUGGGUUGAGAUUCUCCUUCCAUUAGUUCUCAUUGUGACUUAUUUACUUCGAUGUUAGAUACUAUUAAUUGUUGUCCUUCCAUUCCUUAAGUCGGCUUCCUUUAUGACUUCCAAAUAUUAGCAGUCCCAGUAUCCUACAAAGAUACACUUUCUUGUUUCUCUUCAUUAAAACAUAGACUUAGGAGGCUAAUAACCUACACCCCAUGUCAGAUGAAUUUCAAAUAUAUAUAUAUAUUUAUAUAACAAAAUAGAAAAAUCAUGAAUCAAAUAUAGCAAAGCAGUGUUAGCCCCAAUACUAAUAACAAUGCCAAGGCUAACACUAAUACCAAUACCGCCCAUUCUAACCCAAAGUAGUCUCACAAAGACGCUAUUCGAGAUCAAAACAACAACAAGUCAGGACAUACCACGGACCAUAGCCAAAACCUAAAGUCUAUGAAAUAACCAAAGUAUGUAAUAAAGUUCAUAACAUGAAAUAGAGCCUUUCGAUGUAUGGAAGCUCACCACUUUAAUCCAACACAGAGUUGUCCCCAAGUCCAAGUAACUAGGCAGGAGGAUUAGUAUGGUUGGUUCCUGCAUCAUGUAGGGAUACAGUGCCUGAACACGGGUUAGCGGGUGAAUGCUAGCAUUUACUAAGAAGUAAGGAUAAAAUAUUGCCAAUAUUUAAAAUCAAGUAAGUAACCAUAUGCAAUCACAUCCAUACAUAUAUAUAAUCUAUACUGAGAAAAGAAAUCUAGUUUAGCAUGCAUUAAAAAACUUGACUUGGGUUAGUGUAGCUUUACCAUCAUAAUCCACCCAUAGGCUAUAUGGUUCUGGUGUUACCCCCUAAAUGGGACCUAAUGCAUGUAAUAUCCCAUACUUAUCCUAGCUCGGUUUAGCUCUUAGUUUAAUGCUUAAGGGUAUUAAGGCUUGAAAUUUACACUAAGUGUUAGGGACUUAGUCAUUUUCAAGACCCCUAAACUUUGAAAAUUUUCAUUUUGGUCUUCCCAACCCCGAACAUUAGUUUUUGAGUUAAAUCAUGUUCAGGGAUGUAAAAAGUAUGUCAGGGGGAGUUUUGGAUUUUUUGGACAAGGUUUGGAGCACGUUUGGAUCACGAAUCUAGUAAGUCACCAUGAUAGGGUCGCAUCGCAGUGACAUUCCCUUUGGCCCGAACAUCGCAUCGCGGUGAAUGACUAUUUUUCUUGUUCUUGAUUUUUAAAUGAAUGCAUAUGUCAUGAUCUUUAUCCUAGUGUGUGAAAUGCUUAUGAGAUGGAGAAUGUUCAUAAGAAUCACUUAGAAUAAAGUUGAGCUAAGAGCCUUUGAUUCGUCCAAAGUUUGGUAUUUGAUUCUACAAGGGUCAACUUUGAACGUGUAUAACUUUUGAUAUAUAUGGAAUUUUUCAUCUCAAUACCCACUGAAUUAUAAAUAAUUGAAUUAUAUUUCCAACGACACCAAUUUUGCCUUAAUCCGAUACCCGAGAAAAAUGUUAUGAUCAUUUUUGUUAGAACUAGUAAGCCACCGCAAUAAGAUCGCAUCAUGGUGACCUUCCAAACUAUAUUCUAAAAGUGAAUUUAAUUUCUUGAGGAGCAAUUAUGUCUUUUUCCCUCAACCCCAUCAUCCAUGACAUGAUUUGGGGUAUAUUUUUUGACGUAAUUGGCUUUCUUCUCCAAUUCUCCUCUCAAAGAAACCUUAAUUCUCUCCCAAGAAUAUUAAUUUCAUUACUUUCUCUCCAAGGAAACCAAGAAUCCAAGUUCCCCAAGUUCAAGAACCUUUAAGAAACCAUCAAGAUAGUUGUUUCCUUUUUAAGUUAAAAGCUUAAGGUAUGUGGGGUUAAUAAACAAGAAUACUCUUUCAUCCUUGUGCCCAAAACUUAUUUUAAAGUUAAGAUCAAGUGAUUUGUAAUUAGGGUUCAUACCCAAUAUAUCUUUUUUUGAGUAUAUGGAUUUAUAAAGUCAUUUAAGUAUUAAAGUGCUUGCCCAUUCUCAUCUAUUUAUGUUUUGAUUUAAAGAUUCUCUAUUAUGAUAUGUAUAUCAUUAGUUUCAUGUGAAUGUUGAUUAAAGAUUUUCAAUUGAGUUUUAAUCACGAUAUUUUGUUACAAGUUAUAUGAAAGAAAGCAUGAGAUCCAAAGGCUUUAAGUGCAACAUGGUUACAUAUGCUUGUGUCUUGAUUUAUAAGAUUCAUAUUAUGAUUUUUGAUUUCAUAAUCUUGAUAGAAAUUAUUGAAGUAUCUCAAGAAGAUUAUUGAGCACGAAAUAUUGUUAAAAAGUUCUAAGAAUUUAGAUUAUACUAUGAGUCCUAAGUACAAGUUUUUGAGAUUUCAAGAAGACUGUGAUCUUAAACUUUUUUCAUAAUUUUAUACCAAGACUUAAAGUAAAGUUUGAUCUCUUGAUCCUAAGCUAAGAUAUGGAAUCGACAUUUUUUCAUCAUGAAUAUGAUUUAAAACAAAGAGAAGCAUAAAUGGUUUUUAUUAUACAAAUCCUUGUGUUAUUUUAAGAUGGAUUUCUAAAGUAUGAUCAUCUAAGUAAUAUGGGAGUUUUAUUUAGCACUAAGUUGGCUUCGGAUGUCGCAUGCCCCAUAAAUAUGUGCCACCAUAGGCUUAAGUCCUAAUAUGGAUUAAGUAUAGUGAUCACUCAAGUUAAGAUUCUAUUCUUAUGGAAAGGGUAGAAUAGGUGUCCUUAAUGUUGGUAAGAUGUUGGACUCCACGAUAGCUCACAUAGUUUAUGUUGGUUGUAAUAACCUCCCAAAAGAAAAGGUAAAAGUAAAGCUUUUAGAACUAAGUGUUAUGACUCACAAAGUGUAUCCUUAUGCUUCAUUACUCAUGUUUAUGAUUUUACAGCUUUUGCUUAAUUCAAGCUCAAGGUGAGUCAUCUACACUUAGCAUGCAUUAUUUUAAAGUCUAUGUGUACAUUCAGUUACUGUUUUACUUAUGUAUUCACCCAUACAUACUCAGUACAUUCCAAAAGUACUGAUAGACAGUCAGUAGAGUUGAUGCCCUGACUACCUAUAGUCAAUAUUAGUAGAGGCUUCAUAGACAGUUAGUAAAGUUGAUGUAUUUGAUUCUAGUUUCAUUCUGUAUAACCAAAGUUGUAAUCAUUUUAAAUAGUUUUACUUUGAGCAUGUUCAACUAAAGACUUCUUUUCUAUGUGUUACUUUAAGUCUAAUGUAUUUUAAUUAAUAGAGCAAGCAUAAUGCCAUUAUAUGGUUAGCUUGGGAUCACUUGUGUCCUUAAGCACCAUGUGAUAUCUGGGGGUAGUCUCGGGGCAUUAUAAACAUGGUAUCAGAGCACAUAGUUCAAUUUUCCUAUGGUGUCAGUGAAUUUGUAUCUAGUAGAGUCUUGCAGAAUUAUAAGAAGAUGUCUAUAUUUUUUUUGAGAGGCUACAGGGCAAUUAGGAAAUAUUUCCCUUCUUCCAUGCUCUACAUCAUACUAUAAAGUCUUUCUCUUAGAAACUUCUAUCAAUUUGGGUGUUACUCCAUAAUUCUCUAUCUAUGACUUUCCAAGAUAACAUGAGUACUAGAUUUUAAUUUCUACCAAGAUGGUGCUCUCAAAUUUACUUUCAGUAACUUUUGAAGUCAUACAAUGGGCUUGAGGGGAGCUCACUUCUGUGGUGUAAGUCCUGAAUCUUAUGUCCUCAUCUAUAUAAGUUGUUCAAUUAAUAUAAAACAAGAUAUAUAUUCAGAUACCUCAUUAACCCUUAUAGAAAAAUAGUGUCCAUUAGAGAAGUAGUAUGACUCUAUGUUUGUUAAAAGGGUUUACAGUCGAGGGAUAUUAUGACAUUGAGUGUUAUAAUUUAUAAGUAGUAGAAACUUGUUAUAGUUUAAAGUAUUGUUUUAUAAGUAUAUUGACAAAUAAGGUGGUAAUGGCAGUUGAUCAAAUGUAUAUAGAUAAGCUUUUGCAUAUGAUCGAGUUAGUAGUAAGGUGAUAGGCCCUUGUGUGUUAGUUUAGGGGUACUGAAUGUGGUAUAGUUUCCUAUUUUUAAGGUAGAUAAGGGGUUAUUGAUGGUAUUUAUUGUGUUAGAAAAGUAUAGGUUAUUGAUGAAAGUAUUUGGUAGUUGAUUAUUGUGAAUUUAGGCUUCUCUUGAGGUUGCAAAGAGUUUAAUUAAAACCUAUAGAGCUAUGAAGGGAAUGUAUGUGUAUAGAUGGGUGAAUAAUAGUACCAUACGAUCAUAAUCAAUUAUUGUUAUAAUGAGGUACUAAUGUAUAAGUGUUUUUUGAUGUUUUAUUUUAUAGCUUCCGAGUAAGAAUUGUUAAUCAUGUAUAGUACUAGACACUAAUUUUGAAAAGUAGAUGAUCAUCAAGGUGAAAAUAAUGAUUGCUUCGUUAGUGAUGUUGGUUAUGAAAAGUAGAUGAUCAUCAAGGUGAAAAUAAUGAUUGCUUCAUUAGUGAUGUUGGUUAAAUAAAAGUAAUCUAGUCGGCUUGAGCAUUAUAUGCAAGAGUUUUAAGUUCAUUUGUUCGUAAUUGAGUAUGAUGUUGUAGGUAUGAGUUAUAUGGGUACAAAAGUUGAUAUGGGGAUUGCAUUAUUUUCUAAGAUUAUUAAAGAGUGUGUGUGGUUAUUAGUACCCUUGAGUUUCUAAAUGGGAAGAAUUUUAGUUAUAUAGUAUAUGGUGUUCUUAAUAGCUAAGUUAAGGAGUUAUGGAUAGGUGAUGUUGAGUUUUUUCAUCUGAUUUUGAAUCUCAUGGUUUAUGGAAAACUAUAAGUUUAGAGAUAUGAUAUUAGUAGACUAUGAUGGAAGUAGUAUGGUUAAUUACAGUUUGGGAAUAUCCUUGUUAAGUGUUAGAAUCUAAGUUUGAAUCUUUAAGGAUUAAGCAAAUAGAAAGAAGAGUUGAAACUCUAGAUAGUGUGAACUCAGUGUAUGGUGAUAAUCAUAUAAAUUCAAAGUUAUUAAGUGUUCAGGUUAUUAUAUGAUGGUUAUUGAGCUAUAGAAUUUUAAGAAUUAUAUCUUAGAAGGAAGUACUAGCAGUGGGUUCUACACUUUCUGAGGUAUUCUUUCAGGUUGAGUUUAUUUUUUAUGUGUAUUUUUAUAUCUCGGGCUCUAGAAUAAUAUGAUUGCAAUUUAGUAUAGAUUUUAUUUAAAGGGCCUAUAGACUUAGAAUGAUUGCUUAAAGCUAAGAGGUAGAUGAUAGACCAAGUAACCAAGUCAGGCUCUCAUAUUCUAGUGGUGGUGCUAGUAUGUUGUAGAAUUGUAGUAACGGAACAUGAUGCUCGACCCAUUCUUAUCUCAGUGUAAAGUGUUGUAAUUUAGUCAUUAUUAUAUCUACACAAUUCUUACAUGUCGUUCCAUGAUCAUAGCUCAUAUUCAAUCACUUUCCAUAGAAUAAUGUACACUUUCAGUUUUUAGUAAGAGGGUUUCCAGUUCACUUAGCAACACGAAUCAUAUUCCAAAAAAUUUAUGAACUCCAAACUUAGGUCAUGUAUCUCAUUACUCGUGUACUUAUGAUUUACAGUAUGUUCAGUUCCAGGUACUCAUUCUAUACUCUUAAUGAUCAGUAAAAUUCAAAUUCUGUAAUGUAUGACCUCAGUUUAGCACUCUUCAAUGAAUUCAUGGUUUUGAUAUUCUAUUCCUUAGGCCUCAGUUAAGUGUCCAAGUUAUGCAUAGUAUUUUUUCAUGCUUUAGGUCCUCACGUUCUAACCUUUUAGUGACCUUUUGCUUAGGUUAAGAUAGUGAUGAUAAAUAGUUGUUUAGAUGAGAGAGAGUAAAUAUUUCUUAUAGAUGAAAGAUUUUGUUUUCUUAUUUUUACCUAAGGUUGUAAGUGUGAAGUAAAAUUGAGGCCAUGUUUUUUUAUACAUGUCAUGGUUAGUUGAAAUUUAGAGGGUGUUUUCUUGGUGUAGUGCAUGAAAGUUGUUAUUGAUAGAGGUUUAGAGAAUAUCAGAAAGAUUCCUUUAUAGGUGUUUUCCCAGAAGUUCAUAUGUGGUUAUAAUGAUAGGCUUGAAUAUUAAGUUGGUGUAUAUGUGGAUAAAUAUAUUUCAUAUUAGUAAAUUUCUAGUAAGAGGUUAAAUGUAGUCGUUGAAGUGGUAAUAAGAAUUAUUCUUGAGAUAAGAAGUUGUGAAAGUGUAGGAUGUAUUGAGAUAUGUGCACCCAAAGUAUGACAGAGGGUAUGUACGUAUCAUUUAUCAUAGUGCAUGGUACAUUUGUGCCUUUUUAAAUUUUAUCAUCCCAAAUAAUUAACUCAAAUUCACUACCUAAUUCAAAAAACCCAUCGAAUCUGAUUUCAAACCAACUCGCCGUGAUCUAUUUUUUUGUUUCAAAUUCGAUACUCCCUUUAUUUUUCUCUUAAAUAUAAACUCUAAUUAAAUUACAGUGAUUGAUCGCUGCUGCUAGUUGGUAUUUAAUGGUUGGAGGGAGUAGCAAUUAGGUUGGAUCUAGGGGCGACGACUGUUCAUCGAUGGGGUGUUUCUGAUUUAAAGGAGAUGGUGGUUAUUUUGGUGUUGACCGGUGAUAGAUAGUAUUUUUUUCGACGGAAUUAUGCAGAAAAUUAAAAUGUGAGGGAUUUAACUUAUUUGCUGUUGUUUUGGUGUCUUAUGAGCUAAUGAUUUUUUUUUUUUGAAACUGGUAGUAGUAGGGUGGUAUUUGUGGGUGUAUUUUUUCAAUUGACAUGAAGGAAAUAGUGUAAUUAGUCGUUGUUCAUUGUACUGUUGUUAUUGUUGAUGUAUUGUUGUUGGUGUUGUUAAUGGAGAAUUAGAAGAGAGUUGUUGUUAUUCUUGGUGGAUGUUAAUGUAUUGUAUGUGUGUAUUGUUAUAGGGGUGGGAAUGAAAGCGUCUGCUAGAUAGGCGUCUCUUGGCUUUUAAUUGGAACCAAGCCGGACCAUUGAUUUGGAUUAAUUAUUUGAAAUAAAAAAUUAAUAUGAAAGAGGAAUAAAUAUACCUCGAACUAUGAUAAAUGGUAUGCAUAUACCUUCCAUCAUAUUUUAAGUAGACAUAUGCCCGUAGCAUUAGUGUGAGGAGAAUAUAUGUACCAUUUCGUUAACGGUAGGGGAAUAUGUGUACCUAAAGAAUAAUGAAGGGUAUGUACGUACUGUUUAGCACAAUUUGGGGGUAUAUUUGUCCCUUUUUUAUUUGAAUGUUAUAAUUUAUUUUUAUUUUUAUUUUUUUGGAAAAUUUUCACUUGGUAUUCAAUAUUUAAUUUUUAUUCGUGCAUUGCAGAGAUCAUUUUUUAGGUCAACACCCCUAAUAAGAUUUUUUCUAUUCCCAAAGGUUCGAACUCAAAACAUAUAGUAGUUGAGUAUAAGAAAAUCUUGAACCAUCUCACCGCAACCAUAUUAGUCCGAUUAAACUUCGGCGACUGGUAGUUAGAUUAACAAAAUGUUCUAAGAGGAAUUGUCACACAAAUGCAUACACAUACAUAUAAAGUAGUAGUACAAACAUUGUGAUCUUUAAGAUUUAAGGGAGUAUUUAUAUUGGUGAGAAAGAAGGGUCUUUGCUAAUGAUGACUCUUCACUAUAUUGUCAUUAACUACAAUUAUUAGUAUUUUUUAUUUCAUUAACAAUUUUCAUUUUCCUCAUUGACAUUAAUUUUAGGGAAAAAAAAGAGUUAUAUUAAUCCUUCGUUAUAUUUUUUUGUUAUAUUUGUCCUUAACAUUCGACGUGGGGCUCAUAUUUGUUCUUGAUCAAUAAAGUGUUAUAUCAACUCUUUUAUCAACAUAGGUGGUGCAACCAUGUAGAUUACAUGACACUUGCAUGAAUAAAUAUAUAAUUUCAUAGACCUCCCCUUAGGUUUUGCCUAAUAACACUAAUCUCCCUCGGGGUUUAUCAUAUUUCAGUUACCUCCCUUAUUUUGAUUUUUGUAACAAUACUUUUAAUCUAUUAUUAUUAAAUUUAGAUUUUAUACUUUGACUAAUUUAUCCUUACUAAUAUAUUUUUUAUUAAUUAAUUUUAUAAAUAUUUUUUUUGUGAAACUAAGAAUAAAAACUUAAAUUCUUGUCUCAAAAGGAAAUAUCUAUUCUGUUCUUUUUCUUCCAGUUCAAUCUCUGAUCCAUGCCUAUUUGGAUCAUCAACAUAUAAUAAUAAACAAGAAUAUAAAAAAAGUAAUGUGACAUCUCCAAAUGACCUCCAUUUACAUAUACUUUUAUCUUCUUUUUUUGACUUUUUAAUAUUUGUUUUCCUAUUUUAAAAUCAUAAAACAAUUUGAAAGACUCAACUAGUAAGAAAAACUAAAUGAGAAAGUACGUACCUUCAAGGUUAUAAAGAUGAUUGAUGAUACACAUUCAAAUUAAUUAAAUGUGAAAAAAAUGUCUUUCAAUUUCCGAAAUGGUUCAUCUUUGGCAUGUACUUGUAACACAACAAUACAGGGCUUCCCCAUACCUGUCUCUUCUCCUUCGCAAACAUAGAGUCUUUAAUAAGAGGAGAAGAAAGUUUAACAUUCAUUCUCAAAGUAAUUCACAACAUAGAUAUUUGUUUUGUUAUUUUAUAGGAGAUAUUGCUCUAAUCCAUUGUUGAUAAAAGGGAGAAGAUGACAAAUGACCUAAAAGAAAAUUUUAAUUUGAUAAUUUCGAUACGAUAUUUGUUAGGAAGGUAUAAGGAAAACUAAUCAGUACUUUCUUUAAAUUGUUCGUAAAUCUUUAUAAAUCAAUUCUUUUAUCAUGAAAAUGAUUCCCUUGAUCUUGAUUUUCUCUCUAUUAGCAUGUUUUCUCUCAUUUAAAAAAAAAUUCAAAUAAAUUAUUAUUUAAUAUUUUUUCUUAAUUGAAAUGAUACAAAUUAGAUAGAGUAGAAUAUAACAAAUGACAGUUCCUCAACUAAACUUGUAUGUUUAGAUUAGUUUGUAAAAGAAAAAUUAAAUAUGCAUGUCUUUAAUAUUAUUACAUUUAUCUUUUUAAGUUAUAUCAUAUAUGUCUUUUUUUUCUUUUAUCUUCUUUGAAUAUCACUUGAUAUAUCUAAUGACUUGAUUUUUGGUGAUCAUGUAAAAUAUUCAUUUCGGUGUGAUUUGAUCAUAUUACCCCUCCCAUGGUUGUUUGUAGUAUUUUUAGGGUGUGGAGAUGAUUUGCAUGAUUCUCAAUGCAUUUUGAUGUGAUUUGUACGAGUUUGUGUUUUUGGUGGCUUGAAAGGCCUUAUAGUUAACUUCGAUCAACAUUUAUUGAUCUCUACAUUGAAUGACAAAACAGACUGCGCCAGCAGAUUUGUAACGUAGAUUUUAGGUUGGCAACAUAGCUAUUAUAGUUUCAUGGAUUUAUAUCGCAUUUUGACCCUUGGUUCAAAAAUUUAUAAAAUUGGAUUUCAUAGAUCAACUUUGUGAAAAUAAUAUUUUUUAAAAAAUAUUAAUAUUUAUAUUGAAUUGGAAUGUCAAAUUUAGGUAAGUAGUGGGGUUGGUUCUGCUUCAUAGUUUUUAGAUCUUAUUUCGAUCCUUAGUAUGAAAAUAGUGUAAUGGGGUUUGGGGGUCAAUUUUGUGAUAAUGACAUAUUUUCCAUAAAUUCAAUGAUUCCAUUGAAUUCAAAAUAUGUUUUACAGUUAAAUUUCACUUUUGAAUCAUGUUAUAGGGUUUCGACAAGUUCGGGGGGUCAAAAGUAUGUUUCUGACAUUGCUGGUACUAGUGUGUUUGCGGAAGUGAAUAUUUGAUAAUUUGAUCGGGUCACAUAAGAAAACAUUUGGUCGCUUAAGCAAUAUUUUGACCCGUUGACAUGUCUCUUAAGCAAUCAAAGUGUCGCUUAAGCGACUAUCACUGAGAAUAAGACCCAAAUUCGUAUGUUUGAUUUGGGAACCAAGAAGCUUCAAUUUUAUGAUUUCUGAUGUGUUUUUCUAGUAGAGUCACUAACUAUCAAUUAAGAAGUCUAUUUUCCCAUUUUUCAAGAAUGUCUAUUUUAUUUUCGUGAUCUCCACCCCAAGUUGAGAAUGAAAGCUCUAUUUUCACUAUUUUGGGGCUUGGGGGCUUAGAUUUGGGCGGUUUCAAAGGUGUUUUAUCUAUUUCUUUCAUGUGUAUGUUUUUAAUAUUAUAAUUAUCCUUUUCACUCGAUUUCAUCUUAAAACAACUUUAAAUUUUUAAUUUUAAAAUAUGUUUUGGGGGUGGGGGUGUUUUGCCGGUAGAGCUUGAAAAUAAUUUUUCUUUGAUUUGAGCCUUGUUUUUAAUUCAUUUUUGCAAGAAUUUUCAGUUGUAUAUUCUUAUGAUCAUGGAAAACAUGUUUCAAGAAUAAAAUUAUGAUUUUACCCUUUUUUUUUUAAAAUUCAUUUUGGGUGUCCAUUUUGACCCCAACUAAAAAUUGAGAAAGAUGGGUAUCUUUGACUUUCUUUUGAUGUGGAGAUUUUUUCAGGUCUGUUUGUGAGGGGAAAGCUCCGAAUUAAAGGCUUUUUGGAUCGAUUUUCGACAUUCGAGGUAUGUUAUGACUUAACUUUCUCCAGACUAGGUUGGGUAAUUAAUAAUAAUGUAAAAGUAUGCUAUGGAUAUGGGGGUUGUAUCAAGAAAAAUAUAUUUAGGCAACAUUAUUUGGGAUAUUAUUUGCUAUAUGUGAUAGUGUAGGGUCUUAUAUGAUGUUGUUGGUCUGGUAUUGAUAUAUGUAUAUUUUAUUGUACUCUUUUUGUUAGGAAAAAACCUAGAUGUUGGGAAUUAUAUGGUAUUAAUGAUAUUUUCUUACAUAUUUCACUUGAUGAUUUCCAAAUUAUAUAGGAUCAUGGAUGGUUGAUUGAUUUGUGUUGAUUAUUAGCUCACAUGCUUGGUAUAUUGGUUGAAUAUUAGAUAUUCUCAUUUUCGUUGGCUGUGAGCAUUACAUCCUCAUAUCAUAUUCAUGCAUGAAAUAUUGGUACCACAGUGAAAAUAUUAAAAAUACUGGAAACACUGACUUUUUCUAAUAGAAAAUAUGACAUCAUUAAAAACACUCAACAAAUAUAUGUGCCAAAAAGGACUUAUAGAUUUUGAUAUUAGAUAUUAGUGUUAUAUGGGUUGCAAACCUCCGGUGGAUCCUACAUCAGAAGCCUAGCUCGGUAGGUGUAUACAGAUGUUAUGUGACAACCCCAUGCAUUACAUCAUCAUUCUCAUUACAUAUUAUAUUGGAUGCACCUGGUAUUGUUGUAUGUUGUGCUAAUUUGUGUCUUAUGUCAUAAAUGUAUGAAAUAUUGGUACCACCAUGGAAAUAUAGAAUUUUUUGAUAGGCAUAUAACAUUUUUAAAUACCCUCUGCUGAUUUAUAAACUGGAGAUGAGUUAUAGAUAUUGGUUAUAUAUGGAUUGAUGAACUGCCCAUGGGACCUACCUUAGGAGAACAACUCGGUAGGUGUAUACUGAGUUUGUGCCAUGACCUCAUGCAUCAUCAUCAUCAUCAUUACCAUUAACAUUUAUAUAUUAUUCUUAUUCUAUGUUGUAUUUCUAUUCUUAAGGUAAUAUCUUUCUAUUUGUAUUAUGUUCCCCUACUUGUACCUCGUAUACGUAUAUAUCUAUGUUCUUUUCUUGUACUAGUAUUUUUUAUAUGUAUAUAGCAGAAUUAUUAGUGGACACGGUAUGGACUGCCAUUUGAGAUAUUUUCUGAUUCUAGGUAACGAGUCCAUAAUUUGUGUUUAUAUGUUUGAUUUUCUAUUUACUCUGUUGGCCUAUGAUACCUACUGAGUACAAGUAGACCAUACUCAUCCCUACUAUGCUCUUUUAGAGCAGAUCCAGGUAUGAGUCUGCCAGAUGAAUAGUUGAUUCAGGCAACAUUUAGAGUAUAUUCGAUAUAGUGGACAUCCUAUGCUUCAAGAGUUGGCCUACUACCUCUUCCUAUCUAUUUUCAUGUCUUAUUCAGUAUUUUGAGACAAAUUUUGAUCUUGUUUAUACUAUUAUUGUAUCUUUCAAUAUUCGAGAUAUAUUUAGUAGUUCUUACGCUGUGACACCAGGUUUUGGGAUAUUAUAUUAUUAUCUUUGACUAUGUAUUUCUACUUCUACUAUAUAUGUGUGUGUCUCGACUCCACUCUUGGAGUCUUUCCUUGGGUUUUGAUAUUUCUUCUUCUUUCAUAUCAGUUUGGGCAAUAGGAUUACUUGUCCAGGAUUUCUGCAACAAGUGCAAUCAUAACCUUGGUUUUUGGGUCAUAAUAAACUAGUAUCAGAGUAGUCAGGUUUAUUGGUCUUAAUAGUGUAAGAAUGGGGUGUCUAAUAGAGUAUCACGGAUUGGUACAUAGACUUUUGCAUCUAUCUUUGAGAGUUUGUAAGAUGACUUUUAGAAGUUUGAAAGUUCUUGAAUGUGUUGGAUGUUUCUCUUCAACUAGAUACAACUCAGGUGGUAGUGUAUAAAGCAUCAUUUCGAAGUAUAGUGGAUCAUAGUAGGAUAACUAAGACUAUUCUUUGAGGAUUUCAGGGAGGCGUGAAGAGGGUACACUAUCACGGCUAGUUUAGAGGUCACACUAUUUGAGGUAGAGAUUCAUGGAUAUCAUGGUAGUCUAGUACAAGCACCCCUGCAGUGUUCAGUUAGUGGUUCUUCUGGCUCAACAAAUUUAUGUUUUGUUUCUUCUUAGCAUCUUGGUUUUGAUGUGAUCUUUGGUAUGGAUUGAUUAAAUCCUUACUAGGUUGUCUUAGAUUGUUAUGCUAAAAUCGUAACUUUUGCUUUGCCAGGUUUGCCAAGAAUAACCUAGAUGUUUGUGCUUUAUUAGGGUCCCAAGGGAGUCAUAUCUUUUCUUUAUGCUAGUUGCUUGGUUGAGAGAGGGUGUUUGUCUUAUUCGGUUCAUAUUCCUGAUACUAGUAUUGCUUCACCUCCUUUUUUAGCUUUUGUUUGUAUAGUCUAUGAGUUCAUGACUGUUUUUUCUAUAGAUUUAUCUAGUAUGCCUCUGGAUCGUGAUAUUGAAUUUUUCAUUGAUGUUGAGCACUUCACCAAUCCCAUUGAUAUUCCUCCUUACAUGAUGUCCUAGAAAAGUUGAAAAAAUUAAAGUAUCAGUUACGAGAGUUAUUGGAUAAGGGGUUUAGCUGACCUAGCGUAUCACCUUGGGGUGCGCCUGUGUUUUUUUUAAAAAAGAUGGGUCUUUGUGCAUGUGUACUAAUUAUUGGAAGUUGAACAAGGUGAGGUUAAGAAUAGGUAUCCUUUUCUUUAUAUUGAUGAUUUAUUUGACUAGCUUUAUGGUGAUUUGGUGUUUUCAAGAUCGAUUUAAGGUUCGUUUAUCACCAAUUGAUGAUUAGAGCUUCGGAUAUUCCAAAGACAGCUUUUCGAACUCGGUACUAUCAUUAUGAGUUUUUGGUCAUGUCCUUCGGUUUGACCAAUGCCAUAAUUGCGUUCAUGGAGUUGAUGAACCGGGUCUACCGUACCUUGAAUUUUUGUUCAUUGUAUUUAUAAAUGAUAUCUUGGUUUAUUCCAACAGUGAGGCCAAUCAUAAAAAAGUACUUGCAGAUUAUGCUUUAGAGAUUGAGAGAUCAAAAGUUGUAUGCAAAGCUCUCCAUGUGUGCGUUUUGGUUGGAGUCUGUCUUAUUCUUGGGUCAUGUGGUGACUAAGGAUGGUAUUAUGGUCGAUUUGAUCAAGAUUGCAAUGGUUCGUGAUUGGGCUAGGCCUACUUCUCCUAAUAAGAUUUAAGUUAUAUUUGUUUAGCAGGCUACUAUAGGCAUUUUGUUGAGGGCCUUUCAUCUAUUUAAUCAUCAUUGCCCAAGUUGACUCGGGAGAAGAUUUGCUCUCAGCUGUCCAAUUCUUAUGAGGCAAUCUUUCAAAAGUUUUAGGAUUUGUUAACUUCAACUCUUAUCUUGACUUUUCCUAAGGAGGGAAUGGGUUUUACUAUCUUUUGUGAUGCUUUAUGUGUUUGUUUAGGUGUUGUAUUGAUGUAAGAGAGUAAGGUGAUAAAGUAUGCUUCUCAUCAGUUAAAUCCCCACGAGAGUAAUUACCCAACCAAUGAUUUAGAGCUGUACGAAGUUGUAUUUGCGUUGAAGUUGUGGAGGCACUACUUGUAUGAAGCACUUUGUGAUGAUCUUCCUAGAUCAUCAUAACCAACAAUGUUGAAUAUGAGGCAACAUUGUUGGCUUGAGUUGCUUAAGGAUUAUGACCUGACUAUUCUCUAUCAUCUGGGUAAGGCUAACGUAGUUACUGAUGCCUUAAGUUAAAACUUGACUAGCUUGGGUAUCUUGAAUCAUAUUUUGAUCCAGGAGAGGCCUUUUUCCUUAAAGGUUUAAUACUUGGCUAACCAGAUAGUUAGGCUUAAUAUUUCAACACCUAAGCGCAUUUUGGCAUUUGUGGAGGCUAGGACUUCUUUGAUAGAGAAGAUUUAAGAUUAUCAGUUUUAAUGAUGUUUAUUUGAGAGUGACUCAGUAUAAGGUGUUGAGUGGUAUUUUAAUGAUUGGAGGUUGAGUCUAUAUAGCGAGAGUAGGUGAUUGGAUUUUAUUGAUUUUAAAGAAGUCUGAUUAUUCCAGGUGUUCCAUUUAUCUAGGAGUGACUAAGAUGUAUCAUGAUUUCAUGAAGCAACACUGGUGGGGUAGUAUGAGGAAUUAUAACUUUGUAGCUCAUUGCCUACAUUGCCAGCAGGUGAAGUCUGAGCAUUUGAGGCCUGGUGGAUUGCUUUAGAGGUUACCUAUUCUAGAGUGGAAAUGGUAAUGGAUUGUUAUAGACUUUGUAACUGGGCCGCCUCAAAAUUCCUGUGGUUCAGAUAGUGUUUGGGUCAUCAUGUAUCGACUGACAAAAUCUACUCAUUUUAUUCUUGUUCAGGUUUCUUUCAGUUCCAAGGGGUUGGCCCAUAUCUAUAUUUGUGAGAUAGUGCAUCUUCAUGGUGUACCAAUGUCUAUCAUUUCGAAUCGAGGAGUAGUGUUCACGUGUCUCUUUUGGAAGACUUUUAAGGAUGAGUUAGGUAUCAAGGUUGAUCUUAGUACAACUUUUCACCUCUAGAUCAACGGUCAGUCAGAGGGGACUAUUCAGGUUUUGGAAAAAUAUGUCCCGCGCUUGUGUUAUGGACUUUGGAGGUCAUGGGAGCAACAUCUAGAUUUAGUGAAGUUUGGAUAUAAUAACAGCUACCAUUGUAGUGUCGAUAUAACUAUUAUUGAGGCUUUAUAUUGUAGGAGUUAUCUCUCUUCAGUUAGUUGGUUUUAGAUUUCUGAGGUUAGACCUCGAGGUAAGGACUUACUUCGUGAGUUUUGGAAAUAGUUCAGGUCAUUCAGGGUAGACUUCGGGCAUCUAAAAGUAGGUAGAAAUGCUAUGGGUAUCGUAGACUUUGUGCCUUGUGAUUUAGUGUCUGAGAUCAUGUCUUUCUUUUUGUUUCACCCAUGAAGGGUGUGACAAGGUUUGGGGAGAGGGGCAAUCAUAGACUUAGGUAUAUUGGACCUUUUGAGAUUCUUCAAACUAUUGGGAAUGUGUCUUAUAAGUUGGCAUUACCCCCAAAUUUAAUAGUUGUUCAUCCAGUUUUUCAUGUUUUUAUGCGUCGGCAUUACAUUUUGUAUGAGCCUCAUGUUAUUCAUUGGGAUUCAAUUUAGUUAGAUGAGCAGUUGUCUUUCGUUAAGGAUCUUGUCUCCAUUCUAGUCAGGGUUGUUAGAAGGUUGCCUUCUAGAGUUAUUCAAAAGGUUAAGGUCCAGUGGAAACAUCAAACUAUAGAUAAGGCUACUUGGGAGGUCGAGUCUGAUAUGCAUGGCUGGCAUGACCCAAACCAGGGCCUGACCGUGAUGGAUAUCUCAAGACCACCAAGUUUAAAGACCAUCCCCUUAGCCUUACCUCAAGAUCACAACAACAAUAAACAACGGAAGUCAACCAAAUAUCAAAAAAAAGAUAAACCAAAUGAAAUCUAAGAGUCAAGGCAAACAUCCAACCCAUAUUUGUCCACAAAAGCUUCUUAAAUAAGAAAUACCAACUAAGUCGUGUGCCCCGACUAUGACCAAAAGAAAUUAAUCCAACAGUACUGAGCCAUUAAAAAAACACGCGAAAUGAUAGGGUCUUCGAAGGAUGGAAGCUUACUACUUCACAACAACUCAACGAAUGCACCACACUACCUAAUGCUACACAGAAGUAAUGGAAAAUUCCUCGGAACCUACAUCAUGAAAUAAUAUAGCAUCCAUCGAUGGUUAGUGGGAUGAAUACUGGCAUGGAACUCAGGAAAUAGGGAAACCAUAAUGUAGUUAUCAAAAUCUAGUCAUAAACCAUAUACACUAUAUUCAUAUACAUAUAUAUAUUAUGCCAGGAUAGGGACAAGGGCCAUGAACAUGAGAGUUUAAAUCAUUAGCCUAAACUAUUUAGCUCGCUCCAUCCUAAAGACACCUAUGGGCUAUAUGGGUCCAUCUCCCCUAUAAGAAGUGUCCCAGUGCAUCUUAGCCACAUAAAACAAGGAAAAACUGCGAAAAGGAUAAAGACAUCAAGGUCAUAGCCCUCCCAUAUAUAUAUAUAUAUAUAUAUAUAUAUAUAUAUAUAUUAUAUAUAUAUAUAUAAAGUGUGCACCAAGCACAUGGUCACAUGGACCCCCAACAUUGUCAAAUAUGGUUUCUAGUGUCGAUCCUCUUGGGAUCUACACCUUCACAGUGAGAUACACAAUUACCUUUAAGUCCAAAUUAAAACAAUUUGCACAUAACCAACUGUUAAUCCAGGAGUCAUUCAUUAAGGUAUUUUCCACUUGGUAUCGUCAUACCAAUAUGCUUUCAAGCUAAUAAAAUUAUGCCAAACCAAUUCAUAUAACCAAAUUGACUCUCGAGAUCCAUUUAAAAUCCAAUCCAUGGCCAUCAAGGCUAUCCAAAAUCCACUAUUUUUCAUUUAUCUAUUAAUGGAAUAAAAUGGGUUCAAAGGAUAGGAUAAAUCAUGCAAUUAUUCAUAUUUAAAAUAAAUUUUACAAAGUGGGUUGAGAUUAAUGUCAUUAUCGAGCCAAAAUUCCAUCAAUUUGGAGAAACCCAUGUCCCCCAUUCCAACAAUUAAAACAAUACCCCAAUUCAGUCCCAAAAACAUCAAUUUAAAACAUAGGACAAGUAAUUUAAGUAAAAACAACCAAAAUUCCUUAACCCAAUUUCAAACCCACUAUUUAAAUCACAAUAAUAUCCAUUCAAUUUAAAUCAUAAUGAAAAAUUAUUAGUUAAGGAUGAACAACAUGCGUGAAAUAUAGAACAAUUUAAGGAGAAUUUGAAGUUUGGAGCUUGAAUGAUCAAUCCUUUUUUAAACUAAUAAAUGUUCUUGUGUUUUGAGUUUAAGAGAGAAAGAGUGGAGUUUGAUCUUUGAAAACUGAAUAAAAAGGGUUGAUUUUGUGUUAAAAAGUCAUGAACGGGGUAAAAAUACCAAAAUCCCCUCACCCCAAGUGAGAAAAACAAAAAUUAGGAAUUUUUAACUCAGUAGUGUGGCAUGCCAAUAUUACUGAGGCUAUCCAUUGGAGUUCCAAAGUGACUCUAAACCCCAUUCAAAAUUUUAAAAUUUUUGCAAAAUUACCUUUUUAACAUCCCUAAUCAUGAUUCAAGUUAAAAUUUUACAUUACGCACUCGGGAGGGACAAAAAUAAAAUCAUUGAAAUUUUUUAGGUUCUCGCAGUGGUACUUAUCCCCAACUUUUUGUUGAUUUGGAUAUUUCUCUUUCCUUUAGUUCGAGGACUAACUAGAUUCUUAGUAGUGGAUGAUGUAAUGACUUGAUUUUUGAUAAUUUUUGUGAAAUAUUCAUUUCUAUAUGCUUUGACCAUUUUAUCCAUCCACGUGGUUACUUUGUGGUAUUUCUGUGUUGUGGGGAUAAUUUGUACUAUUCUUAAUAUAUUUUAAGGUGAUUUGUGUGAGUUUGUGGUUUUUAGUGGCUUGAAAAGUCUUAUAGUUGACUUCAGUCAAUAUUUAUUGAUCUAUGUAUCAAAUGGCAAAACGGACUAUGCCAGUAGAUCCAAAAUAUUAAUUUUUGGUCGGUAACAUGGUUGGUAUGAUUUUAUGGAUUUAAUAUCGCAUUUCGACCUUCAAUUUGAGAAGUUCUAAAAUUGGGUUACGGGGUCAACUUUGUGAAAAUGAUAUUUUUUAAAAAAUUUGAUAUCACCAUUGUUUCCAUAAUGUUGAAUUUAGGUUAGUAGUGGGCUUGGAUCAAUUUCGUUGCUUUUAGAUCCCAUUUCUAUCCUUAUUUCGAAAAUAGUGUAAAUAAGGUCCUGGGGGUCAAUUUUAUGAUAGUAAACUUUUUUCAUAAAUUUGAUGAUUGCAUAAUAUAUGGAACGUGUUUUAUAAUCAAAUUUUUGUAGUGGAACAUGUUUCAUAGGGUUUCUAAUAAGUUCCGAGAUCAAAAAUAAGUUGUUGACAUUAUUUUUAUUGGUGUGUUGAUGGAAGAGCACCUUUUAUCGGUGUACUGGGUCACUUAAGAGAAAAAUUUAUUGCUUAACCGACAUUUUGACCCUUUGACCAUGUCUCUUAAGUGAUCAGAGUGUCGCUUAAGCGACCAUCACUGAGUAUUAGACCCAAAUUUGUAUUUGACAUUUUGGAUCUUAGAAUCUCCGAUUUUGAAAAUUUUUUAUGCGUUUUACACAAAAAAUUAUUGUCUAUAAAUAUAUAGCUAUAUUUUCUCCAUUUUCCAAAAUACUUCUAUUUUAUUUUUUGUGAUUUCUACCCCAAGUUGAGAAUUAAAAGCCCAAGUUUUUUUUCUUGAUUUCAUCUUCAAAACAACUUCAAAUUCUUGAUUUUAAAAUGGGUUGGGGGGUGUUUGCCGCUAAAGCUUGAGUAUAAUUUUUUUUAUUUGAACCUCGAUUUAACUCAUUUUUGGAUGAUUUUUUAGAUGUACACUCCUAUAAGUAUGGGGAGCAUGUUUCAAAAAUAAAAUUAUAAUUUUAUCCUUCUUUUUUGAAAAUUCAUUUUGGGUGUCUGUUUUGAUCCUAACUCGAAAUCAGGCAAUAUGGAUAUCGGUGGCUUUCUUUUGACACGUAGAUUCUGUAUUUGAAUAUUUUAGUUGAUUUCAGGUCCAUUCGUGUGGGGAAAGCUACAGAUUGAAGGCUUUUUGGAUUGGUUUUCAAUAUAUCGAGGUAGGUUAUGACUUAACUUUCUUUAGACUGGGUUAGGUAGUUAAUAAUAAUGUAAAAGUAUUCUAUGAGUAUGGGGUUGUAUCAUGAAAAAUGUGUUUAGGUGAUUUAUGUACCUGUAUGGGGGAAUAUUGUGAUAAUAUUUGAUAGUUUUGAGCCAUUGAUGUGUGAGUAGACGCUAACACAUUUAAGGCUUUUAACUGAGUAUAAUUCCAAAGUCUUAAGCAACUUUUGUCGUUUUUGAUUAUUUUACUUUGAUAUUGUAGUAAACGUCAUGAUGCAGGGGAAAUUUAUGGAAAUGGAAGCAAAAGAGUUGAAAACUGAUGCAAAAGAACUGGAAGUGUGGCUGAUGAAAUUCCUAAUAAGUCAUCAACCCUGUGAUAAGUAAUCAUAAAUCACGUCAGGUGUAGAAGUGUUAGGAGGAUUAAAGUGAAACUGUGACGACAUUUCUGACAUGUCGUCACAACUGUAAUAAGGCGUCAGAGUUGCUGUCAAGUAUAGGAAGAGAAUCAAAUUUUAAAUGAAGAAGUGAUGACAUUUGUGAUAUGUCAUCACGUAUUUGAUAAGUCGUCAAGCUUUGUCAUCAGUUAAAACAAAAGAUACCACGAAUGCUGGAGGGCCUAACGACAUUCCUGAUAAGUCGUCAGGACCCUGACAUGGCAUCACAAAUGCCGUCACCUAUUUUGUAGGAUUUUCUGAACAUUGUAAUUUUAUUUCCUUAUUUAGGAUUAACUAUAGAAAGCAUUGUUUAGGAUUUUUCUUAGGGGGUUGGCACUUGAGUUUUAAGAGACGUACUUUGAUAUUUUCUCUUUCUAGUUUCUUGGCUUGAAAAAGAAAAUACUUUGAAGAGAUUAUUAUCAUUAUUUUGGAAUUUCCAUUGUGAUUUAAUCUAAGAAUCUCUAGUUUCUAUUCAUCUUGUGGUAAGUUUAUCUUUCAAAUUAUAAAUUCAACUUGUUUCUUUGAUUAUUACAUUAUGAGAGGCUAAAUUCCUUUAACCUGAAUUAUGGGAUCUAGGGUUAGAUCUUGAUAAGGUGCUAGGUUUUUAAGAUUCAAAAGAUGGUAGAAUUUCUUGAUAAUUCUGAAGUAUUUAAUUAACGUCUGCUGGUUGCAAACAGUUGACACACCUGCUUUGAUUUUCUUGAGAAAGAAAUCAAAUAUAGUAGAAAGUGAAUUUUCAACAGGGACUCAGAAAUACUUCGUUUAAAAAUCAGCAUGGUAACAAGGUUGGUUGACCUGAGGCAAAAUCUGGGUAGUAAAAUAGAAAUUUCCUAAGUUCUAGAGGAUUAGGGAAUUAAACGCUUAAGUAGGUCGAGAGACAUUUAUGCAUAACAUCAAUAAAGAUAGCUUGUUAUCCUACCCAUCGUGAGAAUCUUGAACCACUUUUAGCACCUGUCAUGUACUAGAAGCCCUAGUGAACAUAAUUCUGAUUAUUUCAUAAACUCUUGAUUUACAAAAACUAAAACUAAAGUGACCAACAAUUAUUGGAUAAUCAUUAAAAAACCCCACUUUAUGUUUUAGCAUCAUUCGUUUGAAUUCAACUUGUAGCUAUUGUUUCAAAUUGAUUUAAUCGCCACUCACAGUAUUCCCUGUAGAUUCGACCCUGACUUCAAAGUUGGGUAAAUAUAUUGAUGACAACCUCCUUGCACUAAAUUGAGGUGUAAGUUGAGCGUUAUCAAAAAUGGCGUCGUUGUCGGGGAACAAUUUGGCGUAUUGAGUUGGUUUGGAAUUUUAACCUACUUGCUUGAAUUUAAAUUUGUAAAUAUUUAUUUUUAGUUUUCUUUUAUUUUUGGUGUUAGGUAGGUUUUUAUUGUAGUUUACUUAUUACUAUGGCGUCUUGGAAUGAACAUGAGCUUGAUGGUUGGAAAUCGUAUCUUGAUGAUCCAUGUCCAUAUUGUGAUAGACCUCACUUUUGGCAGGAUUGUAGAUUUGCUCCUUGGAGAGAGAUAUGUGCACCAUCUCUAUCCUACUGGGAGUAUAAUUGUUUUUUAUGUGGUGGUCAAGAUGGACAGUGGAGUGAUUUCCCAAAUGCCCCCUCCCACCGGUAUGCUAACCCAAAUUCUAGUUCUUCUUAUGAUUUUGAUAGGUCUUAUGGUCAAGAAUAGAAAGAACGAAGCACCGAAAAGAGUGACAUUGAAGCUAUGCUUUAACUAAGGUUGGAGUAUGUGGACACAACGAAUAAUAUCAUACGUGAUAUACAUCAAGAAAUAAGGGAAAAUAACGAGGAAAGAAGAAUGAUAAAGGAUAUGGAUAUAGAGGUCAAUAUUCAAAGCACUUUUCCACAUUAUGUUUAGAUGAUAUCUUAUCUGUGGAGUCAUUUAACAUAAUGGACGAGUGUGAAAAUGAGGAGAAAGAAUCCAAUGUUGAUGAUGAGCUUGAUGUUUAGCAACCCUCGGUGAUUUCCCAACCAACUGAACCAUUUAUGAAUGAAGUUUCCAAAGAUGAGGAAAUGGUACUAGAUUCAAAAGAAGAAAUCAAGCACAAUCCUUGUGAAGACUCUAGUCCAUUUCGAGGUAAAAAUACUACUAUCGAUGCUACUCUAAAAUUAAGAGUUAGUCCUCAUUCGAACCACUUUUCGACAUUAUGCUUGGUGGAUAUGAUGAAAGUCGAAUCACCCAAGGAAAUGAUGAAUUUUAAAAAUAAGGAGGAAGAUUCUUACAUUUUGUAGUUUUUCCUUCCAAAAGGGUAUACUACAACCCCAAUCUUGAAGGUCAAGAAGCUUAAAGAUCAAUGUUCAUUUAGUGGUUGUUUAAGAUUCUUACCGUUUUCAAAUGAGCCCAUACGAAAGUUUGAUGCAAAAUUGGGCAAGCGGUUCAAGUCUUUGAAGUGGCGUGAUAGAACAUUCCUUAUCAUGCCCUCACAUUUGCCCAAUGCGCCUAGAAGAUGUAUUGAUAAAAAUUUGGGUCGACAUUUCAAAUACUCUAAGAGGAGACAUUAAUAAUUAUCAAUAAGGUAUUUUGAUAAAGCCUGAGUUGUCAGGAUAACCGAGUCGUGCCGCGACACUAAAAUAGGUGCUUUUUAGGAGGCAACCCAAGGUAUUUGUUGUUUUUAUUUGUAUUAUGUGAUUGACAUCAGAUCUUUGAACCCGUGGUCCCACAGGUAUGUUUUUAACUCUCUUGUUUUUGUUUAAUGCAUUGGGGAUAUUGCAUGAUUUUAAGUUGAGGGUGGGGCUACUUGUGGGUGUUGAUGUCCUCCAUGGGUUUUUUUUUUGCCGUGCCUCUUUUCCUUGGAGUCUUGUUCCUAGUAGAGCCAGCAUGUUUAGACGUAUUGUGUUUUGUUUUGUGAUAUGUUGUGGUUUAGUAGGAGAACUACAAGUAAUGAGGCAGUUAAUAUAUUUUGUGAUUUUUGAGCACCUCUCCAAGUAUCUAUUUUUAAUACUGUGUGAAUUGCAUCUAAUUAUGACCACAGUGCAUCUUUUGGUGGCAUUAGUUCUGGAACCUUAAAAAUCAGUGCUAAACAAUUGAACGAACCAGAUAAGUAGUGAUGUGCGAUAUAUUUGUGUGCCAUGUAUGUGUGAUGUCUUACUCAGUUCUCUUUGUGUGUGAAUCAGAACUUUCCCGGUUAGUCUUUCCUUGAUGUAGGAUAGGAGUUAGCAGAGGAUCAUAAGCCAUUUUGAUAUUAGCCAACUUUUAGCCUAAAUGACCUUCCUUGUAUACAUAAUAUCCCUUAAUCCCUAUUUUGAGCUUGAAUAGCCUAUUUCUUUCAUGACACCUAUCACCUUUCCAUUUGUUUCACAAUAAACUUGUUUUGGCCCUGGUCCUACUUGGACACUGAGCACCUUGACUUAGGCAAAUAGCCUAAGUUGAGGGUGGCUAUCAUAGGGGUGUGUGAUGUAAAAUGAGUAUGAAGAGAGGUAGAAUAAGAGAAAAAAAUAAAAAGUCAGGUGUAGUACAAAAAGAAUAAGAAAAGAAAAAGUUGUAUAAAAGAUUAGAAAAAGAUAAUUUGGUUUUUGAAAAGAUAGAACCCACCUUGAGCAUGUGUGAUCAAUAAAAGAGAGGAAGAUAAAAAGGUUAAGAAGUGAAACCCCAAGAGGUUAGCAUAGUUUCAAGGAAACGUAGUUACUUUAAAUACCCUUGAAUAUCAUACCAGGCCCUAGCCUACAUUAUAAGCCAAGAAAAAGACCUAUAGUGAUCCUAGCUGACCUGUCUAAAAACAUUGGUACUGACUAUAAGAGAAAGCCUAAGGUAUUUGACGUAUAUUGAGUGGAACUUCAUUCUGAGAGUGAGUCUCGUGAUUAUCCCUAAGUGUAUAUAUGUGAUUUCUGAUAUGAGUGAAAAAAGGGAUUUCUUUGUCAUGAGGGCACACAGGUUAUGUUGCUAGUUGCUAACUUGUUCGUAUAGUGUGAUCUUGGUACAUGCAUGGUUGCUAUUGCUGAAUUUAUUAGAAAUCAUGUCAGGUGUUGCAGUGUUAGGAUGCUUAAAGUAAAACUGUGAUGACAUUUCUAACAUGUCGUCAUAACUGUGAUAAGGCGCCAGAGUUUUCGUCAAGUGUAGGCAGAGAAUCAAAUUUUGAAUGAAGAAGUGACGACAUUUGUGAUAUGUCAUCACGUAUCUGACAAGUCGUUAAGCUUCGUCGUCAGUUAAAGCAGAAGAUGCCAAGAAUUCUGGAGGGCCUGACGACAUUCCUGAUAAGUCGUCAGGACCCUGACACGCCGUCACAAAUGCUUUCACCUAUUCCGAAGGAUUUUUUGAACAUUGUGAUUUUAUUUCCUUAUUUAGGAUUAACUAUAAAAGCAUUGUUUAGGGUUUUUCUAAGGGGGUUGGCACUUGAGUUUUAAGAGACGUACUUUGAUAUUUUCUCUCUCGAGUUUCUUGGCUUGAAAAGGAAAAUACUUUGAAGAGACUAUUAUCAUUAUUUUUGGAUUUUCAUUGUGAUUUAAUCUGAGAAUCUCUAGUUUCUAUUCAUCUUGUGAUAUGUUGAUCUUUUAAAUCAUAAAUUCAACUAGUUGCUUCGAUUAUUACAUCAUGAGCGGCUAUUCCUUAACCUGAAUUAUGGGAUCUAGGGUUAGAUCUUGAUAAGGUCCUAGGUGUUUAAGAUUCAAAAGGUAGUAGGAUUUCUUGAUAAUUCUGAAGUAUUUAAUUAACGUCUGCUGGUUGCAAACAGUAGAAACACCUGCUUUGAUUUGCUUGAGAAAGAAAUCAAAUAUAGUAGGAAGUAAAUUAUCAACAGGGACUCAAAAAUACUUCGUUUAAAAAUCGUCGAUGUAACAAGGUUGGUUAACCUGAGGUAAAAUCUGGGCAAUAAAUAAAAAUUCUCCAAGUCCGAGAGGAUUAGGGAAUUAAAAGCUUAAGUAGGUCGAGAGACAUUUAAGCAUAAAAUCAGUAAAGAUAGCUUGUUAUCCUACCCACCGUGAGAAUUUUGAACCACUUUUAGUAUCUGUCAUGUACCGAAUGCCCUAGUGAACAUAAUUCUGGUUAUUACAUAAACUAUUGAUUUACAAACACUGAAACUAGAGUGACCAACAAUUAUUGGCUAAUCAUUAAAAAAACCCCACUUUAUCUUUUCGCAUCAUUCGUUUGAAUUCAACUUGUAGCUAUAGUUUCAAAUUGAUUUAAUCACCACUCAUAUUAUUCCCUGUAGAUUCAACCCCGACAUUAAAGUUGGGUAAAUAUAUUGAUGAAGACCGCCUUGUACUAAAUUGAGGUAUAAGUUGAGCGUUAUCAGACAUUAUUUUCUAUGUGUUCUUGUAGGGUAUCUUAUAUGAUGUUGUUGGACUGGUAUUAAUUUAUGCAUGUUUGAUUACACUUUUUUGGUGGAAAAAAACCUAGAUGUUGGGGGUUAUGAGGUAUUAAUGAUAUUUUCUUGCAUAUUUCACUUGAUGGUUUUUGGAUUAUAUUGGGUCAUGGAUGGAUGGUUGAUUUGAGUGGAUUUUGGCCUAUAUAGUUGAUAUAUUGGUUGGAUAUUGGAUAUUAUUAUUUUUGUAGGUUAUGAACAUUACAUCCUCAUAUAAUAUUUAUUUAUGAAACAUUAGUACUACUGUGGAAAUACUGAAAAUACUUGAAACACUGGCUUUUUCUAACAUAAAAUGUGACAGCUUUUAAAGCCCUAUAUAGAUGUAUGUGCUAGAGAGGAGUUAUUAACUUUGUUAUUAGAUACUUGUUGUGUAUACAGAAUUUGUGCGACAACCUCGUGCAUCACAUAAUCAUUCUCAUUACAUCUUAUAUUAUAUACACUUGUUAUUGUUGUAUGCUGCACAUAUUGUUUCUUAUGUCAUACAUGAAUGAAACAUUGAUACCACGGUGGGAAUACUAAAGAUACUACCUUUUUGAUAAAAAUAUGACAUAUUUUAAAACCCUCUUCCGCUGUAUAUGCCAAAGAGGAGUUAUAGAUAUUGGUUGUCUGUGGGUUGACGGACCUUCCCCCCACUCCACUCCCCUUUUCCCCCUCCAUGGGUACUACCUUGGGAGCACAGCUCUAUAGGUGUAUUCUAAGGUUGUGCGACGACCUCAUGCAUCAUCAUCGUUAUCAUCAUCAUCUUCAUUGCACUCCAUAUAUAUUGUGCUUAUUUUGUACUGUAUUUCUGAUUUUGAUAUGAUAUUUGUCUAUUUUUAUUCCUUUUCCCUAUUUAUACCAAGUAUACCUAUAUAUCUAUAUUUUCUUCUUAUAUUAGUAUAUGUUAUAUGUGUAUAUAUUAAAACUUUUUGUGGAGACGAUUUGGGUUAUCGUUUAGGACAUUUUCUGAUUACAGGUGACAUGUCUAUAGUUUGUGUUUAUAUGCUAUAUUUUCUACUUUACAUAAUCGGCCUAUGAAAUCUACUGAGUAUAAAUGGACCAUCCCAUCUCUACUGCAGCAUUUUGGUGCAGAUCCAAGUAUGAGUGUGCUCUAUGGAUAGCUGAUUAGGGUGGCUUUUGGAGUAUAUUCGAGAUAGAGGAUGUCUUAUGCUUCAGGAGUUGGCCUACUACAUCUUCCUGUCUAUUUUCAUGUCUUAUUUAGUAUUCUGAGAUAGAUUGUGGUCCUUUUUGAACUAUUAUUGUAUCUUUUGAUAUUCGAGAUGUGUUUUGUACUUUUUAUGUUGUGGCACCAUAUUUUGGGAUAUUGUAUUGGUAUCUUUGAUUAUGUAUUUCCACUUUUACUACAUUUAUGUCUGGUUCGACUCCGUUCUAGGUAUUUUUCCUUGAGUUUUGGUAUUGAUUCUUCUUUCAUAUCAAUUUGGAUAUUAGGCUUACUUGUCAAGGCUUGCCUCGACAAGUACCAUCAUGACCUUAAUUUUUGGAUCGUGACAAUAUAUUUAUUAAUUUUUAAAAGUUAAUAUCAUAUAUGGCACAUUGAUUAAGACCCCCGAGAUAUAAAACACAUUUUUAAAAAAAAAAAAAAGGAAAAAAUUUGAUACAUUACAUACAUAUAUAGUUUUAGAUAAAAAAUCUAAUUUAUUUUUUACUUUUAAAAUCAAUAUUAAGUCAAAUUAAAGCACUCAAAAUAUAAUAAUCACUUUAAGGGGUUGUUUCAUAGAGUGUAUAAAAAUAAAGAAAAAUAUGAUGUAUUAGUAAUGUUUUGUUAGUUAUACUUGCAUUAGUCACUAUAAGAGAAUGGAGAUACUGCGACAUUUGAAAUAAAUGUCAAAAAACAAAUAACUUCUUGACAUUCCUAAUAUAUAGAAGAGUGAAGAAAGCAAGUGAAUGUCGUCAUCCCUGCUUGCUCCAUGAUUGUAAUACCCCGUAAUUCUACCUAGCCUAAAAUUAUCCCAAAGAUUUUAAGUACUUGCUUUAAACGAUCAAUCCACUUUUAUAGAUAUAGGAAAUUCAAUAAGCUUUCCAUCGAUACCAAAUUCGACACCCGGGCGAAGAGUUAGAGCCUUUUUAGUGAGACAGUGUAUCACUUGAGCAAUCAGCGCAUAGCGGACCCAGUUUAAAUGGCAAUUGUCAAUUUUUAGUGUUGCUCCGUGAUAGAGGCACGCCACGCCAAACUUCCAGGUCGCAAACAAAGUGGCAACGCGAUAGCUCCAUGUCGCACCACCAUGCAAUUUCCCAUUUGUCACUUUCCAGAGACACAGCACGAUAGCGCCACGUCACACCCUAGGUCCAAAUUAGGAAAUUUUCACAAAAUUUAAAUACGCGUCCAAGGGUUAAAAGGGUUAAUUUUCCACCCUUAUAUAAAC
rnacentral:lncRNA from 1 species